UGAGAACUAAGAAGGAGAAGCAAAUGGCUUCCUCAAUGAUCUCUUCCCCAGCUGUUACCACUGUCAACCGUGCCGGUGCCGGCAUGGUUGCUCCAUUCACUGGCCUCAAGUCCAUGGCUGGCUUCCCCACCAGAAAGACCAACAAUGACAUUACCUCCAUUGCUAGCAACGGUGGAAGAGUGCAAUGCAUGCAGGUAUGACAACUCCACACAUAUAAAUACACAAGAGGCACCAAAAUGAUUAUAAUUCAUGUUACAUAUUUAGGCAUGUACCAAAAUGUUACUUAAAUAAACAUGUUAGUCAUAGGUUGCUUAAAUUUUAGUCAUAGGAAAAUUUGCACAUGUGCUAGUUAAUCUGUUAACCCCUUUACUCAAUUUUCAUGCAAAUUAAUUACUAGGUGUGGCCACCAGUUGGCAAGAAGAAGUUUGAGACUCUUUCCUACCUGCCAGACCUUGAUGAUGCACAAUUGGCAAAGGAAGUAGAAUACCUUCUUAGGAAGGGAUGGAUUCCUUGCUUGGAAUUCGAGUUGGAGGUCAAUUUCUUGCAAACACUUUUGGUUUAAUCAUAGAUUUUCUUAUUCUUAGUUUGUUUCAACUUAUUUUCAAGAAAUAAUGGCUUCUCUUGCUAGUGUGCUAAAAGUACUUUUGGAAACAAAACAAAAAAUGGUUGUGUUCCAAAAUUUAAAUUUAUCUAACAGAUUUUUCUAUUUGAGAGUUAUCAAUAUGUAUCAAAUCUGUUCCUAUCUCUGACCAAAUUUUAUUCUUCCAAAACAAGCACUUGGUUUUGAGUUUUGAUGGUUGAUCUGUUUGUUUGCAGCACGGUUUCGUGUACCGUGAGCACAACAGGUCACCAGGAUACUACGAUGGACGCUACUGGACCAUGUGGAAGCUGCCUAUGUUUGGUUGCACUGAUGCUUCUCAGGUGUUGAAGGAGCUUCAAGAGGCUAAGACUGCAUACCCCAACGGCUUCAUCCGUAUCAUCGGAUUCGACAACGUUCGCCAAGUGCAGUGCAUCAGCUUCAUCGCCUACAAGCCCCCAGGCUUCUAAGUGUGAAAAAUUUGCAAAGCAUUUGUAGCCGCCACCCCACUUUGUUUGUUUGUACUUAAACUACAUUCCCAUUUGUUUUUGCUUUUUGAGAUUUCAUCAUCCUGUAUUUUUGGUUUCUGUUUUCGGACUUCAAUGGAAAUUAAUGGAUGAGAACUAAUGAAUAAGCUAUUGUGUUGUGUUGCUUUGUUUCAAAAUAACUUCAAUAACCCAUCGUCCUUGCAUUUCUCUCUACUGGGCUGAAAUUAAUCAUUUCUAAAUUUAAGUUAAUUAAUUGUGUCUCUAAAUGAUGGUUAACAGGGGAACUCUGUGUUAUUCAAGUGCACUGCUUAGUUUAGCUGAGCUUGGCCUUACUUUGUCACAAGUCACAAAUCUGAUGUAUGAAUGUUCUUUAUACUUUGGUCUUCCAAGAAAUGAAGUUCAAGACACAUAGUUUGUAAACAUGUUGCUAGGAAGCUACUGAACUUUCAAAACCAAAUAUGAACUCGAUAAUUCUUGGAAACACAGAUAUUUUGUAUAGUAUAUAGCAACAAAAAACCACUAAGGAACUGCUACCAAAUCGUUUUGUUAUUUAUGUGCAAAGAAAGCGAUAUCAAAUUCAAAUUUUUAUUGGUUUCAGAAUCUUUUCUUUCCAAGCAAUAACCACCAACUGCAACGAAACCGUUUUGUUUGUUCCAUUUCUCACUCUCCUCACUGCAAUGUUCAAAUUCUGAUUUGGAAAACAGCACAUAAAAACACAAGAUUUGGUCAUGCUCUGGUUCUACCAAAUACUACAUUUGUUUCUAGAAUUGCCAGAAUCUGAUCCUUUUGCUGACAAUUAAUCUCUAGAAGAUUCUUUUGCUUGUAACUUGGUAGUUAUGGAUUAGCAACUGAUAAAUAAAUCAUUUAGUGGGCUCUAUGUUGUGAGUAGUGAUAGGUAACUUAUGUCGACACCUUUUAGUAGAUUGCAUUAAUAUUUAGACUGGACCCUUUUGAUAGCUACAUUUGUGAACAAGAAUACAAUACGAUAAAGAAAUAGAUAAGAAGUUUCACCUCCUAUACUCCCAUGACCACAUCAUGACAUAUUCAAUGCCAAUCGUGAAUAUACAAAUCAAUAGGAUUUGUUUUCUUCCAAAUAUUUAUUUGUGGACGUGAAUCUACUCACCCUAGAAGCAAGUUUCGUUAAAUUUCCUUUGUUUAAUAACUUUUUGUGAACAUUCAUUCUUUUUUAAUUCAACUUUUAUAUAAAAAUAAUUAGACUCAAAUUCCUUAAACAAGGUCUCAAGUUCAAAUUUUGUGAAUGAAAAAUAUAAUUAAAAGAAGAGACAUAAUUGAAGUAGUCAGUCAAGUUAUGACAAAGCCUUACAAUUCACAAAAUAACUAAAAUAUUAUAUCAAUCAACUUCAUUUUAAUGGAUAGUAGUAUUAUUCUUUUAAAAUACAAGUAAAUGUUAACUAUAAGAUAAUCUUUAUGGUAAUAUAUUACAAAAUAUAAUAGUUAAGGGUCUCUUUGGGGGAUUGUUAGUUGUUAGUUUCAUUUGUUUUUAAAAUAACAAUCAAUUUUUAGUUUUAGUAUAAAAAGUUUUUAAAACCAGUCUUUAAAAUUUGAUUAGUUUUCUAACUAUUAGUUUUAAGAUUAAGUCAUUUUAAAAUUUUCUAAUCUUUUUAAAAUUAAUUUAAGAGUGUAUUUUUAUAUAUGAUGAUAACGACACCAACAACAACAAUGGUGGUAUUUUUGGUGGCGAUAGCAAAGUCAAUAGUGAUAAUAACAGUGUCAAUGAUGGCAGUGAUACUAGUGGUGGUGUUGGUGUUGAUAGUUAUAAUGCAGUAUUGCUAAUAAUGGUAGUGAUUGAUAGUAAUGGGAGCAGUGAUAGUGUUGACAACGAUAGUAAUAGCGGUGAUGUUGGUUGUUGGUGUCAAUAACAAUGGUGACAGUGUUGAUAAUAAUAGUGAUUGUGUCAAUGAUUAUGAUGAUGAUCAUAAUGACGACAUAGAUGGUGGUCCUGGUGUUAGUAGAGGCAAUGAAAAGUGUCAUUAUCAAAUGUAGAGAGUGUGUACUUUUUUAAAAUUAAAAUCAAAAUUACAAAUAUUUUUUGCCCAAAACUUUUGGUUUUAAAAAUUACAUUUAAAAAUAAAAUAUAAAAAACUCACAAUUACGUGACCAAACCCUAAGUCUUUUAAAUCAAUUAGUAUUCUAUAAAGAAAUAGUAUUUUUGAAGUAUUUAUAUAAUUUAAGUAUUUACUUAUUCUUAGAGUGAAUAGAUCCCUUUCGUUUGUUUUAUUCAUCAUACAGAAUCAAUAAUACAGUGGAAUCCUUCUGAAUAUUUUCUUUUAUAUAUAUAUAUAUAUAUAUAUAUAUAUAUAUAUAUAUAUAUAUAUAUAUAUAUAUAUAUAAUGUACCUGGAAAAAAUAAUCUUCCAUUAGUGAGACAGACAAAUAUAACCUUAUUUCCAUAGAGCCUGCAAAAACCUAACUAUCCAGUCAAUAUUUUAUAUUUCCAUAGUUUUUCUGACAAACCAACUUCUUUAAUAUAUUUUUCAAAAGUUUUCAAAUAAGUUAUAUAACAUAUCAUAAUAUUCAAGGUUUUCCAAGAGGAAAUUUAAAAAUUGUUAUUUUGACAAGAUAAGUGCUACAUAAUUGUGUGGUCUAUACCGACUAAUGAGUCAAGGCAUCGUGACUAUGUCGUAACAAAAAAGGUAAAGAAAAACAAGUCAUUAUCAUAGCAUUAUUUGAAGUUGAAGAAUAUUACGUAGUGUGAUAUGAUUUAUUUAUGACUGUUUUGGUUGUUUCCGUUGCGUUUUAUGAAUGGAAGAUCAAAUAGCUAGCUAUAAAAAGACCCUAAACAGAUAACAACCUAUUGGUAAUUUUUUUUUGUUUUAGGCUAUUCAAUUAGAUAUAGGCUCAUAUAUGUAGAUUUUAUAAGUUUAAGCCACAAAAAAUAUAUUUUUAUUAAAACAAUAAAAAGAUAUUGCCGUAGUGUUUAUACGAGAAAUGGCGCAUAGUGAGGUGCUCGAUCGAGUCUCUAUCAAUUUGCUUUUGAUGUGUGCAAAGGAAAAGAAAAGAGAAAAGAGGAAAGUUACAAAGUGAAUGCUUAGAUACUUAUAUCUUAAGUAAAUCCUUGUGUCUUUAUAAUAAAGUUGGAUAAAGACACAUUAACACUCAUCUUAUUUUUUUAAUUCCCUGAGUAUUUAACUCAAUUAGAUACUUAAAGAUUUAAAUUUGAGGCUGUUAUUAGUUAAAUUAAAAUAAUUUCACAUAAAUUGAUUCAAACACAUAUUAUUUGACAUCUUAAGAGAAAAAGAAAAAAAAAUGAAAUGUAAACAAGAUAAAUUAUAUGAUAUGAUAAGAAAGAAAAGACAAAAAUAAAUUGAAGAUGUCAAAUAAAUAUCCAUGUAUCAUUAUUAAUUAAGUUUCAAAAUCAAAGACUGAUACAUGAUUUUUUUUUUAAAAUUCAAAAUAUAUCUCAGUGAAAACUAUUUAAUGUUUAAAAUAACAUUCAUAUAUCAAUGUUUUAUUUGAGCACUAGUUGUUUUGAAUUUAUUUUUGGCAUCUCUCUCAUUUCCUUUUUCUUGAUCACUGCUUCCUUUUUCCCAUUUAUUUUCCCGACAAAACAAUUUUAGUACAACACAUCCUACAUGCACCAUCUAAAGGCUCUCUCACAAACCCAGUCUAAUUAAGGACAAAUUAAUACGGAGAAAUUAAUUAGUUCUCGACUACUACUGUAUAUUUAUAAUAUUGAUUAAUCUUUACCAAACAUGAUACGUAUUAAAGUUUUUUAAUUUAAGAAAAAAUUAAUAAUGCUAAAUUGUAAACACUCUUAGAUUGCUUAAUAAUUUAUUCUCUUAAAAAAUUAUUAGAUGUCCAAAACCAUCCUAGACUCUAUUAAAACAAGGCCACUUAUAUAAUAAAAACAUAAUAUACAAGACUAUUAAUUUUUUUAUUAUUAAUUAAAAAACCUGAAUAUAUAUAUAUAUAUAUAUAUAUAUAUAUAUAUAUUAUCGGUAAAUAUUAUUAGUUUUUGUUAACAGAGAAAAUCAAAUUUAUGACUUUUUUUUUUCUUUUUCCAUCUCCCAUAAUCUUCUAAUUCAUCUUAUAUUUUCAAAAUUCUGAAAAGGUAUCAUACAAAUUGAUUCAGGCCAUAGAGAUGUAGUGAUCCGAAACUACUUAAUAUAUAGUUUCUUCCACACUCACGGCACUCAAAUAUUUCAUUUCCUCACACAUAGACUGCACCUCCCCCCUCACACACUCACACACUCACUCAUUCACAACACCACACUGACUUAUUCAUAUUCAUCCGUCACAUGAAAGGCAAUGGCAAGCACACACACAAGUUACACAGCAAAUCCAAACUCUUCAGUGGCCUUAUUUGCACCAUGCAACCAUAAUAUCCACCCAUUAUAGAUCUUAUAGACAAUAGCAUAUAUAGCCACACCAUAUGCAUUAUGAAUCCAUGGAACAAUCAUAUAUCAUUCGUGAAAAAAAAGUAAAACAAGUCUUCAAAGCUUUUCCCAACCAUAGAACUUCUCAACCAAGUCUUUAAACCUUCACGUGAAUCUGUCAUCAAGACAGCCCCUAAAUUAAGCUUGAGCCAUCUGUGUCAUACACGUAUAAGAGGUCACGCAUGGUUUACAUCAAGUAAGAAAAGAAGCUAUCAUAAAGAUAUUACUUCUAUUUUUUGUUGUUGAAUAAGUCUAGGGUAUAAUAUAUUGUUGAUUUCUCAAAAUAGUUGAGAACGAUAGUUUUAGUUCUUAUUAAAAUUUAAUAUGUUUUUAUUCUUUAUAUUUAUUAAAAGUGACAUGAUUUUAAUUCUUUCAUCAUGAACUAAAAACACAUACAUCUGAAUAAAUAUAAGAACUAAUAACACACACACACACACACACACACACACACACAUAUAUAUAUAUAUAUAUAUAUAUAUAUAUAUAUAUAUAUAUAUAUAAUUCUAUUUGUAUUUUAUCUCUUGCUUGGUUGUCGUGGUAAAGGCGUAAGGCAUAGCCGCAUGGAUAUGAACUUAUCAUAGGGCUCCAUUGAAUCAGAUCAGUUUAAACUUAAAGCUUUUGAAAAUUAUUAUUAAAAAAAUGAAGUUUUGAGGACAUCAAAAUUACGUCACUGAAAGAGAAUAAUGACUUCUUUUAACUUUUUUUUUUCCCUGUUGUAAACUUAGGAUUUUCAAAACCCGAGUUCCAAAUUUGCAAUGGUUUCUUGUUUUUGAUUCGUAAGUGGAUUACACAAAUUUCAUUUUGACGCAAACUGUUGGAUUAUUUUAAUAUUAUGUUCUAGUUGUAAUUAAAAGCCAUUAGGAUUAAUUUAGAAAACUAAGAAUAAAUCUAUAAUAAAUUUCUCUUAUCUUUUCAAAAUACUCAUUAGUCUUUUUAAAAAAAACCCACACCGAAUAGUAUUUUUUAGCCAUAAAAAAAAUAAGGGAACGAAAGACUGAGGGAGGAAAGCCAUUUUAAUUAAAAAAAUAGAAAAUGAAAAAAAUAAAUUGAAAACACAAGAAAAAUAUCGGGCCAGAAAAUAAAUAUGAAUUAUAAUAAUCAAGAGCUUCAUGCAUGCUUAGUAGUUUUCUGUGCAUUAAAGAACUCUAGAGAAAUUAUGUGUUAUGAUCUAUUCUUACAAAAACAUAUGCCAUAGCCUGUGAACGGGAUCCGUGUUCAUGGUCUCUUGUAUAUGCUUUUGUUCUUUAAUUGUUAAUAAUUAAGAACACAUGCCGUAGUGCAAGUUUAAAUCAUAAAGAGUUAUGGAUACCCAUAAUAUUCUAAGAGAUAUAAAAUAAAGAAAUAAUUAAGUUUUUCAUAUUUGAAAUAUAGUUUAUUUUUAAAAAAUUACUUAACAUUCUUUUUUUUCUCUCUAAUACCUAAAAAAAUUUUGCAUUUCAUUUUAGUACUUGUCGUUAGUCCACAUCCAUUAAAUAAUGAUAUAGCAAACGGAGUAUCACGUCAUCACACCUAAUUACUAAACACAUAUGCACAAACAUUCACAUCAUUAAUUUUUGUUUUUGUUUUUUUAAUAUUAAAAAAUGAAAGCCAAAAAGGAGAGGGGGAGUCGUCCGUGGUGGUGUGGGAGGCGCGGCCACCACCGUCUUGGACACUCUUUGGAACUUCACCUUCGUCGCCGCCAUCGUCACCAUCUUCUUGAGCUAUCCACUGGAUAGGGUCCAUCGUCAAGCGAUGAUUUCCCACAGAACAAAAAAUCUGCUAUGCUUCACUUUCUUGCUUUUGCAUUUUCUUGUGGAAAAAAAAUCCUCACAACAAAAAUAGGUUGUCCUUUUCUUUGAUCUACCAAAGCUUUAAAUUUUCCUUAGGUGCGUACUUCAAAUUCUUCUUCUCCUACUCCUAACUGCUCCUUUUUUUUUUUUUUCAAAUUCUCUGUGCGUUUCUAAGGAUUUUGCAUGUUUUGUUCUUCUCUUUGCUGUGUGUUUUGACUUUUAUUGUUUGCGUGUGUGGCAGUUUGGUUUGUUUGUGAGUUUGGAGUGUGAUGCCACCAUCGGCGGUGAUCACGGAGGAGGAGGGGCAGAGCAAAGAUGUCUUCACUGAUAUUGAACUCGCGGAAGUUGAAUUGCCAGAUUUAGGGGCUCUCUGUGCCCCAGGUAAGGAGGUUCCUGUAGUUAUACUCGUCCACGAUUUCACAUAUCAACGCGAACUCCUCCUUGAGGUUAUCAUUCCAAACUUCCUUGAUUUGAACCGAAUCGCCUUUUGGUAAAAUCAACAUAUCAAACGAACAAAUCUGAGUAGCAAAGUGAGAAUCACAAUCAAACCCCCCAUAUCUGUAACAAAAACAUGCGGAAACAAUUCAGAUCUCAAAACCUAACAAAUCCAAAACAAAAAUCGAUGAUAUUUCAUUGAACGAGGAAACAAAUAUAAACAAAAUCAACAAGCCGCGAUACAUAAAGAGGAUUUGAGUGAGUAGAGCUUCGAAUCGGGGGCAUGCAAUCAAGCUUCGUAUCGACGACGACGACAACAACGAAGGCAGAGUUCCAGAGAGUGUCCAAGACAGUGGUGGUCGCCGCCUCCCGCACUAUAACAUCCCAAUUUCGUGAAUUAAAUUAAAAAGGUUUUUCAUUUAAAAUAGAGUUUUAGAAAAAAAAAUGAUGAGGUUUUUGUAAUUAAAUAAAUAAGGAGAAAUAACUUUAUUAAAAUAAUGGUUUGAAGGAAAAUAAAAAGGAUAUUUGAUUUAUUCAUUUGAUAGGAAAUAACAUAGAGUAUUUGUUAAUAAAAUAAUAAAAAUAAAAAAUAGAGUAAAUAAUAAGCUAAGAGUACCUAGCUAUAAAUAAAGACAUGCUAGGUUAUUUUUCAGACUGACGGUAGUCUCUGUGGUUUCUCUUCCUUUCAGUUUCUUUUUUCUUUCUCCUCCUCCCAAAACUAUUUUUCCCGCAUACACUCAAGCCUAUCUCAAUAAAAUUAUGAUCUCGGACUCGUUAAACGUUGGAUCAUUGUGAAAUUUGAGUACUAGGUUUAGAACUUAAUUCCAAAUAUUCUCACCGUUGGAAUUUGCGAAACUAUAUUGGAGCUGAGAGAAACUCCCUUCGUAUUUUAGCUUUCUCUUUUCCCGCAGAGACCCGAAACCUAUCCCGGUAAAACUAUUAUCCUGGACUAGUUAACCGUUGGAUCAUUGUGAAAUUUGAACACCAAGUUUGAAAUACAUUUCCGCAUAUCUUCACCAUCGGGAUUUGCAAAAUGAUUUCUGGGGAGGGAGAAACACUCAUUGCACGUAGACAGUGGAAUGAAGGAUUCAAAUUCUUUUCCUUCUCUCUAAUAUUUGGAAACCUUAUCAGAACAACCAGAGAAAAAGCUUGAGGAAUCUCAGGAAAUUGUUAGAGAUUCCACUAUUGCUGUCAGAAUACACACGUGAGCCCGCUUAGAGGUAAGGGAUGAGUUAUUCAUAAUUGGAGAGUAGUGAGAACAUGUGUAGGGAUCCUUAGAGUAUCAAUUGGAAUGAGUUUUUAGGUUGUUUUUGCAAAUUUUGAUUCUAUCUUUACAAUUGUAACUGUGAAUUAUAUAUUUUUUUACGAACCAAUUGAUGUUCCAAUUAGAAAUUGCUGUGAAAUUCAUGUGUUCUUGUGUUGAGUGUGAACCUUAAAAAUUGAGUUCUUUUUAUUAACGUAAAUUAUACUCUAAAUAAUAUUCUUUUAACGGCUUAUUUUAUACAAAUUAUUAUCUUGUUCUGUAUUUUUCCACAACGAUAAUCAACAUGUUAUGUGUUUAUAUAUAUAUAUAUUGUAAUACAAAAAUAAUAAAUUAAAGAAAGUUGUAAAGGUUAAUGUCUAGUAGUAAUUUCUUUUGAUGUAAUCUUAAAUUAAUUGUUAUAGAAAUUCUUUUUGAUUGAAAAUAAUAUAGUUUGAUUUAAUAUAUAUAUAUAUAUAUAUAUAUAUAUAUAUAUAUAUAUAUAUAUAUAUAUGUUUUGUGUCAUGCAAAUAUUAUUAUUGUGUGAAUAUAUAUAUAUAUAUAUAUAUAUAUAUAUAUAUAUAUAUAUAUAUAUAUAUGUUUUGUGUCAUGCAAAUAUUAUUAUUGUGUGAUGUGUAUAUGAGUUAUGAGACGUGAUAAAUUAUUAUAAUAAUAUUAUAAUAUUAUUGUUGAGAUCAAGUAUAAGUGUAAAGUUAGACAUGUGUUACUUUGUGAAAUACACAUGAACAUGUGAUGGUGGAUUAUGAUAUUAUGAGAUGUUAAGUUGUGGUCAUGAGAUUUGGUUGUGAAUAAGUGUGUGUUUAACACUUGAUGUGAUAGUAUUUGUGUUGUGAGCUAUGAAUUAUACAAUAACCCAAUCAGUGUUUACCUUGAGAAAAAGUGUUUAUGCGUAGUGUUAAAGGAAAAGUGUAGGUUUCCUAGUUAGGAACCAAUGUUAAAUUGUAGCGCAAUGUGUUAAACGUGUUUGAAACAUGAGCGUGAGGUCAUGAAUAUUGUAUAAUUCAUGAGCAAUGUCUGCAUGCAAAAAUUGUUUUAGGGGUUGAAACUGAAUCAGGAAGGUGAGGCCCUAACGGAUUCUUCGUAGUCUAGGCCUUGAGGGUAAAGACACUCAGUUUGAGUGCUCCUUUAAGCCUAUAUUGAUCUCAUAUGGUUGGAGCAUUCUCACAAAACAGAGUUAUCCUGACUGGUCACCUUAUGAUUUUACUUAGUGAGAGUGACCUGACAUACCCAUUGUAUGGUGUGACUUGUUUGUACUCCUAAGUGCCCCGGGGUGGUUUUUCACUGACAUGGUACCACAUUGCAUAUAGACUUGAGUCUUAGCAUAACUAUUGCAUAACGCUUGCUAAUUGUUUACUAUGAAAUUGAUGAGUGUUAUUAUGUCUUGAUCAGAGUAUGUGAUUCAUGUGUAAUGUGAUUGAUGAUUGAAAAGUGAAUUUUAAAUGACAAAGUGGUGGAAUUACGUGAGUUAUGUUUAAAUAAGUUAUAUCUCAUUUAUAUGAUAUGUAUAUCUAGUUGUCUUGUUUCUCUAUUAGUUAGAAAUGUGAUAACUCACUCCUCGUGUGUUGUUUGUGUUUGAAUCUUGUGAUGAUCUCGAACUUUGUGUUCGGGGGAACAUAUGACUAGGUGGAUUGCUUUAAGGAACCUUAUGCUGAAGGAUGUCGGGACACAAUACUCUGAUAGGACGUGACAUCACGGCAUAAGUUUCUAUAUUAAUUGCAUGAAGUCUUGAACGACCUUGUUUUAAGUCGAGAUAUUUUCGUAUUUAUUGGACAAGUCAUUUUAUGAUGUUAGAAAAGUAAAUGUGAGCCUUUUACAAUUUUGAAAUGCUUUUAUUUAAAUGUGCUUUAAAAACUUUUAAUUAAUUCUAAAUUCUUAUUUCUUUUAUUAUUAGUACAUAUAUGUAUGGGGUAGAGGGUGUCACACGUACCGCCACGAACGACUCUCCCUCUCUUUUUUGGCUUUCAUUUUUUUAAAAUAAAAUAAAAAAAAAUUAAUGAUGUGGAUGUCCGUGCCUACAUGUUUAGUGACUAGGCGUGAUGACGUGACACUCUAUCUGCCACUUCAUCACUCAAUAGAUGUGGACUAACAACUGGUACGAAAAUGAAACGCAAAAAUUUUCCUAGUAAAAAUGAUAAUAUUAGGUAGUUUUUUUAAAAAUGGAUUAUAUUCAAGGUAUGAAAAACUUAAUUAAGUCUAAAAUAAACUAUCCUUUUUGUUAUUGUAAAAUAAAAAUUUGAAGACCAUCUAAUUCACCUCAUAAUCAGUUUCAAGUCCAACCAAUUCUAUUCAUCCAUGCUUCACUCAGGUUCUUUUGAGACCUUUUAAGAAAAAGAAAAAGGAAAUGACGAGGCCCUUAUUUAGAUGUAAUAGAGGUGUUUAAAAUUAAAAAAAAAGAUCGUCAGCAAAAAAUUGAAAUGAAUGUGCAUGCAAAGUUAAAACCUAAAAGAUUAAUCGAUCAAUGAUGGAACACCCAAAUAGUCGUAUUUUAGUUUCUGCCAAGCUCCAAAGGGAAAAAGCAUUUUGUAAAAUCAGUCAAUAAGUUAGUAGAUAAAUAUAAAUUGACACAAAAAAAUAUAUGUAGGUAUUUGAGGUAAAAAGUGAUUAAAAAAACGAGUGAGAAUAAAAGAAAGCUACUAACUUAUAAACUAGAGCUUAUUUUCGUAAGUUAAUUGAUACAGUUUAUGAAAAUAAACUACAAGUUAAUAAAAUAAACUUAAACUUGUGUACUAAACAAACUUAUAAGUUGAUUAAAGUAAUUUGUAAGCUAUUAGAGUAUCAUACGAAAACAUUUAGUAUUCAUUCAGAGUCGCAAGUUGCUAGUUUUGGAACUUGUAUUUAGAAGUUUCUCUCGGUGCUUUAAAAAUUUGGAGGUAUUUAUGGUCUCAGAUUAAGACUUGUCACUUCAUAUUAAUUUUUGCUUAAUAAUUGCAUGUUGUUCCUUUCCUUUAUUUCAUUUUUGUCAUAUAACUAGUUACACUAUUAGAAAAUACACCUUCUACAUCAGUUAUUUAAGACCUUUUACAUUGGUUUUUAACCGAUGUUGAAAGUAUUAUCGUUAACAUUGGUUUUACAAAACCGAUGUUAACGUAAAAUUGACAACAUUGGUUAUCUAAAUAACCAAUGUUAUAUAAUAAGAAUUACACCAAAAAAGUGUAUGAAUGUUGAUAGGUGACAUUGAUUUUUCCACAAAACCGAUGUUAACUUAUAUAUUAACAUUAAGACCUUUUACAUUGGUUUUUAACCGAUGUUGAAAGUAUUAUCGUUAACAUUGGUUUUACAAAACCGAUGUUAACGUAAAAUUGACAACAUUGGUUAUCUAAAUAAUCUAUAAGUUAACAUCGGUUUUUACAAAAACCCGAUGUUAACGUGUAGAUUAACAUUGAUUUUUCCACAAAACCGAUGUUAAGUUACACAAACAACAUCAGUUUAUAGAAUCCACAACUGUAUAACAAAUAUGCUGAGACAUUGACCACCAUGUGCAAUUUUGGAGAGAUCUUCGUGCUUGAUGUACAAUGGGAAGUCUGGAUUAAACACCCCGAACACGGUAGCAUCCCACAUAACCUAGAGAGGCUUCAAGAAAAGCUGUGGGAUGGUCAAUGUCAUCAAAUACAGGGGAUCAUUGACCUCAGGAUCCGGCCUAUCUGGAGGCUUUGAUGGAGACACAGUUGCCUGUUUAUCAAACAUAGUGAAAUAACAUAAUUUAAUUACAGUGAACAAAUCAACUGAAAAAAGCAUAUAAUCAUAGUAAAAUACUUGUUCUAAUACACGCUUCACGAGAUAUGUCGGCCAAGCAAGGAAAGUGUUCAGUGCCUGCCCCACUAGUUGAACCUCGUCAAUGGGUACAGGAACGGGAGCCUCUGCAUCUUUAACCUUCUCAACACCAACCUUCACGUGGCCAUGCAACAAAGGGAUGUUGUGAACAACUGUGGAUCCCUCAUAAACUUUUCCUAGGACAACCAGGCGGGAAGGAUUUUCUUCGAUGUACAGCCCGCAUUUGUCUGAGUCACCCGUCUUUGGAUCGGUCGGUGAGGGAUCAACGCAACUCCCUUUUGUGCUAACACAGGCAGCUAGGGGACCAACCUCAGGCUCCAGAGGCAGUGCAAGUCCCUGUGAUUGCAUCUGUGACUGAAGCUAGGACUACAUCUAGUUGAAGGAUGCCAUGAGCUGCCAAGUCACUUUUUCUGUGAUUGACUCCUCCAACUGGUCCCUGAUUUGUUGAGUGAGCUGCUCAAGUUCUUUGGGAGGGAUGAAGGAGGAAUUGCGGGAGCUUUGUAGAGUGGAGCCGAAGUAUUGCUUAAUGGUGACACCGGCUCUAGCAGCAUGCACACGGCCAGGGUGUUCUGGUCACCCAAUGGUAGCAAUCAAGACAUCCUGACGACCAUGGGGGACAAACGAACCCUGUGACGCCUGCUCCUCCAAAGAAUCUUGUACGUAACACAUAUAUUUGUCCAAGGCAUUCACAUAAUAAACAAACAUAAUUACAAUUCUUAAUUUACAUUUGACUUACAAUCUUCUCAGCGAUUUCCUUUGCGGCCUCAGAUGUCAUCUACCCAGUUUUCUUGGUGUGAGCCAUCUUCUACUUCACGUGUCGUCUGAUGGGAGAUGGAGGGUUAAUGACGCCCUUAGUGCUUCCGGACUGAGCAGCUUCCUCUAGUUUUUUCUUUGUCUUCUCAACCAUUAGCUUCUAUUCUAAAUAAUCAUAACCCCCACAAGACAACACGUGGGGGGUGGUGUUUUGCUUCUAGAUGGCCCGUGCUUUUUUCCGCACAUCCAGCAAAAUUCAAACAUUAAUCAAAAUGAUUUCUACAAUCUAUUAUAAGAACUGAAUUUUUAGUGGAAACAAUUCAAAUUACAAAGUACAUACCUCCCAUGAGGGAUCUCGGCGGGUCUGACAAAACCGGACCCAUUUCUCCUUGCUAAUGUCGUACUUUCACAAAUAGUGUCGUCCACACCGUCCUUGUUGGCUGCAAGUGCCCAUUUCCUGGUCAAAUCGGAUUUAAACUGCCUCCACUGCUUGCCCACCGUCUGAAGACUUUCUUCUUUGUCCUACUGUCAGAAGAUUCAGGGAUUUCAAAUUCCACUUGACAAACAAUAAAUUAGGUUUUAUUGUUAGUAAAUUAUAAAUUUUGGCUACUAAACAAAAUCAAAGAAGAAAACAAACAUACCUGAAUAUCCUCCCAUAUCAAAUCCUUCUGAGCCGCAGGGACUUCCUUCCAGGUCUCGUAUGUCACGUCGACCUUAUCACGAGCGACAAUCCCCAAAUAUGUUCUUAAUUUCUACUUUUAGGGACCGUCGGCCUUGCCAGUCGCAGGAUCAACGUGGACCACUGGUCUGCACACCGGUGUUGCUGUCAACCCAUUUACAUUUGAAAACACACACAGUAAAUUUGACAUAGUUAAGCUCCCAAAUUUCAUUAAUGAACCCAAAGUAAGGGAUGGAAGCUACACAGGGAUUGUCAUCAUGCACACUUGCGAAGUGCUGACAUUCAGCCCUUAGGGUGACCUCGCUGUUUUGCAUUGUACUUUUGUCGUCUUGUGCUUUUGUGAAAAAGGAAUACUUGUUUAUGUUGUAUCCUUGCCAAGUUAUAACAUUUCUUUUAGGCCCAUCUGCUAGCUUUCUAAAUGUUUAUGAAGCAUUUUCAUCAACAAAGAUUGUAUCUUUAAACCAAUCAGAGAAAGUCUUGUUAUGCUUUUUCAAAACCCAAUUCUUUGACAUUUUUGGAUUAUUUUGUUUGACUAAAGCUUCAUGCUGAAGUGUGUAUGACAAAACUUCAUUACUGUUGUUCAACACAUACAAGUGAGCUUGUAAUAAAUCUUCUACACUUGGAGUGAUAACAUGCAGUCCUCUUGAACCCUUACCACCCACUCUGUCGUUAUGACGAGACUUAGAAAGGCCAAUAGGUUUAGCCUUUUCAAUGUACUCUGAACAAAAUUCAAUGGCUUCUUCUGCAAUGUACCUUUCAACAAUAGAUGCUUCUGGAUGAUGUAGAUUCUUGGUAUACCCUUUUAAGAUCUUCAUGUAUCGCUCAACCAGGUACAUCCACCGCAACUAAACAGGACCACAACAUUUGAUUUCUCUGACCAGAUGAACAAUUAAGUGAAUUAUGAUGUCAAAGAAAGCAGGAGGAAAAUACAUCUCCAACUGGCACAGUAUAAUUGCAGCCUCAUUUUCCAAGUCAUCAAACUUGACAGGAUCAAGGACUUUGCUACAUAUGGCAUUGAAGAAAAAGAACAGGCGAGUUAUGACUAACCUGACUUUGUUAGGCAAAAUGUCUCGUAGGGUCACGACUAACAAUUGUUGCAUCAACAUGUGACAAUCAUGAGACUUUAACCCUACUAGCUUAAGCUCCUUCAACUGCACAAGGCUCUUAAUAUUUGAAGAGUAUCCUUAUGGGACUUUCACCCGACGCAGACAUUGACAAAAACUUAUCUUCUCCUUUCUGGACAAAGUAUGACAAGCUGGAGGCAAAUAUAUUUUUUUCCAUCAGACCUUGGAUGCAACUGCAAUCGUAUACCCAUGUCAGCUAGAUCAUUAUGGGUAUUCAAACCAUCUUUCCUCUAGCCUUGAAUGUUAAGGAGCGUCCCAAUGACAUUGUCACAUACAUUUUUCUACACAUGCAUAACAUCAAUACAAUGUCUAAUAUCUAGAUUAGACCAGUACGGAAGAUCAAAGAAAAUGGACCUCUUCUUCCAUAUGCAAGUCUUACUUUUAUCCUUCUUUUUCGUGCUCUUGACUUCUAUUAAAUGCUUUUUUCAAUCGCCUGUAAGGGUGAUGAGGUUUUAGAAAACGUCGAUGCCUAGUGUAAACUGUUUUUCUACCAUGUUUUAGUUGUAUGUAGCUUGUGUCUUCUUCACAGAUGGGGCAUGCAUAAUGACCCUUAACAUUGUAACCGCUCAGAUUCCCAUAUGCUGGAAAGUCAUUAAUGCUACAAAAAAACAUUGCACGCAUUUCAAAAGUCUCAUUGCGAAACCCAUCAAACACUAAAACCCCCUCCUCCCAAACCUUUCUCAGGUCUUCAAUCAACGGACUUAGAUAAACAUCAAUGUCAUUUCCUGGCUGUCUUGGGCCCGAUAUUAUCAUAGACAACAUCAUGUAUUUUCGCUUCAUGCACAACCAAGGAGACAAAUUGUAAAUUACCAGUAGAACUGGCCAUGAACUGUGUUGAGUGCUUAAAUUGCCAUAUGGAUUCAUUCCAUCACUGGCUAAUCCUAGCCUAAGAUUUCUUGCCUCUUUGCCAAAAUCCGGAUACAAACCAUCAAUCUUCUUCCACUGGGAGCAAUCAGCUGGAUGAUAGACCAUUCCAUCAGAGUUUCUCCCAUUUGCAUGCCAGGUCAGGUCUUUUGCGUCGUCUCCAUUUGCAAAAAGACGCUUAAACCUUGGAAUGAUGGGAAGAUACCACAACACCUUUGCUAGAGGGCCCUUCUUUGAGUUUUCAUCAGAACUACAGUCCUCAUCAUCCUUCACCUUGUGCCGUGACGCCCCACACGUAGGGCAUUUGGACAUUUCUUCGAAUUCAUGCCUGUACAGUAUUUAAUCAUUCAGGCAAGCAUAAAUCUUCUGAUACUCCAUACCCAUCAGACACAAUAUCUUCUUGGCCUGAUAGUAACUUUUAGGCAACGUGUUUUCCUCUGGAAGCAGCUCAUGAACUACUUGAAGCAGUGAAGUAAAGCUUUUGUCCCUCCACCUAUAUCUGGCCUUGACAUUAACCAAACUUAACACCACCGACAACAACGUCAAGGAAUUCUUGCACCCCGUAUAUAGAGGCUUCUGUGAAGCAUUUUGCAAUCCUUCAUACAUAGGGGCAUGUGCUUGCUAAAAAGACUCUUGCCCAAGGUCACGAAUCAUAUCCUCCAAACGAUCUCCCAUUUCUACAUCAAACGGUUUAGAUUGGGACCCACUCUACAUGUCUAUCAAUUCACCAUGCCAUAUCCAUGUUGUGUAAUUCUUCUUAAUCCCAUUACACAAUAGAUGCUCUCGUAUGUCGUCCAGUAGUUGUCGUCUUCCGUUCAAACAAUUGAUGCAAGGACAAUAAUAUUUUCCAUCUUCAUCCGGUCAACCUCUUUCUGAAGAAAAUUGCAAGAACUGCUCGACGCCUUCCUCAUAUUCUAGGCUGAUGCGACUUUCAUUCAUCCAACUUUGAUCCAUCUAAGUAAUAACUCCGUGAUGCUCACAAAGUUAUUCAAUGCAUGAAAAUCUCACUUUUUUAUUAUAGGUGUGGCCCUAUCCGAUUCAGGAGGACAGUCUUUUAUGGUAGCUUCAUACGUCAGGGGUAAUUCUAUUUUGUUAAAUUUGACAAAAUUUUGGCAGCAUUUCGCAUUGGUCUCCAAGUACACGAUAUGAAAUUAAUUUCUUGAUAAUCAAGUAUGGACUCAGAGAACAACUCGAAAUGCAUUGUACAGAAAUUUCAUCAAAUUAAACAAAAUAAUGUUAACCUUAACGCAUGAAUCUACCAUAAAAAUAUCAGUCUCUCCAAACUGUCCAAACAAACAAUUCAAGAUUGAAUACAAUGAUUAAUGCAAACUGUCCGCAAGAAUCAUUGCAUUCAGUCUCAAACGGGAAUCUAAGGUUCACUCAUCAUGAACACAAUUUGUAUAGCAUAUAUCAAUUGUCAUUAAUGACAAUGAACAAGUAAUAAAAAUAUUAAUUGGUAACAAACAUUUGUACCUGUGAUGAUGAACAACACGGUCCUAAAUGAAAGCAAGAAUCAAAGAUAUAACUCAAUGACCACCUACGUCAAUCAGCAAACUGAUAUAAAUAUGUGACAAUGAGUAGGCUUAAAGUUUAAAUUUGCUUUAAGUGCUUCAUCAAAUGAGUAGGUUGUGUGUGUGUGUGUGUGUGUGUGUGUGUGUGUAAAUAUGUGACAAUGAGUAGGCUUAAAGUUUAAAUUUGCUUUAAGUGCUUCAUCAAAUGAAUAGGUUGUGUGUGUGUGUGUAAAUAUGUGACAAUGAGUAGGCUUAAAGUUUAAAUUUGCUUUAAGUGCUUCAUCAAAUGAGUAGGUUGUGUGUGUGUGUGUAAAUAUAUGACAAUGAGUAGGCUUAAAGUUUAAAUUUGCUUUAAGUGCUUCAUCAAAUGAGUAGGUUGUGUGUGUGUGUGUGUGUGUGUGUGUGAAAGUUGCAAUCUUAGAUUUAUAAUGCUCUAAAAUCUGAUAGGAAUAUAGAUAAAGCUGUAUUGUUGACAGCUGUGUAACUUACUUAACAGCUUGCUGCUAAUUAAUAGUAAAUAUUAUAGAGAUUCAAACCUAGCUUCAGCUUUCACAAUGGUGACAAGGGCUUCCCAAAAGCAAGCAGUAGAGGUACUCCCUAUGCCUUGCAGCUAAAGCAGUUGCAGAGAAGCAAGCAAAAGCCAAAAUAGUUGCCACAAAUGCACUAAUGAUAAGGCUGCAGAAUGAAGAAAAAUGACAAAACAUCAUUCAAAACUCAACACUAGUCACAGAAGCAACUGGCCAUUAAUCACAAAGCAAUUAACUCAACAAAUACCCCAAUCACAAAUCAAUCAUUUUCCCCUUUCCUAACAACAACUACUUUCUGGUUUCCUCAUUAAGUCCUUCUUUCCUUAUAAUUGACAAACUUGAUUCACUAAAUGCAUGCAAUCUACUCUUUAAAGGUUUAGUUUGAUUUCUCACAUUCAAUUAGUUUUUUGUGAUCUACUCACAAAACCUUAGAAUAUGCUUUCCCUGGUCACAAAGAGUUUGAAACAAUGUCCAUUUAUGUUAAUGAUGUUAUCCUAGUUAUAGGUCCAUCUUAUCUAAACCACAGGAUUGGUAAUUUGAGUAAAUUACGCAGUAAAACUACAAAACUGGAUCAAUCAAUAGAGAGAACCAUGCUCAAGUUGCAAUGAAUGAAGAUAAUACGAAGACAAUGCUAAUGGUACAUAGACUUCUUGCUUAUGAGUAAAUGGCUAAUGGUUCAUUGGAUAAAUGGAUAUUCAACAAGAACAAAGAGGAGUUUAUGUUGGAUUGGGAUACAAGGUAUAACAUAGCACUUGGAACAGCAAAAGGACUUGCUUAUCUACAUGAAGAUUGUGAGUCAAACAUUAUUCAUUGUGACAUCAAACCAGAAAACGUGCUCCUAGAUGAUAAUUUCAGGGUCAAGGUUUUUGAUUUUGGUUUGGCUAAGCUCAUGACACGUGAACAAAGGCAUGUGUUCGCAACACUUAGAGGCACUACAGUGUAUCUUGCACCUGAGUGGAUCACAAACUGUGCCAUAUCAGAGAAAAGUGAUGUUUAUAGCUAUGGUAUGGUGUUGGUAGAGAUCAUUAAGGGGAGGAAAAACUAUGAUCCCAGUGAAACUUCAGAGAAAUCCUAUUUCCCAUCUUUUGCUUUUAAGAUGGUGGAAGAAGGGAAUGUGACAGAGAUUCUUGACUCAAAGGUGGAAACUUAUGAAAAUGAUCAAAGGGUUCACAUUUCUGUGAAUGUUUCAUUGUGGUCCUAAUCAUAAAUAUUGCUCUAAUUAUAAAUAUUGCUUUAAGUAGAGACAUGGUCCUAAUCUCUUACAUAGACUAUGACAUCCUAAGCCUAGGAGUACCACCAAAGACAAACUUUAAGGCAAUCCUUACUUCUCAUAUAGUUUUUAUUUCAUUUUUAGUGAAUUCAAUUUAUAGUAACAGCUAACAAGGUUUUAGGCUAAGCAAUCCAAAACAAAAUGGGAUAAAUACCUUGGUCUUCAGAUUUCACCUCAAUAAACACAGCUGAUGCUUCACGUGGUUGCAACUUUUGAACCAUCUCUGCAGCUACUUCCUACAAGAAACAACACAGAUUAUAGACAAUUGUUAAAUAUAUAUUGUAGACAACUAUAUUGUGUACACAACUGUGUAGGUAAAAGGCUAUUUUGAGUGUGUGUGUGUGUGUGUGUUAGGUUGAGUGUGUAUACAACUUUAUGUGUUGUCAUGUUGAGUGUGUGGGAAGCUGAGUAUCUAAUCCUUAUCCAAAGGUAGCCUUCCCCUCUCUCUCUCUCUCUCUCUCUCUUUCUCUGUACUAUAUGUGUGUGUGUGUGUGUGUGUGUUAAUAAAAAGCUAAUGUAUGCUGAGUGUGACAAUUAUCUCCACUCAUUCAAAUUCAAGUUCUGGAGUAUCUCAAAUCCUUAAGCAAUGUAGUCCUAAAUUUUCAACAACAAUGAUGGGUAAAUAUUAGGAACUAGAAUUAAGUUAGGGCUGAAAUUAACAAUGGGGGGACAGCACAGAUGAUGAUAGCGUAAGUAUAGGAGCAGUAGAAAAAGCAAGGGAUUAUUUUGCACUGAUGAUGGAUAAGUAUGAGAUCGAGCCAUCGUGCAUAAGUAGAAGCACAAGUUUUUGGCAAUUGAACCAAAUGAAGGAAGAAAUCCAAGAAAAAGAAGCAAAGGAAGAAUCUCAGCAAAAGGAAGAAAAGAUGCUGCCAAACCCUACCUGGAAAACUCAAUCAGGUUGCUGCAAAAUCAAUUUGCAAAUCUGGACCUAUAGUUUUUAAGCCACAAACUGCAAAUAUCAUAAGAAAUUAUGCAACCUACAAGCAAAGGAGAAAUGGUAAGACUUUCAUUUUUAGUUGUUCAUGACUCAACUAAAGAAUCAGGAUGCAAAUUUGAUUACACAAAUUGAAUAUAUUUCAGAUUUAGAUCUAGACAGCUAUUCUCCUAUCCUCUAACAUCAAAGAUGUUUAUUCUUUAAGAAAAAGAACAGAAAAAAAGGAAGCGACAACGCCCAAUGCUCUCCCUUAUGUUGUUGGAGAGGCUUGUCUCUACCCAUGUUUACAGCAUGUAAAUUCACAUACCCCUCUUCAGUGACUAGGAAGUUUCUUUAACAACACAGAGAAACAGGUUGAGGAGAAAAGGGCCAAUUGCACCUGAGCAAAUGUUCUAUUCUGUUUGUUACUAUUAUACUUUUCUGAUGUGUAUUCGGUUUAGUAAUAUGUGUAUGAUAUCACAACAUGUCUAUAUUUAUCAAUGUUUCUUGUUGAGUUUGGAGGGAGUUAGGAGGGAAUAGCUUGAUUGAUAUUGCUUGUGGUGUACUGCUUUUUCAGAGCAUUUGGUUAUAAGUAUUUGAAACUAAAAAGGAAGCAUUUGGUUAUAAAGAAGAUAAAAAAAAUUGAAAAUAAAAAGGAAGAGUGCCAUUUAAGUGUUGAAAGCUUCCACAGUGUUGGGUUGUUUUUGGCAGGUAGGAAGAGAAGCAAGUUGCAACAAAUGAUAAUUGGGAGUAAAAAAUUCAAAAAGCAAACUCAAGAAACAUGUUCUAAAUCCUAUGUUAAACCGGAUAGCUCAUUCAUGAACUUGAUUUCAAACAUGAUCAAAGGAUGCUCACAAUCAACUCAAGAUGAGGAAAAGUCUUUGGCUCUUAACCUUGAAAAUCCUAAUCAUCAUCUUCAACAGCCAGAUCAGAAACUUCUCAAGUGCAACAAGAAUAAAUAUUUAGAGCUAAAAAAUGCAGGGUUCAGAUCAAAUUUUUAGUCUAUGGUUGGUGCAAAAUUUAAGAAUGUUGGAACAAGAAUGUCUCAAGUCGGAAAGGCUUCUAAAGAUUUUGAGCCAGGUACCAAGGUACAUGGAAUUGAUGCCACUCCAAUAACCUUCUAUACAAAGAACAAUAGCCUUUACAGACAGUAUUUUCAAUCAAAUAAGUUUGAAAUAUCUGAAGGGAGAUUUGAUGCCUGUCCCCCAUUACAGUCGCAGAUAAGACCUAUAAAUUCUCUCAACAGUCAUCAACACUGGAAAAAUAACUCAACAGAGAAUGAAAAAUUGUUACAACUUGGAGCUAACUAAGGAGAAAGAAGGAAUGGCAUUACUAUCAUUACAUUCACCUUCAACUAAACAAAACAGAAAUGAUAAUGAGAAUGUCAAGUCUUGUGCAAUGUAUGAGAGUAAGGAAAUGUGUCAUAGAAGUGAUAAUGUGGAAGGUCUUUGGAUAAAUCGUUUUUUUUUUACCAAAGUCAACUUCCCCCUUGGUAGUUUUUGAUCACCUUAAUGAGAGAGGUGGUUCUGAAGUUCAUUCUGCGUCAAUAUAGAGGAUUCCACUAUCCUUAAGGAUGAUAAGGGAAAUCAAUAUCACACAGCAAAGAUGAAUAAGUUCAAAUCCUUUACAUAUUUCCCUGGAUUGAGAGCUGCAGGGCCAAUGGUGUCCAUGUUUGCAAGGAGAUUAGGUUCCAUAAAAAAGGAAGCAUUUGGUUAUAAGUAUAAACUGGAUAAUAAUUUAUUAGAGAUAAACUAACUAUAUCUUAAUUAACAAGUAUGAUAACAUAAAGUAUUAGCAAAGCUACAUACGAAUCAAGUGUUGCAGCCAAGGCACAACUUGAGGUAGCCAAAGCUAGAUAUACAACAGUUGUUUCAGAUUUAAUAGGUGUGAAAGAGGAGCUGUAAGCAUUGCACAAAGAACCUAUUUCCUUAGUGACUGAUAGAGAUGUAGCUAUUAAGAAAGCUGGAAAGUAGAUUACUUGCAGCUCAAAAGGUGAAUAUCAAACCAACCAUCAACUUCCAGCUAACAUGUGCUUAUUUAAAACUGUCAACGAAGUAUUGCAGCAUUAAUUUGAUAGAAAUUGAUCAAGAACAAUGAUUACACAGAUAACUUGGCAGUUUUGGCUUACACCAUAGCCAACAUUUUUUUUUCUUUUUUGGGACUUGGGUACAUGAAAAUUUAUGGGGAGGAAAAGUUGUUGCAUUCCAAGUUCAUGACAUAGCACAAGCCAUUUGAAAUGGUACUUAAAGUUACACAUGACAUGCCAAUGGGCCUCAUUUAGAUAAAUUUCUCAACAAACACUUAUAGGAAAAAAAAUAGGAGGUAAAAUGAAUGAAAUUUCUCCCUUAAGUGAAAAUCAACUUGUGCACCUAGCUUAUGGACAAAUUAGAUUAGGGAGCUUCUAAAAAAUUAAUGGGAGAAGUUUAAUUCAAUAAACCUCUUUAUUUUCUUAUCUUAUAAAUGCUUGUUAAAAAGUUUAUUCAAACUGGGCUUAAGUAGAUAAAAUUUGAUCCUACUAGUUGAAGUUAACCCUCAUUAACAGAGUCUACAAUUUUUGCUAAAUAAAGCUACAACUGAAACUACCAAGACAUGUUAAUUGUACCUCAGAGAAAGGAGAUUACUUGCAGUUCAAAAGGAGAUAGAGGCUGCAAAGCCUUCUGAAAAUUUGGCAAUAGCAGCAAUUAAAGCAUUGCAAGAAAAAAAGGGUUCAAAUAAAUAAUAAAAUUACAAACAUUGCUUUCAUUAGUUUCAAUCUGAAUCAUUCAUUCACAAAAUUCAGUUAAGAUUCGCUUUUCUUAAAAUCUCAUUUCUCCCUAGAUAUGCUUUGAUAUACAAGUGUGACUUCAAAGUAGGUUUAAGGGCAUGCAAAUACAUAUCCAAACCCACUCUCACUUCUGCAAAUUGGUAAAACCCAAACUCACUCAGCCAAAGCAUACUUCUCCAUCAAAAUCAGGGCAUUGGAUAUGAGUAGCCAUGGUUUAAAGAUUUAAUAGCCAUACCUAGAUAAAACACUCUGAUUGUAAACUUCUGGUGACUCAGAAAGAGUAUCACUAAUUCCUAUGGAUAACGAGUGUUGUCAACUUUCUGGUACCAUCUUCAAUUCCUAUGGAUAAAAAUAAAAUGCAUAUGCUUGUGAUAUUCUUUUUAGAGAAGAAUGUAUUAGGGCACAUUAACAUUAGGUAUGCAGUUUGUUGCUCAUACAGUUAUUCACAAAUCCAAGUCUCAUGCACAAAAAUCUGGAAUUCUCAUACAGUUUGCUGCUCGUAGAAGUUGAUUUAAACUCAAUUAGAUACAUACCUGGCAGCCACUUGUACCUUUUUGUGAAGAAACUAAUAUGGACUAGUAGGUCCAUACUAGAUCUUAGCCUAAUCGCACCCGCACGAUCAACUAUCCAAUGCCCUACGGGGUGCACCUUUUAUACAAGAACACAGUAAGGGUAAGGGAUAUUGCGUUAAAUAUAAAAUACCCUAGCCAUGUUUACUUCACUAAGUGUGCGAUAGAUGAAUGCAAUCAAAUAUUUAUACAGGAUUAGACGAAACAUACCUAGGUAAGGUGGCGAAGGAGAAGAAGCAGAGAGUUGUGACGAUGCUCAAGCUUAGAUGAAACGAUGCUUAGAUGGAGAACAAAGAGCUUCAAGGUAGAUGGAGAACAAAGAGCUUCAAGGUAGACGAAGAACAGAGACCUUAGAUGGAGAAGAAAAGAGAGCGAAAGCUUAGAUGGAGAAGAUGAGAGCGUGAGCCAUAUCUUAACUUAUCAAACGUUAACAUCGGUUUUGUGAAAACCUGAUGUUAACAAACUUAUGUUAACAAACCGAUGUUAACUAAUUAAUGUUAACAUCAGUUUUCCAAUAACUGAUGUUAAUGUCACUUCAUUAACAUCGGAUUUUCACAAAACCGAUGUUAACGGAUACACAGUAUUUACAAUUAUGCCACCGCGUUUACGUUAACAUCGGUUUUGUUAACAACCAAUGUUAAGCCGCCGAUGUUAAAUAUGCCUUUUGUAGUAGUGUUAAACUAGCUUAACUAUAAGCUACUAUUGAGGGUUUUCUCCUAGCUGCAUCAUUAGGGUUUUUUAGAUCCUAAGGCUUCCAUGUUUGUUUUUCCCAUGUGGUUGUGGCUCUACCUAAGCUGAUUUGCUGCCUUAAUUUGACACCUUCUACCCCGAUAUACAUAUUUAUAUAGUAGAAUACAUGAAAAUGCAAAAUUACAUAAAAUGAUUUUAUUCAAUAAACAUAAAAAAGCUCACGUGGGUAAAAUGUUAACAUUCCCGUUAAUCACAAAAUUAAAAACUUAUCAAUUGAGGGUAUGAAAACAUUUCCAACUCAAAACAAGGUUGUUCAAGUUUACCAAAGAACUCAAGUUAAGUAACAAAAUAAAAAAAGUAAAAUGACAUGUUUGGAACAUCAUGCAAUUAAAACAGAAACCCAUGCCCCAAUGUCACAUCCUAUCAUAGUAUUGUGUCCUAACAUCUUCCAGCACGAGGUUCCUUAAAGCAAUCCGCCUAGCCAUCUACUCUUAUGAACACAAGGUUAGAGAUCAUCACAUGAUCCAAACACAUACGGAGUGAGUUAUCACAUUCCUAAACAGGUAAAGAUAGCCAAAGGCUUAUAUAUAUAUAUAUAUAGUAUGAGUAUAACAAGUUCAAAUUAGAACAAUUCAUAUCACUUUAUCACUCUUUGCAUAACAUCACUUGUCCCAAGGAUUUAAUCAUAUUCCACACCUUCACAUUAAUCACGUGUUCAAAACAACAAAUCUCAAGUACAACAUAACAUCUCACACUCACACAAUUCAUUAUCCACCAUCACGUAGCAAGCCACAUGGAUCAUUACACAGGUGUUAUGCAACAGAUACACUAAGACUCACUUCUAUAUGCAAUAUGGUACUAUGUCAGUGAAAAACCUCAUCGGACGCUUAGGAGUACAUGACAAGACAGACCACAUACUGGUAAGUCAGGUCACUCUCACUAGGUAAAAUCAUAGGGAGACCAGUUAGGGUCACCCUGUUUUGCGAGAAUGCUCCAACCAUGUGGGAUCGACACAUGCUUAAAGGAGUACUCAAACUGGAUGUAUUUACCCCUAAGGCCAAGACUCCGAAGAGUCCGUCAGGACUUCUCCCUCCUGAUUCAGGUCUAACCCAUAAAACAUUUUAGCACGCAAACUCUAUCUAUAAACUAUACAAAACACACGACUCCUCAAUUGUUCUCAAAAUAAUUUGAACUCAUUGUGCUUCAAAGUGAUUCAACUCGUCGAGUUCCCACAGUGGACCCCAUCACAAUACUCGUCGCACAUUUACUCGUCGCCCUUAAAGGGUCUUAAAAUCGUGUGAUUUUACAGUUCAUAGCUCAGACCUCAAUGCACACAACAUCUCAAUACAUGUGUGAUCUCUCAAUUUAACACAUACUCAACUUAUCACAUACACUCAAUCUCAAUCACAAUGUUAUAAUCUCAAAGCAACAUGUUAUCACACCUUACAAAUCAUAUACAUAUCACAUAAUAUUAAUAUAUACAUGGCACAAACACAUACUUUACCUAUAAACUAUGCAAUACACACAACUACUCAAUUUUUUUUAAAAUCAUUUUAACUCGUCGCACCUCAAAGUGAUUCAACUCAUCGGAUUCCUACAGUGGAUCCCAUCACAAUACUCGUCUCACAAAAACUCGUCGCCAUUAAAGGGUCUUACAAUUGUGUGAUUGCACAAUUCAUAGCUUACAACUCGAUACAUACAAUAUCUCAAUAAACAUGUAUCUUGCAAUUCAUCACAUAUUCAAUUUAUCACUUACACAAUAUUUCAAUCACAAAUUCACGAUCCUAAUAUAACAAUUUAUCACACUAAUCUAGUAAAUCUUGUUCAAAACACAAACAAAUUAUACAAAAAUGUUUCUCGCAACAUGGGAGAAAAACCCCUCGAACAAUUUCACAUACUCAUAUAAAAAUAAAAGGAAUCAAAAUCAUAGGUCAAAAACAUAAAAACACCAACAACACUCAAUUUUAUCAACCAAUUCACAUCAGGGCAUCAAUUGGUCCAUCAAACAAAAUAAUAUCAUAAUUAUAAUUGUAAAGGAAGAUAUACAAUACAGUAAACAUCCCAAAAUAAACUCUAAUUUGAUCCUCUAAGAUCCCUACACAUGUUCAUUCUAACCCAAUUGCGAUAAACCCAUCAUUUACCUCUAAGCGGGCUCACUGCAUAGUCCGACAGUGAUAACAGGGUCUCUAGUGAUUCUGUAAGAUUCCUGAAGCUUUUCUUUUGGUUUCUCUGCUAGGUUUUCCAAGCAUUAGAGAGAAGGAAAAGGGAUUGGAGUCUCAAUUUCACUGUCUCUGUGAGAGCGGUAUGUCUCUCUAAAAACAUUAUAUCCCAAAUACCAACGGUGGAAAUGUGUGGAAAUGAGUUUCGGAGGGGGUGUCCAAAUUUCUUAAUGAUCCAACGGUUAAAGAGUCUGAGAUCAUAGUUUUACUGAGACAUGUUUGAGUGUAUACGAGAAAAAGAAAGAGUUUUGAGAGAGGAAGAAGGGAAAACGAAUUUGAGAGGAAGAAAGAGCGUAAGGACAUAUCAUAAAUGUAAAAACUGACCUAAUAUAUCUCUAUGUAUAAUUAGGGUACUUUCAGCCUAUUAUUUACUCUAUUUUUCUUUAUUUUAUUAUUUUAUAAAAAUGAACUUUAUUUUACUUUCAUUGAAUAAAAUAACCAGUUAAAACAUUCCUUUAUUUUCUAAAACAUCAUUUAACUCUAUUUAUUUUCUAAUACUAUGAAACUCUUAUUUUAAUUAACAAAAACCCUUUUUCUCUCAUUUAUUUAAUUUCUAAAAACUCUAUUAAUUUUUAAAUAAAUUUCUUUUUAUUUAUUUGACAAAAAAAUGGGGUGUUACACCUAAUAUCAUAUUUAUGCCUAUUUGGUACUUAUGAAAACGACAUCAAAUGGAUCAUGGAAAGAACCUUGACCUCAUUGAUGAGGAAAAGGACAUAUUAGAGUUGUCAGAACAGGAGGAAACAAGUCAACUGGAUAAAAAGGAUGUGGAAGGCUAUUAGCUCGUUGGCAAAUUCUUGAAGCAUGGAUCGAUGAACGUAAGGGUUUUCAAAGCCACAAUGGCCCAAGCAUGGAAAAUGAAGGGAGGACUAGAGGUGAGAGUUGUGGAGAAGAAUCUUUUCACCUAUUGUUUUUCCAGAAGAAAGCAGAGACAUGGUUAUGAGGCUGGCUACAUGGAAUUUUGAUAGGAAGCUAGUGGUUCUAAGUGAUCUUGAUCAAGACAAAAGCCCUAGCAUGGUUUAUCUAAAUUGUUGCCCAUUCUGGGUAAGGAUUUAUGAUUUGCCCCUUAACCUGAGGGUCAAAAGAGUGGCUCAAACAAUUGCAAACACCAUACCCCAAUUUAUGGAGUGGAAUAAGAAUGAGCAGAAUCGGUUGGGUCGCUUUGUAAGAGUGUGAAACCUCAUGGAUGUUAUAAAAUCUCUACGGAGGGGAACACAAUUGAAACAAUGGACGUUGCUACGCAACCUCACCGAGAGACAUAAAUUCCUUAGCUGAAAUUGAUGUGGGCUUGGGAGCCCAUGAGCAAUUUGAUCUUUGUGGAGACUUCUUUCUGAUGAAGGUCUUGACUUGGUGUUCUUUAUGGAAACCAAGAAAAAGGUUACUGAACUGAAUGGUUUGAGAUAAGGGGUUAAAAAUAUGAUAAGGGGGGUUGGUUUUGUUGUGGGGUGACUACAUUGAGGUUGAUAUCAUCUUUUCUCCCAAAACCAUAUUGACGUGUGAAUUUUUGUCCAUUCUCAACAAAAAAAAAAAGAUUCCAAUUCUCAAGUGUGUAUGGCUUUCCUGAGGGGUCUCACAAACACUUCACCUAAAAUUUUAUCUGAGAUUUACAACAUGAGAAUGAAUCCCCUGGGUUAUGUCUAGGGGAUUUUAACAAAGUUCAAAGCCCAAAUGAAAAGAUUGGGGAAAUCCAGUGUGUAUGAGUCAGGUAAAAAAUUUCAAUGACACUCUUAAUGAUGUUAGCCUAAGUGACUUGGGGUAUUUGAGCUAUAAAUUUAUUUGGACAAAUAGAUGGAAAAAAGCCCAACAACAUACAAGAAUGCUUAGAUAGAGUAGUUGAUGAUGCUUAGUGGAGGAGUUGGAGGAAAGAAAUGUUAGGUGUACCAUCUGUCUAGAUUCGAGUCGGACCAUUGCUUGAUCUUUGUUUAAUUCUUGGUGCAAAAAAGGAGGAGGAAAAGAAGGGCAAACAUCUAUCAUUUUGAGCAAAUAUGGUUAAAGGAUAUGAUUUAUGGUAUCUUAGAAAUAGAGGCAAAGCAAAAUGAUCUCCUCCUCAAAGAAGAGUUUUACUGGUCCAAAAGGUCCAGAGCAACAUGGUUGGUCCAAAAGAAACAAAACCAAUACCAUUGAGAAGGUUAAGGAUGGCAAUGGUGACUUCAAAGAUGAUGAGAAAAGAAUUGCAGGUAUUCUAAAUAAUUAUUUCUCCACUAUAUUUUCUUUAUUAGUAACAACUGGGUGCAUGAGGUAUCCUACAUGGUUGGAAUACGAUUAUAUGAUUAAAUGAUAAAUAUUUUAAAUGGAAAGUUUAGUGGGGAGGAAGUGGAGUAAGCAUUCUUUCAAAUGCACCCAACAAAUGCUCUAGGCCUUGAUGGCACCCCUACAUUAUUCUAUCAACAAUUUUGGGACCUUGUUGGUCUAGAUGUCAAGAGGUUGGUGUUAAAUAACUUUAAUGAUGAAGGAGACCCAACCACAAUAAACAAAACAUUGAUUGCACUCAUCCAAAAAGUUAAAAGACCCACAAAUGCAAUUAGAUUUAGACUAAUUAGUCUUUGUAUUAAUGUCAUCUUCAAAAUUGUUAAAGACUAUGGCUAACAGUUGAUGAUGGUUCUUCCUUCCAUGCUCUUAUUGCUUUUGAAUGCUUCCACUAUACGAAGAAUAAGAGAAGUGGAGAUGGAUUUAUUUGAUCAAGGCCAUUUGCAUGGUCUAAAGAUAUGUAUUUCUGCUCCUAUUAUUUCACACUUGUUCUUUGCAAAUGACAACAUUAUUUUUACAAGGCAACACUAGAGGAGGCAAUGUGUCUAGUAAGUAUUCUAAAGACUUAUGAGGGUGCUUCUAGACAGAAAAUUAACCUAGAUAAAUUAGAGCUCUCGUGUAGUUGAAAUGCACCUAGUACUAGAAUUGAUGAACUAACAAUGCUUCUUGGAGAAAAGGCGGUGGAGACCUAUGUGAAAUAUUUGGGUCUUCCUACGUUGAUAGCAAAAUCCGAAACCUAAGUUUUCAAAUUUGUCCGAGAUUGGGUCUGGAAAAAACUCAAAGGUUGGAAGGAGAAGGUUUUGUCAAAGGCGGGGAGAAAAGUGUUGAUAAAAUCUAUGGUUCAAUCUAUACAACCUAUGCCAUGGGUUAUUUCUUCUUGCCACUUUCCACUUGUAGAAAGAUAGAAAGUCUCACAACCCAUUUCUAUCGAGGGAGGGGAUGUUGAUGGGAAGAAGAUCCAUUGGAUGAGCUGGAAAAAUUGACUAGAAAUAGGAACCAUGGAGGGCUUAGAUUCAGAUUUGUUAAAUCCUUCAAUCUAGCCUUACUAGCGAAACAAUAGUGGAUACUCAUUUUCCACCCAGACUCCUUAGUGGACUUUUUUUUUACCAAACAAAGUGAUUUUGUAAAAUUAUAUAGCAAAUUUGGUAUUUUCAAAAACUAUUUAUCAAAUAUGAGUAAUUUUGACUUUUGACAUCAGUUAUAAUUAAUCACCUAUUUCUGGUAAAUAGUUUUCAAAAUCACCUAGUUUGGUAUAUAGUUUUACAAGAGCUAGUUUGUUAAAAAAAAAAGUCUUCCUUAAUAUGGCUAGGGUUUAUAAGGCAUGUUACUUUCCUUCCAAGUGCAUCCUUGAGGCCACGAAAGGUUCUGAUAGUAGCUAUAUGUGGAGUAGCUUACAAAAAGCAAAGGGGAUAAUUGAAUAUAAGGUUGCAUCUGGAGUUUUCGAGAUGGUUUGAUGACCUCAAUAAAAAAUGACACAUGGAUGCCGUGUGUGCCCGGAGGAAAGAUUCCACUUUUUGAAUAUGUGGAUAUUCCUGAUGAAAUGAAAGUUUCGGAGUUCAUUAAUGUUGAGUCGGAUUGCUAGAAUACUUAAACUUUAAAAUUAACAAAAUUAAGACUAUAAUAUUAUUAUUUACUUUUUAAUAUCGACAUUGUUUAACAAUUGUCUAAAAAUUUUACCUAAUUUUUUAUAAUAUAAAGUAGGAAACUUUUGACGUGCUUUUUUCCUCUUGAAAUAAGGGUAUUUUCAACAAUUUUUUUAUAGUUAUUUCAUUAUUUCAUUUAUUUUUUUUGGUGAAUCUUUUAUAUAAUACAAAAUAAGAAAGUUUUGGUGCACUUUUUUCCACCCAAAAUAAGAAUAUUUUUGACAAUUUUUUUGGUUACUUAUUUUUUAGUUAUAUUUUUGGUGGAUGAAUAAAACUGAAACAUUUAAUAGAAAAUGAGUUUUAAAUGCAUAUUUAUUUAUUAGGUAUUGAAAGAAAGAUAAUAGGUUCUAAAUGAGUUUUAAAGCGUAUUAAUAAGUAUUUAAAUUCAUUCAUUGGUUUAUUAUAUUUAUAGAGAUUUAUAAUAUCUAUGAAAAUAACGGCUAGGUGCAUUGGGUCCAUGUUUUGUUAGAGGCUAAACAUGCUUUAGUUAAGUAUCUCUUUGGAACUUCAAAAUUUUACAUGUCUUUGAUGUUGUUCUUGAUUGUAUUUAUCACGUCAUAAGGGUGAAUUUAACUUCUUCAAAAGCUUUUAGACUUUAAUAAUAUUUUCAUUAAUGAAAAAACUAUUAUAUUUUUUUAAAUUGGAAUUUAAAAAUAAGAAUAUCAUAUAUUUUAAAAAUAUUAUUUAAAAUUAAUAAGAAAGUUUUGACACACUUUUUUUCACCUAAAAUAGGUAUACUUUAGACAAUUUUUUUGGUUAUUUCAUUUUUCUUUUAUUUUUUGAUAAAUAAAAAGAGAGACAUUUAAUAGAAAAUGAGUUUUAAAUGGAUGUUUAUUUAUUAGGUAUUGAAAGAAAGAUAAUAGAUAUUAUUGAUGUCAUUAAUGAAUAUUUAAUUUGAAUUCAUCCAUCAAAAUAAUAUGAAGUGCAUUGGAUUCAUGUUUUGCGGGAGUCUAAACAAGUUGUUGAUGUUUUAACUAAGUAUGAGCUGGAUCUUUAGAAUGCUAAGCAAGUCUUUCAUGUUGUUCUUUUACUGUAUUUAUCAUGUCAUAAGGGUGAAUUUAGGUUGCAUUAGUUUUUUUAUAGGCUUAUAACCUUUAAUAAUAUCUAUCAUUAAAAAAAUAUCAUGUUUAUAAAUUUGCAUUUGAAAAUUAAUAAUAUCAAAUUUAAAAGAUAAAAAAGAACUAAAGGUAUUAAUCUGUCAUUAUAGAAUCAUUUAUCAAUUGUAAUUAUAUAUUACCCUAGCUUGAUGGAAGAGAGCUAUGAAGGAAAAUGAAAAUAGUGGUAGCUUGAUCACCCAUUUACAUUACCCUUAUGUUUUAUUGUCAUUGGAGAAUACUUUAAAAAUUAAUAUUUGAGAAUAAUGUCUAUUGAAUGUCUCAUAUAGGAAUAGAGUGAUGUUUAUUAGUGUCCUGUAAUUCUUUUUCUUAAACAAAUCAUUUUGCUUAACUUGCUAAGUAGCUUUAAAUGAUUUAGCUUUUUCCACUUGAAGAAUUAUUCAAGAUUAGAAGAUUUAAGAGGAUUGAAAUAAUACUAAGAUUCUAGCUCAUUGAAUGGAGAAAAAUAAUUUUUGUUGCCAAGAUGUUGCCAAGUAUCACCAAAAAAACCCAACUAGCUUGUUUUUAUUGUUGUUUCCAAACCCUGCACAUCAACUGCUUAUGUUUUUGUCCUUAUGAACUAUGUUUUGUUUAGCCAUCUAAAUUUAGAAAUGAACUUUCUUUUUUGCAACCUUUUCUUAAUAACAAAAGCACCCUUGCCUAGUUGUUAAAUUUACACAAAAGUCUAGUACAAACAAAUCGUUGAGGAUACGAUCUUUGUACUUUGAAAAUACUACAUAGAUUGGUAUGCUUAUCGAUGAUGUAACAAAGCCCCACCCCCAUGGUGGCUCCUCUCCUUGUGCCGCCUACAUCAAGCCCUCCCUUGCCUCUGGAAGCCACCACCACCUUGUCAUGUGCAAAGGCUACGAGUACGACUUCCACCCAGCCACCACCAAUUAAUUAAUGAUAUUUGAUUAUAGAAGUCAUUUUAAAAAUAUUUGCAAAAUAUAUACAUUAAAAUUUAAAUACGGUUAUAAUUUAUCCAAUAUAAAAAUUUUGGGCAUCACACAGGUACAAGAACUAGAACAAUAAUAAAAGUCAGUAGUUGACAACAUCAAUCCACUAAUUUAAGAUGAGAGAGAUGAUACCUACAAAUAUACUUUUAAAAAUUGAAUUUAUAUUUAUAAAAUUAAGAAAAAAAGACAUGCAUAUUUAAUUGGGUUAAAAAGUAAAGAGAAAAAAGAUAUUUCAUUAGGACAUACUAUUGGGUGGAUUUUACAAUAAACCCACUCAACAAAUUGUUCACCAGUAAACUAAUAAUUACAACCAUUAAAUAUAUUUUAAAAAAAAUAAAUUAUUCAAAUUCAGAAUUAUAGUUAAUUUAUCUAGUUAGUUAAAUUUAAUUAUUCUUAUAAUCCAAUUAGAACACCACCAUUUCUCUGAAGAGAAGACCACACCACCGUGAACACUAUCAUACUCUCACUUACUGAAAUCAAAACAAAACACCACUAUCUUCUUUGUCUCAACAAAAAUCAAAACCAAACAAAAUUUGAUUUAGGAAUUUCUUGUUUAUUCAACAAGCACAAUCAAAAUCAAAAUCAAAUCAUCAGCAAAUACAAUCUUAUAAUCAAAAUCAAAUCAUCUACAUAUGUUGUGGGGUGUGUGUGGGGUGAUGUGAGGUAUUUACGGUAUGGUUUGGCUUCAUUUUUGAUUGAAAAGUCAUUUGAGUCAAACAUAAAAAUUUAAUGUUUUCAGUUUGGUUUGGUUUGAAUAUAAUAUCAAAUUCAAAUCAAAUCAAACCAAUCUUUUGUUGUCUGAUUUGGAUUGAUUUUUGUGAUUUUUAAUAUUUUUAAUUUUAUCUUUAUAUGACCUUUAAAAAUAUUUAAUUUAACUAACAAAAAAAAAUUGACACUAAAACUAUCAAACAUUCAAAACCUUAUUUAGACACUAUAGCCCAAUAGUAGCUAAUAGCUUGGUAUACAUUUAAAAAUUUGAUGUAUUUUGACUUCUUGUAGAUAAAUUAUAUGAAGUAUAAACUAAUGCUCUAGUCAAAACAGUAGUUAAGCUCAAAUUACACUUAAAAAUAUUUGUUUUUAUUUUUUAAGUGAUUUUUAGUUUUUAUUUUAGAUCGGAUUGGAUUUGAGCACCCUUAAAAAUGACAUUACUUUACAAAAAAAUGGCGACAAAACGUCACUUUUUAGAAACACAUCAACACUUGGUUAUGCAUUUAAAGGAUUGGUAAAAUGCACAAAAAUUAGGAAAAACAUAAUAGUAUAAUUUGUGGGAAAAAAACUUGAGUUAUAAAAUUCCCAAAAUAAUAAUAGCUAAGUGGUAAAAUGUACACUCAAGCCAUAAAAAUAUAAUAUAAAACUUACCUAGAAAAGUGAUACAAAGAUGUAAAAAUGAUUAAUCCUUUAAUUUAUUCAAAUAAAGAACUUUAUUUCAAAACCAACAUAUUAUGGGAAGAUAUCAGUUGGAGUUGCUACUUUCCUCCUUUCCUUAUUAAUGCAUAUCUCUGGGUGCUUUUGCAUGACCAGGUGGUGCUCAACUCUAGGUCCAUUGUGCCAAAUGUCACCCAACAGGUCCUUGUUAUUACUUGUUCAAGUGCCUUUCUAAGUGCCCUUGUCAGGACCGGGUACUACACAUGCCCCUAAGCUCUAAGGCAUGUGAUAACGACUGUUGAAUCGCUUCAAAACAAAUAAAACUAAGAAAUUUUGUAAUACAUGAGUAACCUAGGCCAACUCAGAAAUACGAUUCAAUUUGGUUUCUACUUCAAUUCACUAAUAAAGAGUAGGGAGAAUUUCAACAAAUAGUUUGAAGGCAAGGUAAAGGAUUGCGAAAACUCAAAAACAAAAUUGUAGAAACAAAACAAAUUUUUUGGAAACAAAAUAACAUAAUAUGAAUCAAGUUUAAUAGCAUCAAUCUAAUUCACCAAACCAAUGCAAAUCGAAUCAUCAUAGUUUUGCAGAGAAUGAUCAUGUUGUGAAAGUUCAAUCAAUGUCAUUAGAGUUAGUUCAAUCAAAUUAAUUUCUAAAUUCAUUGAGAUCGCAAAUUAGGGUGGAGUAUCAUCCAAACAAUUUUUUAUUAAAUUUCAAAAUUAGGAAAUGAAUACAUUACCUAAUUCGUUUUCAAUCCUAAUCAUAUUCAUAAUCAUGAAAAUUUAAAAUAGGAUUGAAGAAACAUAUGAACAUUCACACAAAAUAGAAGUACUAAACCAGAAUUCAAAUUUAGCCUUGCUUGGAGUGGAUCCUAGGAUUGAUUGAGUGUUUUACCUUUCAUGAUCAUCGCCAAUGGAAGAUUCAUGAAAUUUUUGCAAGAAAAAGGAAGAAUAAAAGUGAAAAGAGGAAGAAGAAUGAACAACAAUUGAGAGAAAGAGAUAAAAGAGUUUGAUCUUAAAGCUUGCACAACAAGUAACUAAAUUUGUUUUUGUACAAAAUGAAGUAACUAACUCACUAACUAAAUAAAUUCUACUAAUAUAUAUAGUUACUACUCAGAAGGAAGGGAUGGGUUUUGAUUAGGCUCAUCUAAUCUACCUAAUUAAACUAAUUACACAAAGCACAGUCCAAAUUCGCAACCUAAUUAUUCAAGUGUAGAGGUUCUGACUUCCAAACUUAAUUUGACCCUCGAAAUAGUAGAAUUGGCCCAAGCUUAUUUCUGACAAAAUUGAAUCUCUCUUUCUUAGCUUUCUAGGGACUACUCACAUGCUCCAUUUGGAGUUAUGUAGUGCCUGAUAGACCUUGCACAAGAUAGAUAGGUCAAGUAAGUAAAAAAAAUCCAAAAAUAAGCCACAAUUAUCAAUUAAGCUCAAUCAUUUGCCUAAGACCAAAACUGAGUUAAGAUAGGAAAAUAGGAGUCAAAGAGAGAGGUAAUGUCAUAUGAGUAGAAGUAUUUGGUCCUAGGUCCUUUAAGCUAAGUGCUAUCGGUAGGUCUUGAUUUUGAACUUUUGGAAGUUGCAUUUCUCUAAUAUACCCUUUUUGCAUUCAAAAUCAAUUUUGAUUGAAAGUAUUAAACAAAAUUGAUGAAAAAUCACUUUAAUUGUAGUUACUCCAAGGCUGGAAAGAGUUACCUACAUACGGACUAACCCUUAAAGCUAAGUUAAGCAUUGUAGAGUGAAACAACCAAGAUGUGGCUCUUAAGCAGUUGUGAUCUUGCAUUGACUAGCGAUGCGGCCUAAGUUGUGGUUAUAAAGCUUAGACAAUCUUCAUCUUACAAGAGACUUUAUGGUGUUGAAUUAGGUUAAAAAGCCCAAAUUCUAAAAAUAAUUUCCAUAAAAAUCAUGUUUUCGAUAUCGGAUAUUGUAAAAAAAAAAAAGUUAAAACUAUUGUGCAUUUUGUUCUCUUCUGAACAUACAUAAACAACAUUCUUCCAAUUUAAAAAUAAGAUGUUGUCACGUGAUAUGUGAGGAAGGAAAUAUUACAAUUAGUUGAAACAACUGUGCAUUUUGUUCUUUUCUGAAUACACUUAAACGCCAUGAUUUUAAAUUGUGAUCACGGUUGUGGUUGCAAUUGUGGUGUGUCAGAAAAUCUUUACCCUCAAGGCCUAGACUUUGAUGAAUCCGUUAGGACCUCACCUUUGUUAUUCAGGUCCAAACCCUAAAACAAUUUUUGCAUGCAAACACUGCUCAUGAAUUAUACAAUACCCAUGACCUCACGCUUGUUCUCAAACACGUUUCACAUAUUGUGCUACAAUUUAACACUUCGAGUUCCUAACUUGGAACCCUACACUUUCCUUUUAACACUUUGUGCAUAAACAUUUUUCUCAAAGUAAACACCAAUCAGGUUAUUGUAUAAUUCACAACUCACAACACAAGUAUUGUCACAUCAAGUAUUAAUCACACACUUAUUCAUGACCAUAUCUCAUGUCCACAAUUUAACAUCUCACAAUGUCACAAUCCACCAUCACAUGUUUAUGUGUAUCUCACAAAUUAAUGCAUGUUUAACUUUGCACUUAUACUCAAUCUCAAUAACAAUGUUAUAAUCUCAAAUCAACAUGUUAUCUCACAAUUCAUCAUAUAUUCAAUUUAUCACUUAUACACAAUUUCAAUCACAAUUUCAUAAUCUCAAUAUAAUAAUUUAUCACGCUAAUCUAGUAAAUCUUGUCCAAAAUACAAACAAAUUAUACAAAAAUACUUUUCCCAACAUGGGGAGUAAAACCCCUCAAACAAUUUCACAUAACCAUAUCAAAAUCAAAGUAAUCAAAAUCAUAAGUCAAAAACACAAAAACACCAAGAGCACUCAAUUUUAUCAAUCACUUCCCAUCAGGACAUCAAUUGGUGUGUCAAACACAACAAUAUCGUAAUUAUAAUUGUAAAGGAAGAAUUAUAAUUCAAUAAACAUCCCAAAAUAAACCAUAAUUUAAUCCUCUAAAGAUCCAUACACAUGUUUAUUCUAAUCUCAAUUGCGAUAAACACAUCUCUUACCUCUAAGUGGGCUCACGUGUGUAGCCUGGCAGUGAUAGUCUAGUAGUUUCCUAAUUGCCAUAAACUCAUCACUUACACAAAUUUUGUCCGAGACAUUUGUACAAAAAUUAAAAAAAAUGGUGGUGAUGCAUGUUAAAAUACUAAAUGAGUUAACAUAUUGAAUGAAUAGUAUCACGCUAAAAUUUUAGAAGCAUUGAAAUGAGAAGGAAAAAUAUUUUGGGGUGGCCAAUUUCAUAUUUCAAAUAUUUUAGAAGGAUAAAAAAUAUAUUUUAUCCAAUAAUUAAGUUAUAUAUUUUUUAUUUAAUAAAAUAUUUUUUUAAUUUGUUAGAUAACUCUAGAAUUAGAUUUCUUCAAAAAAAAAACUUUAGAAUCAAAAGAUUUAAUGCAUAUAUGCAUAUAACACAAAUAUACCUUACCAAUGAAUAAGAAAAUUGAGCAUUGAUUUGGCCAAAUAAAAAGUAAUACAGAUUUGUUUUAACUGAAUUAGAUAUAAUAAACAACAAAAUUUAAAAAAGAAAUUUUUAUUCCAAAAAUAAGUCAAGCAUUAUCCAAAAUACUUGCAAGGGAAAAUUAAAUAUGAGAAAUAAUCAGUAAGAUUCUAUAUACAAUUAACAACAUGUAAUAAAUUAAUUUUUUUAGCUUUGGACAAAUGAUCUAUUUAAUUUUUUAUCUUCAUUUUUUGGUUUAUUUUGAUCUUAUCUUUUAGAAAUUUUAUUAUGAUCUUUUAUGUUCUGAAAAAGAAUCAAAAUGGUCCUUUCGUCAAUGCAAAGAUAACGUCGUUAAUGAAGUAAAGAUAUUAAUGGCUAAAAAUUAUCACAAAAUAUAAUUUCUUAUUUUCUUUAGCUUUCUCCUUCCCUUAUUCCCUUGAACCAAAAAAAUAAAAUAAAGAAUCAAAUAGGCCAUUUGAUCUUUUGUUUAAUAUACCUAAACAUGAAUCCAUUAAUUAAAUGAUUUGCAUAUCUGUUUGUCAAAUUUUGAACUUGCAUAAUAUUUUUUAAAUUAAAAAUAAAAACAAUAAGUGUUCCAAAAAUUUGUACUCAAUUUUUUUUAAUAUUUUCAUUGAACAUAAAAUAAAAGACAUAAAGAUUUUUUUCAAUGACUUACAUCAUUUAUCAAAAAAUGUUACCAUCUUCGCUCUAUCCAUUCUUUUAAGUAACCCCCUAUAAGAUAAAGAAAUUUAUCAUAAGCCUUUUUGCAUUUUAUUAUAAGCAUUAUAUAAUAGAUUGGAAAGAAAAUUCAUAAACAGAAUGAAAACCUAUAAUUAUUCUCAAUAUAAAGUAUAUUAGACAAGAUAAAUUUAAGUAUUGAAUUACCUUUCCUUAUAUAUUGUGAUAUACUUGUCUAUCAACCAUAUUAGAAGUAAUAUGAUCGAGUAUCUUGAUCUUCACCAUCUUUUACCAAAAUAUUUAACCCUUUUUUUAUGUAACUCUUGAUAUAGUAACAUAUAAUUGUCCAUGAAAAAAAUUGAGGCAAAAAUAAUCCAACAUGUUUUAAAGAUUGUUCUUGAAUCUUGUUGAUAGUCCUUGCAAAAGAAGUAGCCAAAUGAAAUUGCCUCGGUUGGAACUUGAAAAGGAUCCUUGCAUUAGAAGGAGUUAAUGAAAGUCUUGGAAUAAACACUUUGAGACCAAUGUUGCUUCCAAAUUUAACAUUUCCUUCUAGAACAUAUUCCCCAUUCGUGUGACAAUUAUUAGUCUAGUACCAUUACAUAAUCCUAAUGAUUGAUCAAUGUCAUUUGGAAGACCCGAAGCACUAAUAAUGUUUAAGAACUUUGGAGUAUGCACAUCAUCUGGCCUAUUAAUCUCUUCAUUUUCUGAUGAAGGAGUAUCUAAACUUAGAUUUUUCUUUCCUCCCCAAACAUCAAUGACAACAUGUAACAAUUUCAUUUUUUUGCUAAAACAACCUUGACUCUAAAAAAGGAUGAAUCAUGAAUAUUUUCUAAGAAAGAUGGAUAUAUAAGUAUUACUAACAAUGGAUUCAAGAGAGUUGGUGUCACUUCUAAGCAAAUCAUGGUAUGUGUGGUUUCCUAUAUUAUAUGUUUAAAAGGGACCAGUUUGGGGAUUGUAUUUUGUAUGUUUCUUCCUAAUACUGGUACCAAACAUAGUAAUUCAAAUUAAUUUUAGUGCACCCCUAAAUACCAUUUGGACAUUUACUUAAGUAGAAGAAGCUACCUAAGGAACAUAAUUUUUUUAAAAUUAGUUUAUUUUCUAUAGAUGAUAGUGGUAAAUAUUAUCAUGAGUUGUUUGAUGAUUGUCCAAAUGGAAAUCAAAAAGCUAUCUAGGAUGGAGGUGUUGGAAUUGUGUAAUUUUGUCACAUUGCAUUUUGGCAUAAUUACCAAUAGGUCUAUAGAUCUGAUAAUAACUUUUUUACUCAUUACUUGGUCAUUUUAGGUUCUCAAACACUUGGUUAGAUUCAUUGUUUUGGUUAAACUAAAAGAUAUUACUUUCAUUCUAAAAUGUUUGCUUUUUUGUCAUUUUAGGGACAUGUUUGACUGAAAUCUCCUAUCACUAGUGCAAAAUACACAUUUUAUAACAACUUUUUAAAUAAAAAUUGUUUUAAAAAAUAAUACGGUGGUACUUUCAUAAUUAAAAACAGUUUUUAGAUUGGUUAUAAGAGAACAGAUAUAAACCUAGAUUUUAAAUCGGUUAAAAAUGAAACCGAUAUGAAAGGUUAUCUUUUUAAACCAAUUCAAUUUAUAACUAAUGUAAUUAAAGGGUGUUUUUAGAUUAGUUAAUAAAGUAACUGAUGCUAUAAGACAAAAUUGAUUUUAAAAAGGAUGUUUUUAAAAUAAUCUAGGCAUUAAUUUCAUAUUAUUUUUUAGAUUAGUUAUAUAGGGAUCUAUCUUAAAAACUAAUCUAAUUUAAAAGAUAGUUACCAUUGAAGACCGGUUGAAAUCUAAUGUUAAAUGUCAAAGUUUUUAUAUUUCCUGCAUAGGCAUCGGUCGUACAACCAAUAUAAAAAGUCAUUUUUUAACCUAUGUAAAAAAGUGUUUCUUGUAAUAGUGUACCCUUUUUGUGCUCCUAUCAUGUAUAGAGAUUUUAAUAUCACUUACACGCAAUGAUGAAUCCAGAAAUUAAGUCGUGGGGGCAAUACACAUACAAAAUUUUGUUGCAUUAAAAAUAUUACAUGUUUUAUUUUUAAAAGUAUAAAUAUUCAUCGUAAUUGUUCUUUAUGAGUUUUUGUAUUCCAAAAAUAAUUGAUAAUUUUCUCAUUUUUCAUAUCAAAAUUUUUAUGAUAGUCAAGAUCUAUCAGUUGAUGAAGAAAAAAACCAUAAUAUAGCAUACUAACUACAACAAUAUACAUAUUUUGCACAAUUAGUUUUCAAAUUUGAGUGCAAUAAGCUUUUAGAUGGACAAAUAUCCUUAGAAUAUGAGUCUUAGACAACAAGGGAAAUUAGGAUUAAAAAAAUAUGUUGUUUGAUGAUAAAUAAGUAAAUGUUUAUGAAAGCGUUAGAAUGAUUAUCCUUUAAUUUAUACAUUUUGCACAAUUAGUUUUCAAAUUUGAGUGCAAUAAGCUUUUAGAUGUACAAAUAUCCUUAGAAUAUGAGUCUUAGACAACAAGGGAAAUUAGGAUUAAAAAAAUAUGUUGUUUGAUGAUAAAUAAGUAAAUGUUUAUGAAAGCGUUAGAAUGAUUAUCCUUUAAUUUAUACAUUUUUGCACAUUUGCUAGAUAAUAAAUAACUAAAUAAAUAAAAAUGUUUUUUUAAGAAAAAUAAAUAAAAAUAUUAAAUAUUGAAAAGUGGGAAUAAAAAUAAAAAAGAGAAUCCAAAUAUUUAUUGUUUACACAUUUUUAAUUUAUAUUAAGAUUGAAAUUAUAAUUAUAAAAUCAUAAUAUUAUAGGGGGGCAAAAUAGUACUAUAUAUUCCGUCCUUGCUUUCAUGUUGAUGAUUUCUCUCAAGCCAGCAACACUUACAUUGGAAAGUUGAGGUUAGUCUGAUCUUUCUGCUCUUGUUUCUUUAAAUAUUUGAACUAUUGGCUUGAUUUGUAAACAUUAAGUGCUUAUAAUGGCAAUUGAUUUAUUACUUGCUGCAAUAAUAUAACCGGAAUUUGUAUAUUUUUACUGCAUUGUGUUUGUAAAAUUUAAUUUACAUCAAAUUGUGAUUGUCUUUUUGUUGCAUUAUUACUUGAUCUGCUUCUUGUCCUUGUCAUUAGUGUGCAUAUUUCCUCUCUUGCAAGGUACCAUAUAUAGUGAUGUAUUGUGUUUAAAAAAACAGCUUAUGUUCCGCUGCAUAAUUUUAUGGUUUGCACCUUUAUUUGUUCUUUAUAUCAUGAAUUUAACAUGCUACAGCCUUGAUAGGGUGUGGUCCAACUUCAUGUAUUGAUUGUUAGAUGUAGUAGUCAAUACUAGAAAAUAGACUUUUAACAUCGAUUAUUUUUUACUUUCAACAUCGGUUUUUAUCUAAUGUUGAAACCAUCGACGUUAACAUUAUCCAUGUUAAUAUCAGUUUUCAAAAAAUCAAUGUUAACAUACACUACACAACAUCGAUGUUCACAAAAACUGAUGUCGUAUAAUAAGAAAUAUACAAAAACAGCAAAAACAACAUCGGUUUUGGUCAAAACCAAUGUUGUAAGAUGAAUAAAAACAUCGGUUUUGAAAAAAAACCGAUGUAGAAAUUAUUUUUACAACAUCGAUUUUGCUCAAAACUGAUGUUGAAUAUGCUUACGACAUUGGUUUUGGUCAAAACCGAUGUUGUAAGAGCACUUUCUACAUUGAUUUUAGACCAAUAGAUGUUGUUUUUUUUUUUUUGCAAAUUUUUAUAAUAUUUUGUUUGUUUUUACAAUGAACCAACCAUAACCAAUUUAUAAAAAAUAUAUUAAUUAUAAAUUAAAAUAUUUAAAAAUAUUAUUUUCAUUACAAUGUUACAUUACUUACAAUUUCAUAAUAUUAAUCUAGAUUUAUAAAAUUUAUUUUAAGAAAGCAAGAUAAUUUCUCUAAAGGUCAAUUGUCUCCAAGAAAAAUAAGACUGAUAUGAUAUCCUAAAUGUCUAGCUGCAAAGCUCUUAUAAAAUCCACAGAAGAGAUGAUAUGAAUAUGUAUAUAAAAGCUAAUAGAAUAAAUAUAAAUGUAUAAAUAUGUAUUACAUAGGAAGGAUGAUACCAAUUAAUUAAUAAAUAAAAAUAACUCUUAUUCCAAAUUAAAAAUAGAUAGAAAAGGUUUAAAGAAAGAAAUUACCUCUACAAGAGCAACAAAGGAUGUCAUCAUCAUGGCAAAGGCUUCACCUGCAUCAAAUGUAAGUGCUCCCCUUCGAAAUGGAUAAGGAACUCGUAUCCUACAAACACAAAAUACAUGUUGAAUACAUUCCCAUAAGCUUCAAGUCAUAAGGCUAUGACUAAAUAGUAAAUUAAUAGUGAAUAAUAAAUUAAUAUCUCAAGGAUGCAAUAGUCUUGCAUAAAAAUGUCAAUUAUGCCCAUGCUCUAAGCUUGAUUAUCAUAGGGAGUUCAACAUCAAUAACUUGAAAUAUUAUAAAGAGACAAACAAUUAAUCAAGAUCAAUAGCACUAAUUGCACAUGUGUUAUUAGAUUUUAAGGUUGAUACUAAGGAUAUAAAAACAAAAAAAAAUCAUAAAUUAAAAAGAGAAAUACUAGCUUUUAUAUUUUUAACAUAAUAUAUGUUUUUAGUUUAAUGAACAAAUUUAAAUUAAGUUGCAUCCUUGACAUCAAAACCCCUUAAAUUUACACAAUGUUUGGACUUAGGGUGGCUCAAAAGUUGGUAGAAGCUAGUUAAUUGGACUGUGUCAUUGCGCAGACUUUGAAUUCACUUUCACAACAAUGUAAUAGUCAAGUAUCUGAGUGUAGAUAGAAUAAUCACACCUUCAAAGGACCCUUUUCACUAGCUUUCUCUAGAAAGUCUCCUCCACCAAAAUCAACCUUUUUCCUUGGUUCAAAAUCAACCAUCUCUGUUUCGUGAGUGUGCAAAAUCAAAGUCCAAAAGUGAACAAUUAUGACAUUGAAUGACUAGAUUAUUUAUUUACUUUUCUUUUCUAAGUGUUUCUUUUAAGUCCACUAUGGACAUGGAACAUUGGGGGUGGGGGUGGACUGGCUUUUACUACUACCGGGUAAGUUCCAUUUAAACACUUAAAAUAUGAAUUUAGACUUUUCAAACUGUUCAGGACAACCACCAUGUUUUUUUUGCAUAAGUCACACUUUCAUGUACUAAAACAAGUCAUUUUAACUUCAUUCGCUCCCCAAACAUUAGGGAUUUCAUGUACUAACCACCUAGCACUAAAAAGAUGCAACUGUUGGUCAAGUGGCCUCAAUAAAUUAAGAGGAGGGUGAAUUAAGUUUCAAAAUUUCUCACUAACAAACUUUUAACCUGAUGAGGACAUGACCAAGAGCAAGGGCAAGGAUCCACUUGAUGGACUUGGAGGACCUAUGACAAGGGCUAGAGCAAGGAAAGCAAAAGAAGCUCUUCAACAACUAUUGUCCAUACUAUUUGAAUACAAGCCCAAGUUUCAAGGAGAAAAGUCCAAGGUUGGGAGUUGUAUCAUGGCCCAAAUGGAGGAGGACUAAAUGACACCACUUUGUCUCAAUUUUAGAGUGUUUAGUUUGUCUAAAUAAUGGCCCAAUCCUUGUAAAGUUGGCUGACCAAAAAUAUGUUUUGGGUUAAUCAACUAAAGGGGCUUUAGUUUGGUUUAAUUCAAGUUGUAAUAAGGGCCCAAUUGGCAACUUAGGCAUCAACCUUUGGGAGACCAAAUGGUGAUUGGCUUGAUGGCUUUUAGGGUGACUUUUGGUUGCCACAAUUUCAGUUACACUCAGCCAUUAAGUUCUUUUCAUUCCCUAUGUUAAUGGAUCAUUACUAAAUCUAAGUGGAUUGUAUUUUCCUUUAAUGAAACAUAUGUAAAAUCUGAUGGUAAAGCUUCUUUAUAUGCUGAACCAUUUUAUCAAUAAAGACAAGUUAAGUUUUAUUCAGAAAAAUUAGAGUUUAUCUCUUUUAUCUUAGUGAGAGUGAUUCUCCUAAGUUCUUGAGUGAUUCAAGAACACCCUGGCUAUAUCAAAGGAAGUUCACAUCCUUUGUGUGCUGCCCUCGCCGGAAUGAGUGAUUCUUUCCUUCCACCAUUUCAUCUUCAACCUUAUUCUUUCAAACCACAAUUCUCGAAAAUCCAAUUCUGCCCAAAAUUAUCUUGUGACAUAAUUCUUGUUCUACUUGCUCAAAUUAAGUGAUUCUUGAGCCUAAAUUGAAAUUCAAAACGAGAUCUUCCACCUCGUUUGGGAAUCACCUCAUUUGGAACUCUGUAGCUUGAGUUAUAGUCAUUUCUAUAUUUCUGUCCAGCCGUCACUUCACCUACAUUUUUACCAUCUCAUUCAUCCCUUUUAUGUCAAGAUCCACCUUAUUAAGGCCUAAGAAAUUAGCCACUGCCCAACCCUUGAAUCUUGCCAAUUUCCCAUCCUUUUCUUAAUCAAUUUCCAAAUUUUCCAUCAAGGUUUAAUCCUAGACGAUCUUAAGUCAGCCCUUGUGCAAUGAAGGUUCAUAUCAUAACCCCCUUCUAAAUGAUAGGCUCAGAAUGCAAAACAAGAAGCAACAAUCAAUUUAAUAAUGUUUUUUUAAACAUGCAAGACAAAAUUUAUUGUAAUAACAUAAAUGAGAUAAGGGAAGAGUGAAAUGCAAACUCAAUUUAUAUUGGUUCGGCCACUUCCAGUGCCUAUGUUCAGUUCUCAAGCAAUCCACUUGAGAUUUUCCACUAUCUGUGUAAAUCCUUUAUAGACUUUGAACACACCUUGAGAUCCCUCACCCUUGUGUUCAAAGAUUCUCAAGGAGACAAACCGUCUCUUGAUUACAACUGACUUUCUGAGAUGAACAGAAAGAUUUCUCUCCUUUAGAGUGGAUGAUACAAAUUGAAGAUCCUAAAGGAAUUUCUCUUUUUUAGAGAUGAUAAUACAAAUUGAAGUUCCUAGAUGAACUCUCAAUAGAUUUGCAAGUGUUUGCCCAACAGUUGUUGAGAGAGCAUUUGAUAAUUAAGUUCUCUUAGAAUAUCUCUCUCUUGUUUUUCGAAGUCAAACACACAUAUAUAUUGGCCCUUCGUGCCUUUUCAAAAUGGUUUGAAGAGAUGUGUCUUUUUAAAAAGUUUUUUCUAAAAUUCUUCACUGGUAAUCGAUUACUCAGUUAUGUUUUGAAGAGUCAUGUCUUUUCAAAGUGUUUUCUGAAGUGUCAUUGCUAGAAAUCGAUUACAAACAUCUGGUAAUCGAUUACAUGAUUCAAAAUUCAAAUUCAAAAUCCUUUUUAAAAGUUUUUUUUCAAAAUUGUCUUUUGGUAAUUGAUUACACUGCCUGGUAAUCGAUUACAGCUUUUAAGUUUCAUAUUCAAACUUUUCUGAAAGCUGUUAAAACUAUUUUUGCUUUUGGUAAUCUAUUACAGCCUCUGGUAAUCGAUUACCAGAGAGAAAUACAUAUUUUUCAAAAUGUAAUAUUUACUUCAAAACUUUAUAAGAUAUUUGAAAGCUUAAGUCUUUUAAGGCCAAACCUUUGCAACCUUUUUAAGAGAUUCUUUUAACAUAUAAAGGUUUAUCGUAAAUCGUUUCUCUUGAUUUCUUGAUCUUGACUUGAAUCAAUGUUGAAUAGCUUUAAUCUUUUGGCAUCAUCAAAAUCUUCAUACAACAUAUGCACUUACAAUAUCCCUUUUUUUGAUGAUGACAACAAUCUGAAAACAAGAUAAACGAUAUACGAUUUGUAAUGCUUGCACUCACUCUUACUCCACCUUAAAUUUGCAAUUUAUUGCCUAGUUUUUAGAUAAGAUCUACCCUAGUUUCUCUCCCCCUUUGGCAACAUCAAAAAGCCAAAAAGACUGGAGUAAAUAUCAAAGCCACAAAAUCUAGAGCAAGCAUCAUAACCAAAAAACCAAUCAUCCAUUGCAAAACAAAAACUAAAUAUCCAAAGCAAAGCAUAAAUCAAAUGCUAAAUAUCUAAAGCAAAGUAUAAACCAAAUGCUAAAUAUCCAAAGCAAAACACAAAAUUAACCAAAGUGCUAAAUAACUAAAGCCAAAUACAAGGCAAAAAGAGUAAAAAUGUCUAGAAAAUUAAGAACGUAAAAUACUAGAAAUGUCUAAGAAUCCGCAGGAGGAUCAAAGCAACGUUGAAUGAAGCUCAUGUCGUCUUCAAGACAUAUGAUAUGGGAGUCCAUGGCAUCAAAGCGAUCGUCGAUAAAAGCUCAAAGAUCCCGUAGCUCAAUGAGGACGUCAUUCAAUAAGGAGGAAGAGGUAUCUCGUUGCGGUGGUGGAGAGGGUGUGUGUUCAUCGAGAAUGGGAGGUGGCAGGUCUUGCUUAUGAACCCAUUGGCCAUCCAUAUCCUUCCAGUAUCCGAAAGAAGUAACAACACCAGCACCAAUAGCAAAAGAUCUUUUAACCUUAACAAAAGGCUCAUCCUCUAAAGGAACAUUGAAAUGUUGAAGAAACAAAGUAACAAGAUGAGGAUACAGAAAAUGUGCAUUGGCCAGUAAUGCCUUAUGCAUAUGGUACCAAACAAGAUGGGCCCAGUUAAUUUGGCAACCCGUUUGAAGAGCAAUAGCAAGAUUAAAUCCUACUCAGAGGCCUGAGCAAGAUUGGUGGACCGGGGAAGCAAGACUUGACAAAGGAUAUAAUGCAUGAUGCGACACUCAAAGGUGAAUGAGCCAGCAAGCAAUCUGUCGGUCAUAUCAGCAUGGUCAUUACAGAUCAUUUUACAAGCAUCAUGACUAGAAUAAACAUGUUUUCAAUCAUCAACUAGAGUGCCCUCAAAAGGAACACCCUGACUGCUUAGUUUAGUAAGAGAAUAAAAUAGAGAUUGAUCAACAACAAUAGGUAUUUGAUGCACCUCAGAGAAAAUGACUCCAUCCUGAAUUUUCAAAUUAUUAUAAAAGACUCUAACUAAUUCAGGAUAAUACAAAAAUGGCAUAGACAUAAACUCAACUAAUUCAAAAUUUUGAAACACUUGAUAGCAACCAAAGGUUUCCCCAUCAAAGAAUUUUACAUCUAAAUACUUAGGAUCGAGAAUGACACGAUUGGAGAAUUGGGAAUAGUACCUUUGAUGCUGGUCAUUAGAAGAAAACAAAGUUAAUGACCUGUGAGAUGAAAAAGAAGGAGGAUUUGGUGCUGGUGGGUCACCGGAUGUGUCGUGGCGACAUUGGCCUACAGCGGUGGUGGUGGAGGAGGAUCCCUUUCUCUUCUUUGAGGAUUCUGCCAUUUUGAGCUUGUUUCUGAAAAUUUUGAUCAGUGGGUUUUGUAGAGAAUUGAAAAAGAAGAAAUUUGAGCUUUGUUUGAAGUGAUUUGGACAAGAAACGAGAAAGUUAUGGAGAUUUGAAGUAUUGAGAAAAAGGGGCGCCGUCAAGGAGAGUGAAAGAAAAAAGGGCUGCACAAGGAGAGAGCAAAAUGCAGUAUUUAUAGACAGGGACGAGCUGUAAUCGAUUACAGCUCAUGGUAAUCGAUUACAGGCGUAACCUGUAACUGACCAAGCCCGCUGGUAAUCGAUUACAGCCUAUUGUAAUGGAUUACAGGGAGUGGUAAUCAAUUACCAGACCCUAAAAACAUGGAUUUUUCAUAAAAAUCUAACUAUUUUUCACUCACAAAACACACAUUUAGUAUAACAAUCAUCAACAACAAUCAACAAUCAAAAUAUACAAUCAAACCAAGUAUAAAAAAUUCUCAAACACAGACAUCAAAGAUAAUCAAAAUUUCAAGAACAAUCAUCAACAACAAUCAACAAUCAUCAUAACUAUCAAAACAUAAUUAUCAAAGACAAUCAAAACUCAAGUGAAAACAAUCAUUAAACCUCAAUCAACAAUAAUCAUUAAAAACAAACACAAUCAUCAAGGGCAAUCAAAAGUUUAACAAUCACAAGAAAAGAAAAUAAUAAACAAACAAAUUAAUUAUUUAUCUAAGUCAUUGAUAUCUAGGAGUCCUAAUUCUCUUCUAAUAGCAAAUAAGGUUUCUUUGGGGAGAGGUUUUGUAAAGAUAUCACCUAACUGAUUCUUUGUGUCAACGAAUUCUAGUACACAAUUCCCUUUUUGAACAUGAUCUCUCAAGAAAUGAUGCCUAAUCUCAAUAUGCUUGGUUCUCAAGUGUAGAACAGGAUUUUUGGAUAGGUUUAUUGCACUCGUGUUAUCACAUCGAAUGAGAAUAUGAUUAAGAAUUAAUUCAUAGUUAGAAAGUUAUUGUUUCAUCCAAAGUAUUUGUGCACAACAACUGCCAGCAGAAAUAUAUUCCGCCUCAGCAGUGGAUAAAACAACACUAUUUUAUUUCUUACUAUGCCAUGAAACUAGAGCAGAGCCAAUGAAAUGACAGGUUCCACUAAUGCUCUUUCUAUUAGUUUUGCAACCGACAAAAUCAGAAUAAGAGUAUCUUAUUAGAUUACAAGUGGAACUUUUAGGAUACCAUAAUUCUAAAUUAAUAGUGCCUAAUAGAUAUCUCAUGAUUCUUUUAACUACACUAAGGUGAGAUUCUUUGGGAUUUGCUUGAAAUCGUGCACACAUACAAAUACUAAACAUUAUAUCAGGUCUACUUGCAGAUAAAUAAAGAAGAGAUCUGAUCAUACCUCUAUAUUUCUUUAUGUCUAUUGACUGAUCGGUUUCAUCUUUAUCCAGAUAGCAAGCAGUACUCAUUGGAGUAGUCAUAUGUUUAGCAUUUUCCAUCCCAAAUCCAUCAUUGACAUUCCAAAUUCAUUUUGCAUAUCUUGAGAGAAUUCCCUUUAGAUAUGUCACCGAUAAUGUUAUCAAGAGGGUGGUAUCUAGAAGUUCUCCACCCUUUUGGAAGAUAUGCACUUGAUUUUGUUUCAUCAAUUUGAAAGUCUUCAUCAUUUCCUUUUCCUUUGCCUUUGUGAUCUUCACCAUGAAUAUGCAUUCCUUCUAAAGAAUUUGAAAUAUCAUCUAGAGUAUCUUUUCUUGGCAAAAUUAGGUUAGUUUCAUCAAAAGCAACAUGGAUAGAUUCUUCAAUGAUCAUAGUUUUUUUGUUAUAAAUUCUAAAUGCUUUACUGUGCAAGGAAUAUACCUUCAUUAGAUUUUGCAUCAAACUUACCAAGUUGUCUUUGCCGUUGUUUAGCACAAAACAUUUACAUCCAAACACAUGAAGAUGAGAAAUGUUCGGUUUUCUAUCGUUGUAUAAUUCAUAUGGAGUUUUCUUUAAGAUUGGUCUAAUUAAAGCUCUAUUCAUAAUAUAGCAUGCAAUAUUUACAACUUCAGCCCAAAAAUAUUUAGGAAGGAUUGUAUCAUUAAGCAAAGUUCUGGCUAUCUUUUUUAAAAAUCUAUUUUUCCUCUAAACUACUCCAUUUUGUUGAGGGGUUCUAGGUGCAGAAAAAUUAUGUUCAAUGUCAUUUUCAUCACAAAAUGAUUCAAAAUCCUUAUUUUCAAAUUCUCCUCCAUGAUCACUCCUAAUUUUGAGAUUUUUCUUAUUUUGAAUAAUUUUAGCAAGUUUCUUGAAAGCAUGAAAAACAUCUCUUUUAUGAGUGAGAAAUAAUGUCCGUGUAAAUCUGGAGUAAUCAUCAACUAUAACAAGAGGAUAGUAGUUUCCUCCAAAACUCAUAGUUCUAGAGGGACCAAAAAGAUCCAUAUGCAAAAGUUGUAAGGGUUGAGUUGUAGAUACAAUAUUCUUUGAUUUGAAAGAAACCCUUACUUGUUUUCCUUUAUGACAAGCAUCACAUAAUCUAUCUUUUUCAAAUUUAGGUUUUUGUAAACCAAUAACUAAAUCUUUAGAAAUUAGUUUAUUUAAAUGUUUCAUGUUUAUAUGGGCAAUUCUUUUAUGCCAUAACCAAGGAUCAUCAUCUUUACUAAGAAAACAUUGAUCAUGAUUUAGUGUUCUAUCUAAAUUUAUCAUGUAAACAUUAUUUGAUCUAUAGCCUAUAUGUUUUAUAUUUCUAUCAUGUUUGUUUUCAAUAACACAAUUAUGAGAGUCAAAUAAUACUAGAUAAUCUUUAUCACAUAAUUGACUAAAACAUAGUAAAUUGUGCUUAAGACCAUUAACAAGUAGAACAUUUUCAAUGGAGGUAGAUGAAUUCGUACCUAUUUUUCCAACUCCAAGGAUUAUACCUUUAUUGUUGUCGCCAUAAGUCACAUGUCCACUAUUCUUGGGAGAAAUAUGAGUGAACUUUGAUGCAUCUCCCGUCAUGUGUUUAGAGCAUCCACUAUCUAUGUACCAACUCUUCUUCAAAGAAACCUCUUCAUCGCUUUCAUAAUUUUUGGCCAUUAGACUCAGAUUUAUAACUUCAUUUUCUGAAUCUUCGGAUGAAUGUUGUCUUCCUAAGUGAUGUAUGCCUUCUUUGCUUUCUUAUCAUUGAAGGUUUUCUUUUAAGAUCUUUCUAUUCUUUUCUUGAAACUCGGGCAAUAAUCAACUCUCAGAUGUCCUCUUUACGAAGAAACUGAAAUCAUCAUCUUCCUCUAUUUCAUUCAAAUCUUCUUUAUUACUUCCUUCUUGAAUUGAAGGUGAAGCUUUAAGUGUGAUUCCUUUCUUUUUCUUAUCAUUCUCCUCAUGUUGAUUCAGUCUCAUUAGUUCCAUUUCGUGUUCUUGAAGCUUUCCAAACAAAGUUGCAAGAGACAUGUUAGUAAGAUUUCUUGAUUCUGUAAUAGCCGUUAUCUUUGAUUGUCAUUCCCUGCUUAAACAUCUUAGAACUUUAUUAAUAAGAUCCUCAUUGGGAAAUAUCUUUCCUAAUGAUGCAAGAUGAUUUACUAUGUGUGUGAAUCUCUUUUACAUAUCUUGUAUAGUUUCAUUUUGAUUCAUUCUAAACAAUUCAUAUUGAUGGGUUAGGAUAUUUAUUCUAGACCUUUUUACAUCCGUUGUUCCUUCAUGGGUUACUUGUAAGGUAUCCCACAUUUCUUUUGCAUUCUUGCAAUUUGAUACUCUAAAAUAUUCAUCCAUUCCUAAUGCAAAUGUAAUUAUAUUUUUGGGUUUUAAAUUAUAUUGUACCAAUUUCUUUUCCUCUUCAUCCCAUUGUUCCUUAGGGUUUUCUAUAGUUGCAUUUCUUGCUACCAUAGUAGGGAUGUAAGGACCAAUUUCUAUGGCUUUCUAGAUGUUUAAAUCAAUAGCCUCUAUAAAAAUUUGCAUACGGGUUUUCCAGUAAUGAUAACCCACACUAUUGAAUAUAGGAGGUCUAUUUAUAGAGUUCCCUUCGGGAAAUAAAAAGUUUGAUGAGGCCAUGACUAUUCUGGAAGUUUCUAAACCUUAUACAAGAAUUAAGCUCCGAUACCACUUGUUAGUCAAGUGGCCUCAAUAACUUAAGAGGGGGGUGAAUUAUGUUUCAAAAUUUCCCACUAAUAAACUUUUAACCCCCUUCUAAAUGAUAGGCUUAGAAUGCAGAAGAAGCAGCAAUCAAUUUAAUAAUAUUUUUUUAAACAUGCAAGACAAAAUUGAUUGCAAUAACAUAAAUGAGAUAAGGGAAGAGAGAAAUGCAAACUCGAUUUAUAUUGGUUCGGCCACUUCCCAUGCCUACGUCCAGUCCUCAAGCAACUCACUUGUGAUUUUCUACUAUCUCUGUAAAUCAUUUACAGACUUUGAACACACCUUGAGAUCCCUCAUCCUUGUGUUCAAAGAUUCUCCAAGAGAUAACCCGUCUCUUGAUUAAAACUGACUUUAUGAGAUGAACAAAAAGAUUUCUCUCCUUUAAAGUGGAUGGUACAAAUUGAAGAUCCUAGAGGAAUUUCUCUCUUUUAGAGAUGAUAAUACAAAUUGAAGUCCUAGAUGAACUCUCAAUAGAUUUGCAAGUGUUUGUCCAAGAGUUGUUGAGAGAGUUUUUGACAAUUAAGUUCUCUUAGAAUAUUUCUCUCUUGCUUUUCGAAGUCAGACACACAUAUACAUAGGCCCUUCGUGCCUUUUCUAAAUGGUUUGAAGAGAUGUAUCUUUUCAAAAAGUUUUUUCUAAAAUUCUUCACUAGUAAUCGAUUACAUGGUUAUAUUUUAAAGGGUCGUGUCUUUUGAAAGUGUUUUCUAAAGUGCCGUUGCUGGUAAUUGAUUACAAACAUCUGGUAAUCGAUUACAUGAUUCAAAAUUCAAAUUCAAAACCCUUUUUAAAAAGCUAUUUUUCAAAAUUGUCUUUUGGUAAUCAAUUACACUGUCUGGUAAUCGAUUACAACUUUCAAGUUUCAAAUUCAAACUUUUCUAAAUGUUGUUAAAAUCAUUUUUGCUUCUGGUAAUCGAUUACAACCUCUGAUAAUCAAUUACUAGAGAGAAAUACAUAUUUUUCAAAAUGUAAUAUUUACUUAAAAACUUUAUAAGAUAUUUGAAAGCUUAAGUCUUUUAAGGCCAAACCUUUGCAACCUUUUUAAGAGAUUCUUUUAACAUAUAAAGGUUUAUUGUAAAUCGUUUCUCUUGAUUUCUUGAUCUUAACUUGAAUCAAUGUUGAAUAGCUUUAAUCUUUUGGCAUCAUCAAAAUCUUCAUACAACAUAUGCACUUAAAGCAAGAUGGCAACAGAGUAAAUUAUGCAGCAAAUUUUAACCUUUCAAGGUCUCCAACAUGACUUUUUAUACAUUAUUUAAUCACCAAUAGACUAAGGAAUCGUCUGAUAACCUUUGCAACACUAACCAUACCUCUGAGCACCUUAAUUUUAUUAUUUUAAGGACAAUUUAAACUACAAGGCAGCAGUUGCGACUCUAUUAGGAAAAUCAUUAAAUAAAGUCAAGAUAUAAUCUCAAGAUAUCAAAUACAUCAUUGAGUUAUCAUUGAAUGGUCUCAUGACAACACCUUAUAUGUAGGUUAUCAAUAUAUCUAACAUGAGUCGAAGUCAUAUAUAAAAGUUAUUUGGCAACAAGUUCAUCUGCUUAGGAAAUGCACUUAAACCAAAAUCGAAAAUCUUUAUAUUUCCUAGUGAAUCAAGUAAAAGAUUUUCAAGCUGCACAAGGAAAAAAGGAAAAUUAGAAGAAAUCACCAUAAGGGCAAUAGACAACUUUUCAGAUCUCACGCAAUGCAAACCUUUAAAUCUAUGUGAUAAACUCCGUUACAGUGGCAAUAAUCUACAUUGUCAAUAAGUUGUUGGAAAUAUCUUCUAGAGUCAACUUCACUAAGAUGACCAUGAUAUAUCUGCACAAUCAUAUUAUUCACCAUCAAACAUUUCCAAUAUCUCGAAUGGUGAUUAAUAAAAGCCACAAUAAAAUCCACACAAAAAAGGUUCCAUCUUGAGCUACUCACAAUUUUAUAAACAAUUCACCACCCGUGAUGAACUCCAAUAUGAUAUAAAUCUUGGUACAACUUGCAAGAACCUGAAGUAAACAACGUUUCACAACAAAAACAAGUGCUUGUGAGUGGCAUCAACUAACGAGAGAAACAUUAAGAAUUACUUCUCAGAGCAAAUAUUGAGUCGGCAUGGCUCUUCGUUUAAAACAUUUUUUUUUCAUUUAAUCAAGGAAGAUUCUCAAAUAUCAGAAUAUGAUUUUAGAACUAUCCCUCACUCCAAAAGUCCAAACAAUCAAAAUAAAAAAGAAAUUCUAUAAUUCUGGUUUCUGCAUUGCACACUUUUCCCCAACCCUAAAAGCAUGACAUGAUUCAAAUGUUAUUCACAAGCUUUGCAUUUUUUGGGUUUUAAUUUAUUAGUUUAUUAUUAAGUGUCUUCUUGGCAGGGAAAUAGAAAAACGAAAAGAGAACAACAACAACAUCAUUCUUUGAAAAUUAAACCUGUGUUGUUUAUGGAGAUGCUCGUGCAAAGACCUCACAUGAUUAUGGUAAACAUGUGCAUCCCCAAUAAUAUGGAUAAAAUCACCUGGAAUGAGAUCUGACAAGAAGAACACAUAGUAUAAAGAUUGAUUAUUUUAUGUUUAAAUUACUUUUAAUGUUGUAUUUUCUCUUGUGAUAUUAUCAAAAUCAAUAAGCUUCUGAACCUUGAAUCUACCUAGACUGGAACUUCAAUUAAAAACUUAUUGAUAAACUUAUGAAAACAACUCUAUCAAAAAAUCUAUAAAAAUAAUUGAAAAGUGCAAAUAGGCCACUAAAAUAAUCAAAUUAGUUAAGCAAUGGAAAACCUUUUCUAUACAGAGAUAAUCUAUAACAAUUUUUUCCAAAAUUUGUCAUGAUUUCUUAAUGUUACCAUGCUAGGUAGAUGGAAGUUGAUGAGUCCAUGAGAACCUGGAACAGUGCAAAUAAUGUCUAUGAUAUCCCAACAUACAUAUUUAUAUAAUAUCAUACAUGAGAAUGCGAAAUUAAUUAAAAUAAUUUUAUUCAAUAAACAUAAAGGAACUCACAUGGGUAAAAGGUUUACAUUCACGUUAAUCACCAAAUUAAAAACUUAUCAAAUAAGGGUAUGAAAACAUCUCUGGCCCAAAACAAGGCCAUCUAAUUUUAACAAAAGAAAACAAGUUAAGCAACAUAAUAACAUAAACUAACAUAUUCAGAACAUUAUGCAAAUAAUAUAGAAACUCAUGCCCAAUACCACAUCAUAUCAUAGUGUUGUGUCUCAGCAUCCUCUAGCGCGAGGUUCUUUAAAAUUAUCCACCUAACCAUCUGCUCCCACGAACACAAGGUUCAAGAUUAUCACAGGACUCAAACACAAACAACACACGGGGAGUGAGUUAUCACAUUCCUAAACAGGUAAAUCUAAACGAAGCACAUAUAUAUAAUAUAAGUAUAAUGAGCUCAACUUAGCAUAAUUCACAUCAUUUUACCACUCAUUGUGUAACUUCACUUGUCCCAAGGAUUUAAUCACAAAAUCAUUUUCAUACCUUCACAUUAAUCAGGUGUUCAGAACAACACGUCUCAAGUACAACACAAUAUCUCACACUCACACAAUUCAUUACCCACCAUCACGUAACAAGUCAUAAUAGUCAUUAUGCAAGUAUUAUGUAACAGAUACACUAAGACUCAAUCUUAUAUGCAAUGUGGUACCAUGUCAGUGAAAAACCUCGCCGGGAGCCUAGGAGUACAUGGCAAGACAAACUACACGCUGGUAAGUCAGGUCACUCUCACUAGGUAAAAUCAUAGGAAUACAAGCUAGGGUCACGCUGUUUUGUGAGACUACUUCAACCAUGUGAGAUUGACACAAGCUUAAAGGAGCAUUCAAACCGGGUGUAUUUACCCCAAGGUCUAAACUCUGAAGAGUCAGUUAGGACCUUUCCUUCCCAAUUCAGGUCCAACCUAGAAAACAUUUUAGCACGCAGAUUGUAUCAAUGAAUAGUAAAAAACACACGACUCUUGAAUUAUUCUCAAAAUAAUUUUAACUCGUCGUGCCUCAAAGUGAUUAAACUCGUCGAGUUCCCAUAAUGGAUCUCAUCACAAUACUCGUCGUGCAUUAACUUGUCACCCUUAAAGGGUCUUACAACCGUGUGAUUGUAUGGUUGAUAGCUCACAACUCAAUGCACACAACAUCUCAAUACAUGUGUGAUCUCUCAACUUAUCACAUACACUCAAUCUCAAUCACAAUGUUAUAAUCCCAAAGCAACAUAUUAUCACACUCAUGAAUCAUAUACACAUCACACAAUAUUAAUAUAUGCAUGGCACAAACACAAACUUUACCUAUAAACUAUGUAAUACACACAAUUACUCAAUUGUUUUCAAAAUCAUUUUAACUUGUCGCGCCUCAAAAUGAUUCAACUUGUUAGGUUCCCACAGCGGAUCCCAUCAUAAUACUCGUCGCGCAUUAACUCGUUGCCCUUAAAGGGUCUUACAGUUGUAUGAUUACACAAUUGAUAACUCACAACGCAAUACAUACAAUAUCUCAAUACACAUGUAUCUCACAAUUCAUCACAUAUUCAAUUUAUCACUUACACACUAUCUCAAUCACAAUUUCAUGAUCUCAAUAUAAUAAUUUAACACACUAAUCUAGUAAAUCUUUUUCCAAAACACAAACGAAUUAUACAAAAAUGCUUCUCACAACAUGGGGAGUAAAACCCCUCAUACAAUUUUACAUAAUCAUAUCAUAAUCAAAGGAAUCAAAAUCAUAGGUUCAAUAAUCACAAAAAAAAAACCAAGAGCACUCAAUUUUGUAGAAGCAAAGCUUCAUGGAGAAUCAAAGGUAAUUUAAAGGUGUUUUGAUGAUAACAAUGAUGAUAACAAAAGAUGAUGACAAAAGGUGAUGACAAAAAGCUCAAAGAUCAAUCAGAGAACAACUCAGGUGAAUCAAGAACAAUUCAAGAGUUCAAGAUAAGAAUCAAGAAGAAUUCAAGACUCAAGAAGAAAGUUUAGAGUCAAGAAUCAAGAUUCAAGGUUCAAGAUCUCAAGAAUCAAGAUCAAGAUUCAAGAGUCAAGAGAAGGCUUAAUCAAGAUAAGUAUGAAAAGUUUUUCUCAAAAAUUGAGUAGCACAUGAUUUUUCUCAAAACAUGUUUACCAAAGAGUUUUUACUCUCUGGUAAUCGAUUACCAGAUUGUUGUAAUCGAUUACCAGCAGCAAAAUUGUUUUGAAAGAGUUUUCAAAUUGAAUUUACAACGUUCCAAUUAAUUUCAAAAAGCUGUAAUCGAUUACAAUGUUUUGGUAAUCGAUUACCAGUGCCUUUGAACGUUGAAAUUCAAAUUCAAAUGUGAAGAGUCACAUCCUUUCACAUAAAAGCCUUGCGUAAUCGAUUACACUGAUUUGGUAAUCGAUUACCAGUGAUUGUUUCUGAAUAAAUCAAAAGAUGUAACUCUUCAAAAGGUUUUUGACUUUUUCAAAUUGGUUUUAAGUUUUUCUAAAAGUUAUAACUCUUCUAAAUGGUCUUCUUGACCAGACAUGAAGAGUCUAUAAAAGCAAGGUUUUGUUUUGCAUUUUCAUUCAUUCAUUCAAUCUUGAACACUUAUUCAGACAAUCCUUUAUAAGCCUUGAAUCUCUUUAAACGUCUUCUUCUUCUUUGUACCAAAAGCUUUCUGAAGUUUUUCUGGUUUUCUAAACCUUGAAAACUUGUGUUAUUCAUCUUUUCAUUCUCUUCUCCCUCUACCAAAAAGAAUUCGCCAAGGACUAACCGCCUGAAUUCUUUUUGUGUCUCUCUUCUCCCUUUUCCAAAAGAACAAAGGACUAACCGCCUGAAUUCUUUUGUGUCUCCCUUCUCCCUUGUCAAAGAAUUCAAAACGACACAGUCUGAGAAUUCUUUUGAUUCUUCCCAUUCCCUUAUAAAAAAGUGUUCAAAGGACUAACCGCCUGAGAAUUCUUUUGUAUCCCUAUUCACAAAGUAUCAAAGGUUUAACAGCCUGAGAUCUUUGUCUUAACACAUUGGAGGGUACAUCCUUUGUGGUACAAGUAGAGGGUACAUCUACUUGGGUUUGACUGAGAACAAGAGAGGGUACAUCUCUUGUGGAUCAGUUCUAGUGGAGGGUACAUCCACUAAGUUCAAAGAGAACAAGGGAGGGUACAUCCCUUGUGGAUCUUUGCUUGUAAAAGGAUUUUUACAAGGUUGAAAGAAAUCUCAAGGACCGCAGGUCGCUUGGGUACUGGAUGUAGGCACGGGUUGUUGCCGAACCAGUAUAAAAACUCUUGUGUGUUUGCUUCCUUCUUCCCUACUCUUUUACUUUCUGCUGUGCAUUUAAUUUCCGCUUUUACUUUCUGUUAAGUUUCUCUUCUACUCCUCAUUCUCUUAAUUUAGUAAAAGCCUUAGAAGAGUAAUUUUUUAAUUAGUAAAGGUUUAGGAAUAAUUAAUUCAACCCCCCUUCUUAAUUAUUCUGAGGUCACUCGAUCCAACAAAUUUUAUCAACCAAUUUGCAUUAGGAUAUCAAUUGGUCCGUCAAACAUAACAAUCUUGUGAUUAUAAUCAUAAAGGCAGAAUUAUCAUCAUAAACAUCCCAAAAAAGAUCCCAAUUUGAUCCUCUAAGGACCCUUACACAUGUUCAUUUUAACUCCAAUUGCGAUAAACUCAUUCAUAAGCGGACUCACGUGUGUAGUCUGAUGACAAUAACAAUGUCUCUAGCAGUUCCCUGGGAUUCCUCCCUUUGGUUGUUCUGUUAUGAUUUCUAAGCAUUAGAGAGAAACAAAAGGGAUUGGAGCCUCAAUUUUACUAUCUCUGUGCGAGGGACAUUUCUCUCUCUAUAGACAUUAUUUCUCAAAUCCCAAAAGUAAAAAUGUGCGAAAAUGAGUUCUGAAGAUGAUGUUCAAAUUUCACGAGGAUCUAACGGUUAUUGGGAUUAUAAUUUUAUUAAGACAUGUUUGAAUGUAUGCAAAAAAAAGAAGAUAUUAGAAGAGAAAGAAGGAAAAAAAUUUUAAGACAAAGAUGGAGGGUACAAAUGUUUAAAUUAAGUUAGUUAGGAUACUUACUUUCAACCUAUUAUUUACUUUAUUUAUAUUUUAUUUUAUUAUUUUAUAACAAAGGAAAUUUUAUUUCUCUUUUAUUAAAUAAAUAAUCAAUUAAAACAUCUUUUUAUUCUCUAAAUCAUUAUUUUAUUUUAUUUAUUUUCUAAUAUUAUCAAACUCUUAUUUUAAGUAAUAAAAAAUUCUUUUUUUUCAUUUAUUUAAUUUCUAAAAAAAAUUAUUAAUUUUUUAUUUUACGGAAAACGGGUGUGAGAAUGCCAUUGAGAGUGCUACUCUCCAUAUCUUCUCCGUCCGCAAAACAAACUUAACAUCCUUCAAGCAUUUCACCGGCAAAUAGUCAAGUUCACGAAGUUAGUAUAAGACAAAUUGCAAUCAAUAGGUAAGAAUGCUCAGCUCUGCUCCUAGGUUAACCUGUGCUAUGAAGGUACCCGAAGAAUAAAACUAUAAAGAAGCACAUAAGCUACUAAUUCAAGAAAUGAACAUGUGAAGAGUGGUGAAAGCGAUAACGAAUAGAUGAGAAUCGGAUCGGGGCAGCUAAACGAUGUCGUUUAUCAGAGCUUGUGAAGGGUUUGAUCAAGGCACAUCCCGUGUGUCUCAAAGCCAUGGAACAGUUAAUGUCUCACAUUCUUUUUUUUUUUUUCUUUUUCUUUUUGCACCCACUUUCAGAUUCAAUUGGUGCCUUUCUUGGUUUUUUCUUGUACCCUUUGGGGUUUUAUCAUUUAGCUCCAAAAUGGUACCUUUUGCAAUGUUUGCCAUUAUUUUGCAUUUCACUUUUUAGCAUAAUUUAUUUGUUUCUGAAUCAUACUGAGGAAUGUGGUGCUUGUGGUGUUCAAUUCUCCUGUUUUGGUCUACAUUAGGCAUUCUGACUUCUGAGUUUAGUGAUUUUAGGAAUUUUUGGGAUGUCAUGUGUUUUGUCACCUAAUUUUGAUUUUCAAUGUUUAUUUAAAGUUUAGUGUUUUUUUUUUUUUAAUAUAUACUCUCUCUAGUCAUUAGGCAUUAGAAAAAAAACAUAUUUUUCUCUUAUCAUUCAUUUGAUUGAGGUACUAGUUUCAUAAACUCUUAUUUUUUAUACUAAGUUCCAAAUAUAAUUUGAAAAAAAGUUACUUUUUAAUUAAAAUUGAUGCAAUUAAAUAUUGCUAAGUAACUUUUGUUAGUUAGCGUGAAAUGUUUUUUUUUACUUCUUAUAUUUGAGAUGGAAGGAAAUACAUUUUAAGUUGAUAAGGAAAUGUCAGUAUUUAAUCUUUUAAUCUCCUGAAAAAAAAGUUAUAUAUUUUUAGUUUCUUAAAAUGUGUUAAGUGUAAUAAUAUCUGUUCUUUUCUUGGACUUAGUACUAGUAACAUGAAAUACAACGCCAAUUUUAUAAACAAAAAUGAUACAUCGACACCUUAUGCUAAUGUACUCCUAAAGAGAGAAAGAGAGAACAAAGAGAAACGUGAAUGUGAUAAGAAGAGACAUUGAAAAAAAAUGAGAAGUGCCAAUGAAGUGUUUGUAUUAUAACAGAUGUCCCUAUAUCAUUUUUCUUUUAUAGAUGAGGAAUUAAAAAUAUGAUUUUAUUUAAGGAACAUUCUAUUUUUCUAGGAACAUUUUCUUAUUUACAGGAAUAAAAAUAUACUAUUCAAACUUUUUUUUCCUGCAGGGUGAAAAUUUGAGUAUUAUUAUCUUUUUGACUGUGUUUACAAGAGCGCCACCUGCAACAUUUCCUAGAGCUGAAAAAAAUUAGAAUAUGCUCUGCUCUUAAGCAUGAAUAUUUAUCUGAAUUUCUAAAUAAGCGCAGAAACUGCUUAGUUAGGCUUUAUGUUGACAGCUAAAAUAUUGAAAAUGUUGAGUUCAGUAUGAUUGUUGUACCAUUGUUCUCAAUAAUAUUGAUCAUGUUCAUGACUGAUGUUUAUUCAAUUGAUUGGAGGCUAUGUUAGCCUUUAGUGCUGCUCAAGUAUUUUUAUGUGACAGAUCUGUCAUAAUGAAUAUGGUAUUUCAAAUGCAUGUGGAAUAUGGUAUUUUUCUCUAGUUAUAAUGAAUAUUUCUCAUCUGUAGUCUGUUAUACAAAUGUUUUUAUAUAAUAGAUCUGUCACAUUUUUUUCAAAUGCAUUUGGAAUAUGUAUUUUUCUCUAGUUAUAAUUUCUCAUUUAGCUACUUGCUGAGUGGAUUCAAGUAUAAUCUGACACUCUGAGUUCCUUUCCAUAGAAAAAGUGGAAACUGAAAAGAGGUGUACUUUCUCUCAUUCUCUUUCUUCAUUUUGUCUUGCCCUUUCUGGGUGUGGACUGAGUUCUUAAAUAUAGAACUACUCAUGUGAAAGAUUAUAUGUCUCUGCUCUGUUUCUGAUAUGUGAUAUCUGAUAACUCUUUGCUUAUAUGUAUAUAUAUUAUAUAUGCUGGUUUUAUCAACUUGGUAAGAAUUCUUAAAAUGAAAUGUUUGUUACUAAUAGACAAUGUUAUCAAUGGUGGAUGGUGGAAUGUAGCGGAAAGUCAAAAUUCCACCACAUGAACACAGAAUUGUGGCCUAUGGUGCUGUGUUAUGAGUCACACAUUGAGUAGAGUAAACUACUUGGUGUGGUACAUAGUCCUUGAGGUUCUUCACCUAAUGAACCAGUCUUUUGGGUUGAGCUCUUCUCUUGUGCUUAAUCCUAACAAUUAAUGCUUUUGGAAUGACUGAUUCAUAUUGGAUGCAUAGAAUUAGAGUAGGGUAUUUUUUUUCCAAGUUGCCUACUUUUAAAUAUGCCCUAGAUCAUGUCCACUUAGUUCAUAUGGAUGAUUAAUUUUCAGUAGGUUCUGUGCUUUUGAUCCCCCUCCAUCUCUCGUAUUUGGAUUGAGGGUUCUUGAGUUAAAGGAGCAAGGUGUUAGUAAGGAACAAGCAAUGGCUAUGGCAGAUGUAGUAACGUGAACUGGUUCCUGAACAUGUUAGCUCUGCAAUUUGUUUUUCCCUUGUGUUCUCUUAUCCUCUAAUAAUCCACUUUGGCUUUUUUGCUUCCUAGAUGGAGAGUAUCUGACAGAGAAGAGGGCAAAAAAGAAAGCAUAUACCUGUUUGAGGAAAAAACCCAUAUCCUAGUCCUAUCAAGGAAAUACAAGCUGAGGAGAGGAAAUUGUGAAGCAAUAGAAAGCUGAGUCAGCAGAGAGAUUCAGAGAGGGGGUGAUUGGUGAGAUGUAGAGGGGAAAAGUUACACUACUUUGAAAGUUUGGCUCUUGAACAAAUGAUCUUUGACAAUAACAUUUACUGUUCAGCCACUGAAAAGUUAUUUGUUGUAAAUAAGAAAAUCUAUUUGUUGUGUUAGAUAACUGUAGAGGAAAAUUUUACCAAAAUCUUAUGCAAGUUUUCUGUUUUUCCAGGCCACCCAUGUAGGUUUGUUAGUUGGUACAAAAGAACUAAAUAGAUAAUCAAGAUUUGUAUAUUUACUCUUUUUAUUUUUAUGAUUAUGAGCCUCAUGACCAAAAUAUUAUGCGAUUAAUUUUCAAUAUAAUAUAUUUUAACUUGACUUUUUGAAUGUUAAAAAAUUGAAUCUGUUUUAUAAUAUCAAUGUUCUUGAAGUAUCCAGCCAUAUAGAUAGCUUAAGUGUUCAAGUCAUGUGGAUGUGUCAAGUAAACUGUUUGAACUAACAAAACUUUUGUUAGACUUAGUGAGUAGUGUAGGACACAUGUUGUACAGAUGUCGAGAAAGUGUUGGUGCUAAAAAUUUGUCUAAUCACUGUGCUUAACAAGUUUCAUCUUAUCAUUCAGUAACUAUUGUGUUUUUCUUUAGCAGCCUUUUCCACUACUUUUAUCUCUUGUUCUGUUCUUGUCAUCCUCACUUGUACUCAGGGUCACUUGUUGCAUCUUAUUCUCUUGAUCUUUGUAUGUAGUUAAGUACAUUAUCAGAUUUUGUGGCAUGCAGACACGAGAUCUCUCACCAUCCUUUUAAUUAUUUUCAUCAUAAGCAGCACAUAACACUGUUUGAAGCAAUUUUAAUGUGAGCUCCUUUGGAUGGAUGCUAAUUCCCAGGUUCUAUCUUAAAGUUGUUCUUCUGACAAUGUCAUCCAUUUUUAGCUUUAGGUUGUUAACCAAAAUAGAAGCAAGGUGGCAGCUGUUGCUGAAGAACUCUGAUUAUUUGUGUCCUCUGAUGUACAGAUACUUUAUGGUCACAUAUCCAUAUUUGUAUCGUACUUGUAAUGAAUACCCAUAGGCGUAUAAUAAGGCUGCCUAAGUCGGGUAUGCAUUAAAUCUAGACUGUUUUAUUGAAACUUCUUACAUACACUAUUUCUUUAAAUAGUGAAACAAUUGUUAUCAUUAAGUUUUUUAAUAAAUUCGAUAAGAGAUUGAACACCAAUGAUGUUAGGAUGAUGGAGAUGACCCAUCAAUAGAUAUCAUCUAUAUUAAGAAAUAAAGAAAUUAAAAUAUAAUUUUAUGUAUCACAUUGCACCUAAUACUUGUAUGAGUUGUAUCCAAAGCCAUGAAACAAAAUGUGUCAGAUAUCAGUUAGAUAAGAUUCAGUUCAGCAGGCAGGUUGGAUAAGAGUAUUGCUUAUGUAUAUCUUAAAAGAAAGUUUCCUAUUUGACCGAAUGUGGGUGUUUUUGUCCACCUAGGAGCUUUUUACCAUGUAACCAGACAGAUAAUUGGUAUCUUAAAAUUUCAAAGGGUGGUCCUUCACACCUAAUUUGGAGAUCUAAUUUGUUGAUAUGUCUUCACUAAUAGACUGUAUUGCAAAAUUAGUAAAUUGAAGAUGACAUUACUCAAGUUUUUCAUGUGAGGAAGGAAGGGAGCACAAGGAAAACGGUGAAACCUCACUGAUCAGCAUUUUCAGAGGAACCUAUUAUGAAGCACUCAACUUGCUGACAUAGGCUUUAUGAUCUGCACUAAUCUUUUGAAACUUCAUUUUGUCACAUGUUACUAAGUUGAAAAAGAAAAUAUUGUUUUAGGAGCUAAAGAUGAAUAAGUAGCUAAAGGAAAGUUAUAUAGAAUUUGUAGUAAAAGGGAAGAGUGUAAACAUAUUUGCUUCAGUACACAGAGUGGAUGACUCAAGUGCUGGUUCCAUUACCAAAUUUCAGUGGUUUUGGUUGAAUAUGUAAGUCAGUGGAAGUGGUGCUGAAGAUUGGAGGGAAUGUUUGGAGUACAUGAUUAGAAAAGGGGAGAAUGAUUAAAAGAAAUAGAAAAUUGGCUGACUAAUAUUGGGGAUUCAUAGGAAUGUUGUGUGUUAGUAAAUUGGAAAAAUGUUACUCCAUUGAUAUUUUCAGCAUACCAUUCAUCUAAGAAGCAUAACUGUUCCUUUUUAUAUAUUUUCUGUUACCUUCCUUUCCUUCAAAACAUGGCUUUUGAAUUUUGAACCAUUAACUGAGUUGGAAUAGUGGUAAAAUCAUGUAGAUUUUUGUUUUCGUUUUGUGGGGAUAUGAAUGAGAAAAAUCCUUACAACCAGACAAAGCUGUGGCUCAGAAGAAAGAGAAACAUGCCUCACUGCUAGAAUCACUGGAACUAACAUCUUGUAAACAAACUGUUAUACCAAACUUUCCUAAGGUGCAAUUCUCAACCAUUAACCAAUUUCAUCUCAAACAACACUAUCAGUUCUUCAGUCAUGAACUUCCCAUACUGAAAAUUUGUCACCUAUUUCUUUUAUAGGCAGUGGCUUCUUAUGAGAGUCACACUCUCUGAACUUCUUAUGUAAAACUUGACUUUUCAUUUUGUGCUUUAUAAUUGUUAUCUCAUGCAUUGCCCUUUUAAGAUAAGGUUGUUGUGCAUUGUUUGGUUGAGUACAACGAUUUACUGAUGACCAUAACUAUUUGUGGAUCUUAUAUUUUCAAAAGUGUAUGCUUGGUCAUUAAUCAACCAAGCUUGAUAAGCCCCAUCACCUACCAUCCCCUUCUAUGCCAUAUACACAUUUUGCUUAUCUACAUUGCUACUGUUACUCUCAAACAAGUCUAACAAAUAAUAAGUGAAGUUAAUGAACAUUUUUAGUAAUAUUAUUAUAAGGAUUGGCCAAUGUAAUGGUGAACAGAGAAGCAUGCUUUCAGCUACCCAACAAACUGGAUAAGAGUGUCAGUUGAUAUGGUUCUCUUGUUUUUUUUUUUUUUUUUUCCAAUGCAAAAUCACCUUUAAAAUAUAAAAGAUCACUGUAACAAAGGGACAAAGGGUUUUCACUUAACCCAUGCAUGAGAUAUGAUGGUCACAAAAUAUGUUAGGUUUAAUAUGGAAUGAGGGCACAGUACAAACCACUCACAAAUAAUAUCAAACUCCACCACCAUCACACAUUUUACGUUCUUCCAAGGAAGAGAUAAGAUAAUGAAGCCUCCUCCACGUGUCACUUCCACAUGGUACCUAACGAUAAGGCUACCAUUCAAAAUUUUCCUCACUCGUGUGGCCAAUAUGCUGUAAUGUCAUCACUUAUUCAAUCCAACGGUUGUAACUUCUCAGCAACCAAUCCCCUCCAUUUCACACCAUCGGAUUAGUACUACACAAAUCACACUAUUAUAUAUAGUAAGUUUGAGCAGAAGCUUGGAUAUCUGGCAGCAGAAGAACAAGUAGUUGAGAACUAAGAAGGAGAAGCAAAUGGCUUCCUCAAUGAUCUCUUCCCCAGCUGUUACCACUGUCAACCGUGCCGGUGCCGGCAUGGUUGCUCCAUUCACUGGCCUCAAGUCCAUGGCUGGCUUCCCCACCAGGAAGACCAACAAUGACAUUACCUCCAUUGCUAGCAACGGUGGAAGAGUGCAAUGCAUGCAGGUAUGACAACUCCACACAUAUAAAUACACAAGAGGCACCAAAAUGAUUAUAAUUCAUGUUACAUAUUUAGGCAUGUACCUAAAUGUUACUUAAAUAAACAUGUUAGUCAUAGGUUGCUUAAAUUUUAGUCAUAGGAAAAUUUGCACAUGUGCUAGUUAAUCUGUUAACCCCUUUACUCAAUUUUCAUGCAAAUUAAUUACUAGGUGUGGCCACCAGUUGGCAAGAAGAAGUUUGAGACUCUUUCCUACCUGCCAGACCUUGAUGAUGCACAAUUGGCAAAGGAAGUAGAAUACCUUCUUAGGAAGGGAUGGAUUCCUUGCUUGGAAUUCGAGUUGGAGGUCAAUUUCUUGCAAACACUUUUGGUUUAAUCAUAGAUUUUCUUAUUCUUAGUUUGUUUCAACUUAUUUUCAAGAAAUAAUCGCUUCUCUAGCUAGUGUGCUAAAAGUACUUUUGGAAACAAAACAAAAAAUGGUUGUGUUCCAAAAUUUAAAUUUAUCUAACAGAUUUUUCUAUCUGAGAGUUAUCAAUAUGUAUCAAAUCUGUUCCUAUCUCUGACCAAAUUUUAUUCUUCCAAAACAAGCACUUGGUUUUGAGUUUUGAUGGUUGAUCUGCUUGUUUGCAGCACGGUUUCGUGUACCGUGAGCACAACAGGUCACCAGGAUACUACGAUGGACGCUACUGGACCAUGUGGAAGCUGCCUAUGUUUGGUUGCACUGAUGCUUCUCAGGUGUUGAAGGAGCUUCAAGAGGCUAAGACUGCAUACCCCAACGGCUUCAUCCGUAUCAUCGGAUUCGACAACGUUCGCCAAGUGCAGUGCAUCAGCUUCAUCGCCUACAAGCCCCCAGGCUUCUAAGUGUGAAAAAUUUGCAAAGCAUUUGUAGCCGCCACCCCACUUUGUUUGUUUGUACUUAAACUACAUUCCCAUUUGUUUUUGCUUUUUGAGAUUUCAUCAUCCUGUAUUUUUGGUUUCUGUUUUCGGACUUCAAUGGAAAUUAAUGGAUGAGAACUAAUGAAUAAGCUAUUGUGUUGUGUUGCUUUGUUUCAAAAUAACUUCAAUAACCCAUCGUCCUUGCAUUUCUCUCUAGUGGGCUGAAAUUAAUCUUUUCUAAAUUUAAGUUAAUUAAUUGUGUCUCUAAAUGAUGGUUAACAGAGGAACUGUGUUAUUCAAGUACUCUGCAUAGUUUAGCUGAGCUUGGCCUUACUUUGUCACAACUCACAAAUCUGAUGUAUGAAUGUUCUUUAUACUUUGGUCUUCCAAGAAAUGAAGUUCAUGACAUAUAUAGUUUGUAAACAUGUUGCUAGGAAGCUUCUGAACUUUCAAAACCAAAUAUGAACUUGAUAAUUCUUGGAAACACAGAUAUUUUGUAUAGUACAUAGCAACAAAAAACCACUAAGGAACUGCUACCAAAUCGUUUUGUUAUUUAUGUGCAAAGAAAGCGAUGUCAAAUUCAAAUUUUUAUUGGUUUCAGAAUCUUUUCUUUCCAAGCAAUAACCACCAACUGCACGAAACCGUUUUGUUUGUUCCAUUUCUCACUCUCCUCACUGCAAUAUUCAAAUUCUGAUUUGGAAAACAGCACAUAAAAACACAAGAUUUGGUCAUGCUCUGGUUCUACCAAAUACUACAUUUGUUUCUAGAAUUGCCAGAAUCUGAUCCUUAGCUGACAAUUAAUCUCUAGAAGAUUCUUUUGCUUGUAACUUGGUAGUUAUGGAUUAGCAACUGAUAAAUAAAUCAUUUAGUGGGCUCUAUGUUGUGAGUAGUGAUAGGUAACUUAUCUCGACACCUUUUAGUAGAUUGCAUUAAUAUUUAGACUGGACCCUUUUGAUAGCUACAUUUGUGAACAAGAAUACAAUACGAUAAAGAAAUAGAUAAGAAGUUUCACCUCCUAUACUCCCAUGACCACAUCAUGACAUAUUCAAUGCCAAUCAUGAAUAUACAAACCAAUAGGAUUUGUUUUCUUCCAAAUAUUUAUUUGUGGACGUGAAUCUACUCACCCUAGAAGCAAGUUUCGUUAAAUUUACUUUGUUUAAUAAUUUUUUGUGAACAUUCAUUCUUUUUUAAUUCAACUGUUAUAUAAAAAUAUCUCACUAAGUAGAUCAAAUAUGCAAACUUUUAAUCAACAUUAUGUUGAUCCGAGGAUAAUUAAAUUCAAAUUCCUUAAGAAAGGUCUUAAGUUCAAAUUUUGUGAAUGGAAAAUAUAAUUAAAAAAAAAGACAUAACUAAAGUAGCUAGUCAAGUCAUGAUAAAGUCUUACAAUUCAUGAAAUAACUAAUAUUAUAUCAAUCAACUUCAUUUUAAUGGAUAGUAGUAUUAUUCUUUUAAAAUACAAGUAAAUGUUAACUAUAAGAUAAUCUUUAUGGUAAUAUAUUACAAAAUAUAAUAGUUAAGGGUCUGUUUGGGUGGUUGUUAGUUGUAAGUUUCAUUUUUAAUUUUAAACCAGUCUUUAAAAUUUGGUUAGUUUUCUAAUUCUUAGUUUUAAGAUAAAGCCAUUUAAAAAAAUUUCAAUCCUUUUAAAAUUAAUUUAAAAGGUGAUAAUGUCAACAUAGGUUAUGGUUCUAGUGUUAGUAGAGGCGACCAGAAAUGUCAUUGUCAAAUGUAGAGUGUGUACUUUUUUUAAAUUAAAAUCAAAAUUACAAAUGUUUUUUUUCUUUAUUUUGAAAAUAAAGAUAAAAAAGUGUUUUGAGAUAGUCAAUCAUUUCAACUUCAUUUUCUGCCCAAAGCUUUUGAUUUUGAAAAUUACAUUUAAAAAUAAAAUUAAAAAACUCACAAUUACCUGACCAAACCUUAAGUCUUUUAAAUUAAUUAAUAUUCUAUAAAGAAAUAGUAUUUUUAAAAUAUUUAUAUAAUUUAAGUAUUUACUUAUUUUUAGAGUGAAUAGAUCCCUUUCGUUUGUUUCAUUCAUCAUACAGAAUCAAUAAUACACUGGAAUAUUCGCUUAUAUAUAUAUAUAUAUAUAUAUAUAUAUAUAUAUAUAUAUAUAUAUAUAUAUAUAUAUAAAAUGUACAUGGAAAAAAUAAUUUUCCAUUAGUGUAUUAAAAUUUGAAGAGAGACAGACAAAUAUAUCCUUAUUUCCAUAGAGCCUGCAAAAACCUAACUAUCCAGUCAAUAUUUUAUAUUUCCGUAGUUUUUCUGACAAACCAAUUUCUUUAAUAAAGUUUUCAAAUAAGUUAUAUAACAUAUCAUAAUAUUCAAGGUUUUCCAAGAGAAAUUUAAAAAUUGUUAUUUUGACAAGAUAAGUGCUACAUAAUUGUGUGGUCUAUAGCGACUAAUGAGUCAAGGCAUCGUGACUCUGUCGUAGCAAAAAAGGUAAACAAAAACAAGUCAUUGUCAUAGCAUUAUUUGAAGUUGAAGAAUACGUAGUGUGAUAUGAUUUAUUUAUGACUUUUUUGGUUGUUUCCGUUGCAUUUUGUGAAUCGAAGAUCAAAUAGCUAGCUAUAAAAAGAUCCUAAACAGAUAACAACCUAUUGGUAAUUUAUUUUGUUUUUGUUUUAGUCUAUUCAAUUAUAUAUAGGCUCAUAUAUGUAGAUUUUAUAAGUUUAAGCCACAAAAAAUAUAUUUUUAUUAAAACAAUAAAAAGAUAUUGCCGUAGUGUUUAUACGAGAAAUGGCGCAUAGUAAGGUGCUCGAUCGAGUCUCUAUCAAUUUGCUUUUGGUAGGAAAAGAAAAGACAAAAGAAGAAAGUUACAAAGUGCACUCUUAAUCCUUGUGUCUUUAUAAUCAAGUUGGAUAAAGACACAUUAACACUCAUGUUAUUUUUUAAUUCCCUGAGUAUUUAACUCAAUUAGAUACUUAAAGAUUUAAAUUUGAGGCCGUUACUAGUUAAUUAAAAUAAUUCCGCAUAAAUUGAUUCAAACACAUUAUUUGACAUCUUAAGAGAAAAAGAAAAAAAAUGAAAUGUAAACAUGAUAAAUUAUAUGAUAUGAUAAGGGAAAUACAAAAAUAAAUAAAAGAUGUCAAAUAAAUAUCCAUGCAUGUAUCAUUACUAAUUAAGUUUCAAAAUCAUAGAGUGAUACAUGAAUUUUUUUAUUUUAAAUUCAAAAUAUAUCUCAGUGAAAACUAUUUAAUGUUUAAAAUAACAUUCAUACAUCAAUGUUUUAUUUGAGAACUUUGAUAAAUAAGUAUUUUGUUUCAGGAAUUAUGUUUAUACUUUAUAGUGUAUUAAUCCUAUGACAUAUUGUGUGAUAGUAACGAUGAGAAAGGAAAUAAAAAGGAAUAAAAUAGGAUAAAAAUAUUAAAUUCCUACUAUUAUUUGAAAGAAGAAAUAAAAAGUAGAAUUUUCUUAAUUAAUCUCACAUGAAAAUUAAUAUUUCUCCUCUAUAUAUCAAAAAAAAUAUCCCUGCUCAUGGGCAAGAAAGAAAACAAACAAAACAAAGGGCAACAAACAAGGCAUAGCCACUUGCUUGUGUUGGGACCAAAACAAAACAAAACAAAUGGGUCAUUAUUGUUUAGGGUGGUGGUAAGAUAAGGACUAAACUGUAAUUGUCUGGCUCAGCUGCAUACUUCAAAAAUGUGGUGCACAUGGAAACAAGGGGGAGAAGUGGAGAAAAUGAAGACCAAUGUACAUACUUUCUUCCUCAAUCAAUGUAUCAACAAUAUCAGUCCAUGGCAACGUUGUUUUUCAGGAUGUGACUCUCUCGAGGGCCUAAAGGCCCACCAGGUUCAUCAUUCAUCAAGGUUUUGUAGUUUAAUCAUACAAUUUCAAGCACCAAAGAAAAUGAGCCUUGGUAAGUUUUUUUUUCAUCACCAAAAUGAUAUUUUUUUUCCCUUUCAAAUUCUAUGGUUGCACUUGCACACAUUGGAUUUGACAUGUCAAUAUCAACAACUUUUAAUUAAAUGCAGUUCUUGUAAACAUUCAAUUUCAUCGAAACAAACAAAAUAAAAAUGUACAAAUGAGAACAUUUGAAAAAAAGAAGCAUAACCGAUUAUAAAAGAAGGAAAAGUAAUAUUCAAUCAGAAAAGAAAAUUGUGAUAACCAUCUUUUGUUCUCCCAUCUUAUUUUAUCUUUUUGUCAAAAUAAUUUUACAUUAUCGUUCAAUCAUAAAUCGUUACAGAUAUAAAUUUUAAAGUAAUUAUCAUAAAAAUUAAUAAAUUUAUCAUACAUGAUAAGUUAUAAUUGAAUGACGAUGUAUUUUACAUUAAGUAUAACCUAUUUUCUUUUUUUUCUUCGAUUGUUAUAUUCUUUGUCUAAUAAAAAAGAGAAUAUACUGACAUUAAAAAUAAAAAAAAUAGAAAAUUAUAAAAUAUAACAACACAACAAGAAGAAUGAUUAAGGGUAUGUUGGAUUGCUUUUUGAAGUGUUUCAAAUGGAUAAUUCCAUUUUUUCAUGCAAGUAGAAGCAAUUAUUGCUUGCCAUUUGAGUGAACGUUUAUUGAAGCGAAGGGCAACUUUUUUCCCAUCACGUCCUAGUUGUUUUGAAGUUAUUUUUGGCAUCUCUCUAGUUUCCUUUUGGGGGUUGCUAGGUGCACCCAGCAUUAUUGCUGGUGCACCCAGCACUUAUUGUGAAAAGUCACAAAUGCCCUUGUUAUUUUUUAAAAAAAAAGCAGUGCACCCAACGACCCUUUCUUCUUCCUUUUCCGCGAGCCUCUUCUCCUUCAUUCUUCUUCCUUUUCUGCGAGCCUUUCUUCUUCUCCUUCUUUCUUCUGCGAGCCUCUUCAACUUCUUUCUUCCUCCUUCCUCAUUCUUCCGCGAGCCCAUUUGCUUCUCUAGCACGAGGUGGUUGUUCUUCUUCCGCGCAAGCUGCUGCUUCUCCCUCCUUCGAGUGCGCUUCUUCUUCCAUUCUGCCGCGAGGUGCUGCUCUUCUAUUCUUCAUCGAGGUAAGGUCUAUUAUCCUUUUUCUUGUUUGUUAUUGCUUUCAUUGGUGAUUGCUUAAGUAUUUAGGUCAUCCGCAGUAGAGACAAGUUAGGACCUAGGUGAUCCGCAAAUAGGGUAGAUGAUCCGUAGGUUGUGUUUAUGUUGUGUUGAACUUGCGGAUCACGUUGAUCCGCAAGAAGAAAAGGUUGAUUCGCAUGCUUCCCACAGAUCAAGUUGAUCCGCAUGCUUCAUGCAGAUCAACUUGAUCCGCGGGAAGCAUGCAGAUCAACUUGAUCUGUGUGAAACAUUUUACAUUUUUAAAAGUUUAAAUUAGGUUAUAAUUAAUGAAAAAUGGUUUUUAAUGGUUACUUUUGAAGCUUUUGCCUCAAGUAUGAUAUUGUAUAAUGGUUAUUUAUAUCCUGUAUGGUAGUGAAUAUGCAAUUGAAAAUAUGAACACAAUCUAUUAGGUUGUAGCUUCUCAUGUGCCUAAAAAGGAUUAGAAUCCUUAAAUUUAGACAAGAAUUUGUGAUGGUGCUUGUCAUAUGCCUCAAAGCAGUAAACAUCCUGAAAUUGUUGUGUACUAGAUCAUUAACCAUAAAAUGAUGGUGGUAAGUUUAAAUCACUGAAAUAAUACUCCACCUACAAUAAUACCUCCCAACUACUGAGAAAAUCUUCAUAAGAUUUGGAUGAAUUGAAAAAGAAAAGUAUAUGGUCAGAAUAUUCUAGGAAGGAUAAAAAGAACUGUUGCUUUUCGUUGUCUUGGUGAAUUGAAAAAGAAAAGAAAAUAUCAAGCCAUGAAUGUCAUAAUCCAAAAUCCAAAUAGAUAUUUUUCAAAAUAAUCGGAAAAAAAUGAAAUAUCCAAGCACAAAUUGUCCCUUUUAUGUCUAAUGCUCUAGCAGAAUCAGACCUGAGGGUGAGAGUCAAAUUACUAUAUUAUACUCAAUCAAACAUCAAUAUGCAACUGCAGAGAUAAAUCACAUACUUGAGUAAUAGUUAGGAAAUAAUAGAGCAAACACACUUCAUGCAAAUGAUUGACCUCAACUUGCAAAAAAUUAGAAACAAUAGUUAGAAUAUAUACCCAAAGUAGGUCAAUUAAAAUAGUAGUUAGAAUUCAUGUUAUCCACCAAAUCCCAAAAUGAUGCUAACAAAAAUUAGAACCCUGAAUACAUGAUAUUUGAAUAAAAAAUUUCGAUAAGAAUACAUGAUAUGCAUGGGUCAUCAUAGAACCCAUCAUGCAACAUUAGUAAACUGUCUUGCACAACUUAAAGUCAAUCACACAUUUGCAGAUCAUGGUUAAGACUAGAGGAUUAGGCCGUGCAUUAGGUAGGGUUGGUGCCAAAGGUUUGGGGAGAGGAGGGGAUGGUGAUGAUACUGAUGGUGCUCCCCAGGGCCGAAGGCUGACCGCAUCGGCAAGCAGGUGACGAGUACCAGUCAUUCUUGACGAUGAUGUGCCUGUGGUGCCUGCGAACUCGCCUGCGGUACCAGAGGCAGAGGCUGCUGUAGCUGGGGAUGAGCCCAUGGUAGAUGCUGCCACACAGGACACCGGUGCAGAGACUGACGCACAGGAUACCGGUGCAGAGACUGACGGGGACGAGCUUGAGGGAUUUCUUGGUGGACCCAGGGACCCAUUAGUGCUUACAGAGUAUGCUGACCAUGUUGCGGGCAGCGUAUGGUCUGGACAGGUAUUUAUAAUAUUAAAGUUAGUUAACUUUUAUUUUUUUUUAUUUUUUGGUUACUUAUUGACGUUAUUUGAAAAAAUUGUGUGUUCCUUUGUACUUCAAUUCAGGAACAUCUUGAGUUGAAGUUAUGCUCCCAUGGGAGGAAGGUGCAUAACUUGGGCAGGUCUAUUCCUGCAAUUGAGGACAUGGUUGCUGGGACAGGAUUAAGUCCUUUGAUCGCGUGUUCAAUAGACACCGGCGAUCGGGGACUUAUAUCCUCCUUUGUUGAGAGGUGGCACCGGGAGACUUCUAAUUUCCAUCUUCCUGUGGGGGAGGUUUCGAUCACGCUGGAUGACAUCGCGUCUCUUCUCCAUCUGCCUAUCGUUGGCGCAUUCCAUGACUUCCAGCCUUUGUGCACCGACGAGACGGUGUUGCUGUUGGUUGAGUUACUGAUGGUCUCAGCAGAGGUGGCCAUGACCGAGACAGGCCAAUGUGGUGGACCAUACGUACGCCUGUAGUGGCUACGAGACGUAUACCAGUGCAGAUGUCAGACGCAGCACUGGACAGUUGCCGCUCAUGCUUAUCUUCUACAUCUUUUGGGUUGCACUCUUUUUGCUAAUAAGAGUGCAACCCAUGUUCAUGUCGCACACAUACAGGCCCUACGUAACCUCACUCUUGCUGGGCGGUAUGCAUGGAGAGCUGCUGGCCUCGUCCAUAUGUACAAUCAACUUAAUGAUGCCAGUCUCAGCACCAGCCGACAGUUUGCUGGUUAUAUCACCUUGUUACAAGUAAUUAAUAUGUAUUUCAUAAUUUAAUUACAACAAUGUUUUAAUGACUGUAUAUUUAAUUAACAUGUAUGAUUUUCAUGUAAACCCUAUAGUGUUGGAUAUACGAGCACUUUCCUUCAGUUGCAGAGUGCAAUGCUGAUCCGGACUACGACGAGGUGUUACCACGUGCAUGUCGGUGGAUUGCGACAAAGAAGACUGUGAAGAAGCUAUCUACAGCGACGUACAGGCAGUGCAUGGAUCGUCUGAGGAUCCUGGAUGCCUGCUGGAUGCCAUAUGCGGAGCACCGACCUGUGCAGAACUUUCAUCCGAUUUCGUGCUUCUCUGGAAAGCUCUGCAAGGGGCCUGCUGUUGUCAGAUACAGACUGGAGAGGUUUAUGCACCAGUUUGGCUACAUCCAGUGCAUUCCUGCACACCCUGUCCAUUCAUGGGUGUCAUAUGAUGACAUGGACGAUACGUGGACGCACUACUCAGACCAUCUGGAGGCAGCAGGUGAUCUAUGUGUUGUGUCAGGUCAGUGUGCGCCUGACUACAUAGACUGGUUCUUCGUCAUAUCGCAUCCAUUCAUGACUGCACCACAGACGAAUCCUCCUCGAGAUGCAUAUGCGAUGCAGCCCAGUCAUAUCCCUCAUGAGGCAGCACCGACAUCGACACAUGUGGAUCCUGAUGCAAACGAGCCCAGACAUGCAGUGGUAAGUGUUACUAUUUGGUUAGAUGUAUGCCAUUUACUUCAAUUAUUUUAAUACUAAUUUGUAUAAUUUGUUUGUUUUUUAUUUAACAGGAGGCUUGUCAUGCGAUCGCAGAGGCGUUGGAGCAGCAUCUAAAUGUGCUAGGCACAUCUACACAUGAAGAGGUUAUCCAAAAAUGCCUCAGGAUUGUCAGGAGUGUCACUGAAGACCGCAAUGUGUAUGUGAGGUCUCGACGUAGGCGGUGCACGGAUCAACAAUAGUUUAUUCACACUUUAGAUAUCAUUAGUUUUUGACGAUGUAUUUGACUUGACAUUUUGUCAAUUAUGUUUAAAUUACUUGAUCCAAAAUUUAUUUUGUAAUUGUAUGCUAAGAAAUUACAUAGACCCUAAGAAACUCCAUUUUGAGAAAACAUAAAGACAACUAAAACUUCUCUCCACAAAAACACUUAGGCAAACACAUCCAUGAUCCGCGGCACAAUAAUUUGCAAUAGUAAGCUCCAAAUCUGUUCUAAGAUCGUAAGUUCCUUGAUUAGUUGGUUCCUUCUGCAAAACAACCAAAAAAUUUACAAGCAGACAAGGUUAGGGAGGGGGAGGAAGCAAAUCCUUUUUCAAAAAUAAAUAAAUAUAUGAACUUAAUCCAAUAUCACUUUAAUUGUGACUGAAUAUAAUCACAUUAAUUUAAAAUAAAUCACCUCAAGCAGAAAGGAAAUGUUUUAUUAAACCAGUCAUUAUUUAACAAUAGCAAUGGAUAUUUUUAUAUAGCUACUUCAAAUUAACCUCGCACUAAAGUAGUUACCUGCAUAUAUCAGUGACAACUUUCAGUGCUUGCUUAGACACUUGUUGAUUGUGAUAUCUUCAAAUUAGCCAUUUGUCGCCUUCUCUUGGCUUUCCUUGAUAGAUUAUCCCUAUUAAUAUUUGAUCCGCAUGCAUCCCAACCUUUAGGAAGCCCAAGUAAUUCAUCCUUCUUUUCAAAAAUCUAGCUUCUCAUUGUCAUCAUGUCACUACAAAAGUCAGGGUCAGCAUCCUCUACAUUAUAAUAUUUCUCGUCAAAUGCCUUCUUCAUCAUUCUAUCAUACUCCUGUGGGUCAAAUUCCUCUUCAAUUUCUUCCCUGGACAAUGGGAUAAUAUCAUCACCAUGGAUCCCUGCAGUCUUCAUUAUCUUUUUAACCUUUUCCUGUAUUUCCUGCUUAUUCAAAUUCUUUAAGCGUUUCAACUCCUCCUCCCUCUCUUUUUGUUCUAUAGCCAUUCUCUCCUCUUUGCUCUUUCUCUGCUCUUUCCUUGCAUUCGUCUUCUUCCUCAUUGAUCCCUCCACCUUCCGAGCAUGACCCAACACCCUAUCUUCUGGAUUUUCCUGAAAUCUGUAUUCAUAUUCUUCCUAUCUCUUGAGCUCCAUCUCAUCCUCUGAAAUCUCUUGCAAUUCAUCCUCUCCAACAUUCAAAUUCUUCCCACUCUUGCCAAUCCACAAUUUGACCCAACACCCUAUCAAGUUGAUCCGUUGUUGAUCCAUAGAAGGCUUACGGAUCAACUUGAUCCAUAAACCAAACUCGAUCCAUAGAAGUAAAAUCAACAUACGGAUCAAGGUGAUCCAUGGAAGACUCGCGGAUCAACUUGAUGUUAGAGUUUGUGGUCUUAGUUCCUUUGUCCCACAUUGCUUGGUUUGUAAAAACUUGUGUCUCACUAGUGUUAUAUAUAGAGACACCUUGUAAGCUUUUAUGUGCAAGUAAUAAAAGUUCUCCUAGUGUAGCCGUGGACGUAGGCACAUACAUUGUGUGCUGAACCACGUUAAACUGUGUGUCUUUUUCUUUCUUCCCUUUAUUUCUUUCUCUUCUUUUAUUGCUCUAUACUAACAACUGGUAUCAAGAGCUUUUGGUUACUCCACGGAAUUUCCUUAGUUUAAAGGAAUUAGUGGGAGUCUUCUCAGUUUAGAGGAGGCAGUGGGAGCAAUGGCAUUAGAAGAGGGAAAAAUGAAGAUCGAGAAGUUCGAUGGCAGAGAUUUCAGCUUUUGGAAGAUGCAGAUAGAGGAUUAUCUAUAUCAGAAGAAGUUGUAUCAGCCCUUAUCAGGGGUUAAGCCAGAAGACAUGAAGCAAGAAGAAUGGAACUUGCUAGAUCGACAUGCUCUUGGCGUGAUCAGAUUGACAUUAGCCAAGAAUGUCGCGUUCAACAUCAUGAACGAGAAGACUACUGCAGGCUUAAUGAAGGCAUUAUCAGAUAUGUACGAGAAGCCGUCAGCAGCCAACAAAGUAUACUUGAUGCGCCGGUUGUUCAACCUCAAGAUGGGAGAAGGUAUCUCUGUAACUGAUCAUAUUAAUGAGUUUAAUACUAUUCUUGCCCAAUUGGAAUCUGUGCAUAUUAAAUUUGAGGAUGAGGUGAAGGCAUUGAUUUUAUUGUCAUCACUACCGGAUAGUUGGGCUGCAACUGUUACUGCAGUUAGUAGUUCUACAAGGGAGAACACAUUAAAGCUUAGUGACAUUCGUGACUUGAUCUUGAGCGAAGAUGUUCGCAAGAGAGAUUCAGGAGAAUCUUCCAGUCAUGUUUCCAAUUCAGCAUUGAAUACUGAAGGCAAAGGAAGGACUACCCAGAAGGGUCAGAAUGGUCGAGGCAGAUCAAAGUCAAGAGGGAAAGGUCAGAGAAAAUUUCAAAGUGACGUUACUUGUUGGAAUUGUGACAAGAGAGGUCACUUUAGCAAUCAGUGCAAGGCACCAAAGAAGAACAAGUCGCACAAAAACAAGAAGCGCGAUGAUGAUGAAUCCGCAAAUGCAGCAACUGAUGAACUUGAUGAUGCAUUAAUUUGCAGUUUGGAUAGUCCUGUUGAUUCAUGGAUCAUGGACUCAGGUGCGUCGUUCCACACUACUCCCUCUAAAGAUUUAUUGUCUAACUAUGUUUCUGGAAGAUUUGGAAAAGUUUACCUUGCAGAUGGAAAAUCUCUUGACAUUGUCGGAAGAGGUGAUAUCAACAUCAAGACCUCCAGUGGAUCCCUAUGGACAUUGCACAAUGUCAGACAUAUUCCUGCCUUAAAGAGAAAUUUAAUAUCUAUAGGGCAGUUGGAUGAUGAGGGACAUCACACCACUUUUGGAGAUGGAGCUUGGAAGGUAACAAAAGGCAAUCUCAUUGUGGCUCGUGGAAAGAAGCGAGGAUCUCUUUACAUGAUUGCAAAUGAGGAUAUGGUAGCAGUUACUGAGGCUGUCAAUAAUUCAACCAUGUGGCAUCAAAGACUUGGACAUAUGAGUGAAAAAGGAAUGAAGCUUAUGGCGGCAAAGGGUAAGCUAUCAAGCCUCAAGCAUGUAGAUGUUGGUGCUUGUGAACAUUGUAUCCUUGGAAAGCAGAAAAAGGUCAGUUUCUCAAGGGCAGGGAAGACUCUGAAAGCUGAAAAGCUAGAAUUGGUGCACAUAGAUGUUUGGGGGCCAGCCCCAGUGAAAUCUGUUGGAAACUCACGCUAUUAUGUCACCUUUAUCGACGACUCUACCAGAAAGGUAUGGGUUUAUUUUCUUAAAAAUAAAUCUGAUGUGUUUUCUGUGUUUAAAAGGUGGAAAGCAGAAGUUGAAAAUCAAACAGGUCUAAAGGUUAAAAGUCUGAAAUCUGACAAUGGUGGGGAGUAUGAUAGUCAGGAGUUUAAAGACUUCUGUUCAGAACAUGGGAUCAGAAUGAUCAAGACAAUACUAGGAACACCUGAGCAAAACGGUGUUGCAUAAAGGAUGAAUAGAACCUUGAAUGAGAGAGCAAGGUGUAUGUGGAUCCAAUCUGGCUUGCCUAAAGCAUUCUGGGCAGAAGCAAUAAACACAGCAGCAUAUCUCAUCAAUAGAGGACCAUCAGUUCCUUUGAAUUAUCAGUUGCCUGAAGAAGUAUGGUCUGGAAAGGAGGUAAAACUUUCACAUUUGAGAAUUUUUGGUUGUGUUUCAUAUAUACUGACAAACUCUAAUAGUAGAGAUAAAUUGGAUCCGAAGGCGAGGAAGUGUUAUUUUAUUGGUUAUGGAUCUGACAUGUAUGGCUACAGGUUUUGGGAUGACCAAACCAAGAAAGUUAUCAGAAGCAGAAAUGUUACUUUUAAUGAGAACUUAUUUUAUAAGGACAAAUUUUCUGCAGAAUCUACAUGUGCAGGUAAACUGUCAGAAAUUUCUGAGAAAGCAACACUUGAAGAAAUUUCAGAAAGUGAUGUAGCCAACAGAAACCAGAGUACAGGCGUAGAGGUUGAGUCAGAACCAGAACCAUCAACUCCUCCAAGAAAAUCUAGCAGAAUUUCAGUACCACUAGAUAGGUAUUCCCCUUCAUUGCAUUAUUUGUUGUUAACUGAUGCUGAUGAGCCAGAAUGUUUCAAUGAGGCUACACAGGGGAAUGACACUAUUGAGUGGGAGCUAGCGAUGAAAGAUGAGAUGACAUCCCUUCAGAAGAAUAAGACGUGGUCUUUAACUAAAUUGCCAGAAGGAAAGAAGGCGUUACAGAAUAGGUGGGUCUAUAGGCUAAAGGAAGAAUCUGACGGUAGAAGAAGAUACAAGGCGAGACUUAUGGUGAAAGGGUUUCAGCAGAAACAAGGAAUUGAUUUCACAGAGAUCUUCUCUCCAGUUGUAAAGAUGACUACCAUCAGAGUUAUUCUGAGCAUAGUAGCUGCAGAGAAUCUUCACUUGGAGCAGUUAGAUGUUAAAACUGCAUUCUUGCAUGGGGAUUUAGAGGAAGACAUCUAUAUGACCCAACCAAAAGGUUUUGAAGUGCCAAGCAAGGAGAAUCUUGUAUGCAAGCUUCACAAAAGUUUGUAUGGCUUGAAACAAGCACCGAGGCAGUGGUACAAGAAGUUUAAUGAGUUUAUGAGCAACUCAGGAUUCAAAAGAUGUGACAUGGACCAUUGCUGCUAUGUUAAAAAAUAUACUAAUAGUUAUGUUAUCCUUGUUGUGUAUGUUGAUGACAUGUUGAUUGCAGGAUCUAGUAUGGCAGAAAUUAACAGGUUGAAGCAGCAGUUGGCAGAAAACUUUGAAAUGAAGGAUCUUGGUCCAGCUAAACAAAUCCUUGGUAUGAGAAUUCUUAGAAACAAAUCAGAAGGAAUUUUGAAGCUGUCUCAGGAGAAAUAUAUACCCAAGUUGCUUGACAAGUUUUACCUUGGAGAUUCUAAGACCAGGAAUACCCCUUUGGGAUCUCAUUUGAAGUUUUCAAAGAAGCAAUCUUUGCAAACAAAUGAAGAAAAAUGUUACAUGUCAAGAGUACCAUAUGCAUCAGAAGUUGGGAGUUUGAUGUAUGCUAUGGUGUGUACCAGACCUGACAUAGCACAUGCAGUGGGAGUUGUCAGUAGGUUCCUAUCAAAUCCAGCAAAAGAGCAUUGGGAAGGUGUAAAGUGGAUACUCAGAUAUAUGAAGGGUACUUCAGAGAUGUGUUUGUGCUUCAGAAAAGGCAAUCUCACUUUACAGGGAUUUUCAGAUGCAGACUUGGGAGGAGAUUUUGAUACCAAGAAGAGCACCACAGGCUACAUUUUUACCUUGGGAGGUACUGCUGUGAGUUAGAAGUCUAAACUUCAAGAUAGAGUUGCUCUCUCAACCACGAAAGCCGAGUACAUAGCUAUCUCAGAAGCAGCUAAGGAGAUGAUUUGGCUAAAGAAUUUUCUCAAUGAAUUGGGGAAAGAACAAGAUAAUGCUCCAAUGUUUAGUUACAGUCAAAGUGCUAUAAGUCUUGCUAAGAAUCCAGUCUUCCAUUCUAGAUACAAGCAUAUUCAAUUAAGAUACCAUUUUAUCAGGGAGUUGAUAAAUGAUGGAAACUUAUCUUUAUUGAAGAUCUUAGGAUCAGAGAAUCCAGCAGAUAUGUUGACUAAAGCUGUUACAACUGACAAACUGAGGCUUUGCAUUGCCUCAGUUGGCCUUCAAGGAUAAUUGAAGAUGAAGGCGCUGCACUAGGUAAAGAGUCGAUGAACUCGUUGCUUACAAGGAGCUGCUAGAGUUUGGAACUUAGACCCCAAGUGGGAGAAUUGUUAGAGUUUGUUAUCUUAGUUCCUUUGUCCCACAUCGCUUGGUCUGUAAAACUUGUGUAGGCUUAGUCCCACAUCGCUUGGUUUGUAAAAACUUGUGUCUCACUAGUGUUAUAUAUAGAGACACCUUGUAAGCUUUUAUGUGCAAGUAAUAAAAGUUCUCCUAGUGUAGCCGUGGACGUAGGCACAUACAUUGUGUGCUGAACCACGUUAAACUGUGUGUCUUUUUCUUUCUUCCCUUUAUUUCUUUCUCUUCUUUUAUUGCUCUAUACUAACACUUGAUCCGUAAGCCAAACUUGAUCCGUAGAAGUAAAAUCAACAUACGGAUCAAGUUAAUCCGUGGAAGACUGACGGAUCAACUUGAUCCGUGGAAAACUCGCGGAUCAACUUGAUUUGCACUUGGUUCACGAGUCUUCCACGGAUCAACUUGAUCCGCACAAGGAAAAAAAGGACAUUUUUGGAAUUUUUAAAGGAUGCUGAGUGCACCAACAAUAACGCUGGGUGCACCUAACAACACCCUUUCCUUUUUCUUGAUCACUUCCUUUUUCCCAUUUAUUUUCCCGACACACAAUUUUAGUACUACACAUCCUACAUGCACCAUCUAAAGACUCACUCACAAAUCCAGUCUAAUUAAGGACAAGUUAAUACGGAGAAAUUAAUUAGUUCUCUACUACUACUGUAUAUUUAUAAUAUUGAUCAAUCUUUACCUAACAUGAUACGUAUUUAAGUUUUUUAAUUUAAGAAAAAAAUAAUAAUGCUAAAUUGUAGACACUCUUAGAUUGUUUGAUAAUUUUUUCUCUCAAAAAAUUAUUAGAUAUCCAAAACCAUCAUAGACUCUAUUAACAUAAUAUACAAUGCCACUUAAAAAAAACAUAAUAUACAAGGCUAUUAGUUUUUUUUUAUUAAUUAAAAAACUUGAAUAUUUUUUUUAUCGACAAAUAUUCUUUGUUAAUAGAAAAGAUCAGAUUUUAUGAUUUUUUUUCUUUUUCCUUCUCCUAUAAUCAUGUAAUUUACCUUAUAUUUCCGAAAAAUCUGAAAAGGUAUCAUACAAAUUGAUUCAGGCUAUAGAGAUGUAGUGAUCCGAAACUACUUAAUAUAUAGUUUCUUCCACACUCACGGCACUCAAAUAUUUCAUUUCCUCACACAUAGACUGCACCUCCCCCCUCACACACUCACACACUCACUCAUUCACAACACCACACUGACUUAUUCAUAUUCAUCCGUCACAUGAAAGGCCAUGGCAAGCACACACACAAGUUACAAAGCAAAUCCAAACUCUUCAGUGAUGAACCUUAUUUGCACCAUGCAACCAUAAUAUCCACCCAUCAUAGAUCUUAUAGACAAUUGCAUAUAUAGCCAUCAAAGCUUUUCCCAACCAUUGAACUUCUCAACCGAGUCUUCAAAGCUUUUUCCAACCAUUGAACUUCUCAACCAAGUCUUCAAACCUUCACGUGAAUCUGUCAUCAAGACAGCCCCUAAAUUAAGCUUGAGCCGUCUGUGUCAUACACGUAUAAGAGGUCACGCAUGGUUUACAUCAAGAAAAGAAGCUAUCAUAAAGAUAUUAAUUCUAUUUUUUGUUGUUGAAUAAGUCUAGGGUAUAAUAUAUUUUUUAUUUCUCAAAAUAGUUGAGAACGAUAGUUUUGAAAUAUUUUAAAGGAUAAAAACAUAUUUUACCUAGAAUUCUAUUUGUAUUUUAUUUCUUGCUUAGUUUUCGUGGUAAAGGCGUAAGGCAUAGCCGCAUGGAUAUGAACUUAUCAUAGGGCUCCAUUGAAUCAAAUCAGUUUAAACUUAAAGCUUUUGAAAAUCAUUAUUAAAAAAAAAUGAACUUUUGAGGACACCAAAAUUACGUCACUGAAAGAGAAUAAUGACUUCUUCUUCUUCUUUUUUUUCCUGUUGUAAACUUAGGAGUUUCAAAACCCAAGUUCCAAAUUUGCAAUGGUUUCUUGUUUUUGGUUCGUAAGUGGAUUACAAAAAUUUCAUUUUAACGAAAACUUUUGGAUUAUUUUAAUAUUAUGCGCUAGUUGUAAUUAAAAGUCAUUAGGAUUGUUUUAGAAAACUAAGAAUAAAUCUAUAAUUAAUUUCUCUUAUCUUUUCAAAAUACUCAUUAGUUUUUUUUUAAAAAAAAACCAACACAGAAUAGUAUUUUUUUAGCCAUAAAAAAAAUAAGGGAACGAAAGACUGAGGGAAGAAAGCCAAUUUAAUUAAAAAAAUAGAAAAUGAAUUUUUUUUUAAAAACACAAGAAAAUAUUGGGCCAGGAAAUAAAUAUGAAUUAUAAUAAUCAAGAGCGUCAUGCAUGCUUAGUAGCUUUCUGUGCAUUAAAGAACUCUAGAGAAAUUAUGUGUUAUGAUCUAUUCUUACAAAAACAUAUGCCAUAGCCUGUGAACUGGAUCCGUGUUCAUGAUCUCUUGUAUAUGCUUUUGUUCUUUAAUUGUUAAUAAUUAAGAACACAUGCCGUAGUGCAAGUUUAAAUCACGAAGAGUUAUGGAUACCCAUAAUUUUUUAAGGGAUAUAAAAUAAACUAUCCUUUUUGUUAUUGUAAUUUAAAAAUUUAAAGACCUUCUAAUUCACCUCAUAAUCAGUUUCAAGUCCAACCAAUUCUAUUCAUCCAUGCUUCACUCAGGUUCUUUUGAGACCUUUUAAAAAAAAGAAAAAGGACAUGAUGAGGCCCUUAUUUAGAUGUAAUAGAGGUGUUUAUAUAAAAUUAAGAAGAAGAAAAAAGAUCGUCAGCAACAAAUUGAAAUGAAUGUGUAUGCAAAGUUAAAACCUAAAAGGUUAAUCGAUCAAUGAUGGAACACCCAAAUAGUCAUGUUUUAGUUUCUCCCAAGCUCCAAAGGGGAAAAGCGUUUGGUAAAAUCAGUCAAAUAAGUUAGUUGAUAAAUAUAAAUUAACACAAAAAAAUAUAUGUAAUUAUUUGAGUUAAAAAGUGAUUAAAAAACGAGUGAGAAAAAAAGAAAGCUACAAACUUAUAAACUAGAGCUUAUUUUCGUAAGUUAAUUGAUACAGUUUAUGAAAAUAAACUCCAAGUUAAUAUAAUAAACUGUACUAAAUAAACUUAUAAGUUGAUUAAAGUAAUUUGUAAACUAUUAGAGUAUCAUACGAAAACAUUUAGUAUUCGUUCAGAGUCGCAAGUUGCUAGUUUUGGAACUUGUAUUUAGAAGUUUCUCUCGGUGCUUUAAAAAUUUGGAGGUAUUUAUGGUCUUAGCUGGAUUCAGACUGUUAACUUCAUAUUAAUUUUUGCUUAGAAAAAUUUACAAUAGUUGCAUGUUGUUCCUUUCCGAUAUUUCAUUUUUGUCAUAUAAUUAGUUAAACUAGCUUAACUAUAAGCUACUAAAGUGUCUUAUUGAGGGUUUUCUCCUUGCUGCACCGUUAGGGUUUUUUUAUUGAUCCCAAGGCUUGUAUGCUUGUUUUUCCCUUGUGGUUGUCGCUCUACUUAGGGUGAUUUGCUGUCCCAAUGUGACACCUUUUAUUCUUAUAUACAUAUUUAUAUAAUAAAAUACAUGAAAAUGUGGAAUUACAUAAAAUAAUUUUAUUCAAUAAACAUAAAAGAACUCACGUGAAUAAAAGGUUCACAUUUCGGUUAAUCACCAAAUUAAAAACUUAUCAAUUAAGAGUAUGAAAAUAUUUUCGACUCAAAACAACGUCGUUCAAGUUUACAAAAGAACAUAAGUUAAGUAGCAUAAUAAAAUAAAGUAAUAUGAUGACAUGUUUGGAACAUUAUGCAAUUAAAACAGAAACUCAUGCCUUAAUGUCACAUCCUAUCAGAGCAUUAUGUCUUGACGUCCUCCAACACGAGGUUCCUUAAAGCAAUCCACCUUGUCAUAUGCUCCAACGAACACAAGUUUCGAGAUCAUCACAAGAUCCAAAUACAAACAACACACAUGGAGCGAGAAGUGAAUUGUCACAUUUCUAAACAGGUAGAGAUAAACGAAUAUAUAUAUAUAUAUAUAUAUAUAUAUAUAUAUAUAUAUAUAUAUAUAUAUAUAUAACAAGCUCAACUUAGAACAAUUCACAUCAUUUUACCACUCAUUGUGUAUCAUCACUUUUCCCAAGGAUUUAAUCACAUUUCACACCUUCACAUUAAUCGCGUGUUCAAAACAACAAAUCUCAAGUAUAACACAACAUCUCACACUCACACAAUUCAUUACCCACCAUCAUGUAGUAAGUCACAAGGAUCAUUACACAUGCGUUAUACAACAGAUACACUAAGACUCAAUCCUAUAUGCAAUAUGGUAUCAUGUCAGUGAAAAACCUCGUUAGACAUCUAAGAGUACAUGACAAGACAGAUGACACACUGGUAAGUCAGAUCACUCUCACUAGGUAAAAUAAUAGGGAGACCAGUCAGGGUCACGCUGUUUUGCGAGAAUGCUUCAAUCAUGUGGGAUCGACACAUGCUUAAAAGAGCACUCAAACUGAGUGCAUUUACCUCCAAGGCUUAGACUCCGAAGAGUCUGUCAGGUCCUCUCCCUCCUAAUUCAAGUCCAACCCAAAAAAUAUUUUAACACACAGACUCUAUCUAUGAACUAUACAAAACACACGACUCCUCAGUUGUUCUCAAAAUAAUUUUAACUCCUCGUGCCUCAAAGUGAUUCAACUCUUCAGGUUCCCACAGUGGACUCCAUCACAAUACUCGUCGCACAUUAACUUGUUGCCCUUAAAGGCUCUUACACUCGUGUGAUUUUAAGAUUCAUAGCUCACAACUCAAUGCACACAACAUCUCAAUACAUGUGUGAUCUCUCAAUUUAAUACAUACUCAACUUAUCACAUACACCNNNNNNNNNNNNNNNNNNNNNNNNNNNNNNNNNNNNNNNNNNNNNNNNNNNNNNNNNNNNNNNNNNNNNNNNNNNNNNNNNNNNNNNNNNNNNNNNNNNNAACCCAAUCUCAAUCACAAUGUUAUAAUCUCAAAGCAACAUGUUAUCACACCUCACAAAUCAUAUACACAUCACACAAUAUUAUUAUAUACAUGACACAAACACAAACUUUACCUAUAAACUAUGCAAUAUACAUAACUACUCAAUUGUUUUCAUAAUCAUUUUAACUCGUCUUGUCUCAAAGUGAUUCAACUCGUUGGGUUCUCACACGGAUCCCAUCACAAUACUCGUUGCGAAAAAACUCGUUACCCUUAAAGGGUCUUACAAUUGUGUGAUUGCACAACUCAUAUCACAACUCAAUACAUACAAUAUCUCAAUAGACAUGUAUCUCACAAUUCAUCACAUAUUCAAUUUAUCACUUACACGCAAUUUCAUGAUCCCAAUAUAACAAUUUAUCAUGCUAAUCUAGUAAAUCUUGUCCGAAACACAAACAAAUUAUACAAAAAAAUGUUUCUCACAACAUAGGGAGUAAAACCCCUUAAACAAUUUCACAUAAUCAUAUCAAAAUAAAAUAAUCAAAAUCAUAGGUCAAAAACACACGAACACUAAGAGCACUCAAUUUCAUCAACCAAUUCGCAUCAGGGCAUCAAUUGGUCUGUCAAACAAAACAAUCUCAUAAUUAUAAUCGUAAAGGAAGAAUUACAAUACAAUAAACAUCUCAAAAUAAACUAUAAUUUGAUCCUCUAAGGAUCCCUACACAUGUUCAUUCUAACCCCAAUUGCGAUAAACUCAUCUCUUACCUCUAAACGGGCUCACAUGUGUAGUUCGACAAUGAUAGUGGCAUCUCUAUUGGUUCCAUAAGAUUUCUAAAGCUUUUCUUCUGGUUGCUCUGCUAGGGUUUCCAAGCAUUAGAGAGAAGGAGAAGGGAUUGGAACCUCAAUUUUACUGUCUCCAUGUGAGGGGAAUUUCUCUCUCUACAAACAUUAUUUCACAAAACCCAAUGGUGAGAAUGUGUAAAAAUGUGUUUCAAAGGUGGUCUCCAUAUUUUACAAUGAUUCAAUGGUUAAUGAGUCUGAAAUUGUAGUUGUACGAGGACAUGUUUGAAUGUAUGUAGGAAAAAGAGAGGAUUUUGAGAGAGGAAGAAGGGAAAACGAACUUGAGAAGAGAAGGCAUAGAGACGUAAAUGUAAGAAAUGACCUAACAUGUUUUUAUUUAUAACUAGGGUACUCUCAACCUAUUAUUUACUCUAUUUUUAUUUAUUUUAUAAAAAAAACUUUAUUUCACUCUUUCAUUGAAUAGAUAACCAAUUAAAAUAUCCAUUUAUUUUCUAAAACAUCAUUUUACUCUAUUUAUUUUCUAAUACUAUGAAACCCUUAUUUUAAUUAACAAAAACUUUUUUCUCUCAUUUAUUUAAUUUUUAAAAACUCUAUUAAUUUUUAAAUAAAACUCUUUUUAUUUAUUUGACGAAAAUCUGGUGUUACGCCUAAUAUAAUAUUUAUGCCUAUUUGGUACUUACCAAAACAACGUCGAAUGGAUCAUGGAAAUAACCUUGACCUCGCUGAUGAGGAAAAGGAAAUAAUAGAGUUGUCAAAACCGAAGGAAACAAGUCAACUGGGUAAGGUGGAUGUGGAAGGCAAUUAGACGGUCUUCAUCUUACAAGAGAUUUUAUGGAGUUGAAUUAGGUUAAAAAGCCCAAAUUCUAGAAAAUUUCCAUAAAAAUCAUGUUUUCGAUAUCAAAUAUUGUAAAAAAAUAGUUAAAACAACUAUGUAUGCAUUUUGUUCUCUUCUGAACAUACAUAAACAACAUUUUCCAGUUUAAAACAAGAUGUUGUCAUGUGAUAUGUGAGGAAGGAGAAAUUACAAAUAGUUUAAACAACUGUGCAUUUUGUUCUCUUCUGAAUACACAUAACCACCAUGAUUUUAAAUUGCAAUUGCGGUUGUAGUUGAAGUUCAGUUGCAAUUGUGGUGUGUCACAAAAUUUUUAUAUUAUGGGAAAGUGUGACUUAUGCAGUCACAAUAUGAUUAUGGAAAGUCAAAAUAUCUUGACGUUGCGACCACAAUUGUGGUUGUGGACCACUAUUUAAAAUCAUAAUAAACACCAUCUUAAGGCUCAAAAACAAGGAGGAAUUAUUAAGUAGUCGUGUAUUCAAGUUUUUCAAUUUACAAAAAAAAAAAAAAGAUUAAUAACAGUCAACUACACGUUACAUGAUGAGGCUAACCAGGGAGGCAGUGUUGCACUGGUGAGGAGAGUUGCGUUAGGGUUUCAAAUGAGAGACAAAAGGGGUUCUGCACUUGCAAACACGUAGUAAAUGAAUGACCAGAGAACGCAUAGUAAAUGUUCUAUCCUUUGUAACGAUAAUAGUCCAUUUAGUGUUUGUUAAUACAUUUUACAAGUAGAUAUAAAAUAUAAAAAAAAUUAACACUAUCUUGUGCAUUAUAAAAAUAUUUAUAGAAACAUAUAAAGUAUAUAUAAAAAAAUAAUAUUAUAAUAAUGUUAAAGAAAAUAUAUUUUAUUCAUAAAAAAUAAAAUGUAAAAAAUGCAGAAUUUGAAACUUCAUCUUCUUUAAAUUUCAAUCUCAUAUUUAUAUAAACUUUUUUUUCUUCUUCUAAAAACAAGAUAUUCCCAUGAUGAGAAGUUACUACAUUAAUUCUAUAAAUUAGUUAAGAGAUAAUUUCUCUUUUCACACAUAUCAUUUUAUUUAUAAAGAAAUCAAACCACUCGUAUAUUUAAAAGAGUAAAAAUUACUAGUGGCUACAUCCCAUGAGUAAACUAAAAUUAGCUUAGCUAUAAGUUAAGUAAACUUUUACAGGAACUAAUAUAAAAGAAAUUUUAUGAAUUGACUUAAAAAUAAUUAAAAUUUAAAAAAAAAUAUUUUAUUUUAUUUUUCUAAUUUUUAAUAUUAUUUUUAUUUUUAUUUAUAAGUCUCGAAAAUUAAAUUUAUUAUUUUUAUUAAGAUUCAAUUUAUUAUAUUUAUUGUAUUAAUUAUUUUUAAAUUAAAAUAUUCCUAAUUAAAUAAGAGAAAUAUUACAGUGAUAAAUACUUUAUUUAGAAGAGAAAAAAAAUUAUCGUAAUACAUAUGCCUUUUAAAUAACUUUUUACAUUUUAAGAAACGAAUCUCUAAUUUUCAGUCAAAGUUACCUAAAAAAAAAGAAAAGAGAAGAAAAUCCCUUAUUAAAUUAAUUAACAUUGACAAUGGCAUUUCAUUGUGGUAGAAAAAGUUCCCUUAAAUAAUAAAUGAGUACUUGAUCUACAUUUUCUCUCUCUUCAUUCUCCAACAUCUACGUUAUCUCCUCCAAUUCUUUAAAAUAUUUAUAGAAACAUAUAAAGUAUAUAUAAAAAAAUAAUAUUAUAAUAAUGUUAAAGAAAAUAUAUUUUAUUCAUAAAAAAUAAAAUGUAAAAAAUGCAGAAUUUGAAACUCUUCUUUAAAUUUCAAUCUCACAUUGUAAAAAAUGCUGAAUUUGAAACUCUUCUUUAAAAAAGUUUACAUAUAAAGUUUUUAUUUUAUUUUCAAAUGAACUAAUAUGCAAUAAUUUAUAUAAAUAUGUGUUAUAUUUAAAUGAUAAUCAUGAAAUAAUAAAAUUAAAAUUACAGAAUUUCUUUUAAAAAUUUAGUUUAAUUUUUAAAUGUUUACCUUUUGAAUUUGUUAUUGUUUAUUAAUUAUUACAUUUUUUAAAUUAAAACAUAAUUAAUAACUCAAUAUAUUAUUUUUAAAUAUAUAUAUAUAUAUAUAUAUAUAUAUAUAUAUAUAAUUAAAGAAAAAGAGUUGAUAUUAACCUCGGUUCUUUGAAAAUCGAUGUCGUUAAGCACUUUUUAACAUUGGUUAUUUGAAAACCGAUGUUGUAAGUGUUUAACGACAUCGGUUUUCAAAUAACCGAUGUUCAUGGGACGAUGUUAAAACUCAUUUUUUUAGUAGUGAGGGAUUGUAAUGAUCUCAUACCUUCUAAUAAUUUCUUUGCUACAAAGUUGUUUGGAGUUUGGAUGUUUAUGGCAAAGUAUGUGAAAAGGCACCUAAUGGCCUUUUAAGUUGGCAUUUUCACUUUAAAUUAUUGGUUGAGAGACAAACCCACUAACUAAAUAUUUGCAAGCAAUGAAGAAAAAGAAUAACAAUAUCCUCCGACCUUAUGUGUUUAAUAGAGGUUAAUAACUAACAUAGGCAUAAUAACAUUAUCAAUCAAUGUAGAAAAAGCAUUAAUACAUGCAGCAAUAAUUCUCACUGAUAAAUGAGAAUGCAAAUGUUACAGUGAAAGAUUUAAAAGAACAAUUAGCAACCUUGCUAUGAUACUAAGUGCAGGUUUGAAUUAAAGAAGAGUACAAAAGCCUAUUGAGAGAGGAAUGAUCUCUGAGUUGUCGCUGUUUUCGGGUUAAGCAUGGGAAUGAGUAUGUUGGAGUUGAAGUUGGCUUCGGUGGAUUUUCAAACAAGAGCCUUCGAUAUUUCGGUGUGACAAAUGGUAGAUGAGGUUGUUGCUCGAGACUCAAGAGGGGACAGAUAGGAAGAUGAGGUUCUUGCUUUCAUUUCAGUCUCUGUUGCAAUACUCUAAUUAUAGUCCCUAAUGAUUUGGCAUCUUAGUUGCCAGCCGCAUGUGUCAUGGGUAUGCCAAAUAGGCACUUAGCGUGUCACAUAACACAAAUGUUAUUGUAUGUUGUGCAGUCAAAGGGGAAUAAACAUCGAGAAAAUUUACACUAAUGGAUCAUCAAAUAAACACAUAAGUGAAUCUACACCACAUUUUAAUCCAAUGUGUGACUUCACCUUACACUUAAUUGUUGGAUUGAGGAGCGAGAUGGUUUGCACUUCCAAGGAUUAUUUUUUUAAUUUUAAAGUGUUACACACUUUUAGGGACCAAAAUGAUAUUUAACCCUAUAUUUUGAGUAAUACUUGUAUCUGAAUCUGUAUAACUAAAUAUGUCUUGUCAUAUAAGAUUCUUAAAUUUACUUUAGUAGGCAAACUGGAUAAGAUUAUUGCUAAAAUAAAAGCAACAAAAAUGGUGAAACCUAAUUGUUCAGCAUUUUCAGAGGAACCUGUGAAGGCACUCAUCUUGUUGACAUAGGCUUUGUACUCUGGACUCAUCUUUUGAAACGUUAUUAUGUCACAUGCUACUAAUUAAGUUGAAAAAACAAAGUACAUUGUUUUAGAAGCUAAAGAAGAGUUAUUUAAAAUUUGUAGUGAAAAUGUAGUGUGAAAAGCUAUUUGCAAUUUGCUUCAUUAAUAAAGUGGACAACUCAAUUGUUGAUUUCGUUACUAAAUUUCAAUGGUUUUGGUUGAAUAAGGAAUUCAGUGGACUGAGAAGUUGUGCUUAAGAGGAAGAGAGUGUUUGGAUACAUGUUUUGAAAUGGGAAAGAAUGAUUAAAAGAGAUAGAAAUUAGCUUGUCCAACAAUGCUAUUCUAUUGAUAUUUUCUUCAUACCAUUUAUCUUAGAAGACAAAUGAUUCCUUUUUAUAUUUUUUUCUAUUGCCUUCCUUUCCAUGAUCUUUUUUGUUUUAACCAUUAACUGAGUUGGAAUAGUAGUAAAAUCAUGUAGAUAUUUGUUUUCAUUUGGUGGGGGCGAUAUGAAUGAGAAAAAUCCAUACAACCAAACAAAGUUGGGGCUCAGAAGAAAGAGAAACAUCCCUCCCUUAAAGAAUAACUAAGUUAGAUUUCUUAGGAAAAUUUGUUGAUACUAACAUCUUGUAUACAAAUUUCUAUACCACUUUCAUUUUAAACACUAUUAGUUCCUCAGUCAUGAACUUUCUAUAUUGAAAAUUUGUCGUCUAUUUCUUUUACAGGCAGUGGCUUAGCUUUUCAUAUUUUGCCAGAUUAAAUUAUGAGUUACUCUUUGAACUUUUUAUGCAAUACUUGACUAUUGAUUUUUUCUUAUAGUUGUCAUCUCAUGCAAUGCACUUUUAAGAUAAGGUUACAUUGUUUGGUCGAGAGCAACAAUUUACUUAUGACCAUUAUAUAUUCAAAAUGUAUGCUUGGCCAUUAAUCAACCAACCAUGAUAAGCCCCAUCAUCCACCACCCCUUCUAUACCAUAGGCACAUUUUGCUUAUCUACUUUGCUACUGUUACUUUUAAACAAGUCAAACAAAUAAUAUGGUUUUAAAUCGUAGUUGUGAUUACAGAUGUGAUGAGUCAGAAAAGCUUUACAUUGUGCAAAAAUACGACUGAUGCGAUCAUAAUUACGAUUGCGGUGAUAUGAAAAACCUUAACAUUCUGGUCACAAUUAUGAUUAUAGACUGCAAUUUAAUAUGUAUUACUUAAGCUAAUGAACAUGUUGAGUGUUAGUUGAUAUGGUUCUCUAUAUCUUUUUUCCAAUACAAAUUCACCUUUAAAAUAUAAAACAUUACUGUAACAAAGGGACAAAGACAAAGGGUGCCACUUAACCCAUACAUGGGAAAUGAUGGUCAUAAAAUAUGUUAGGCCAAAAUGCAAACUACACAAAAAUAACAUCAACUCCACCAUAGUCACACAUUUAUGUUCUUCCAAGAAAGAGAUAACAUAAUGAAGCCUCCUCCAAGUGUCACCUCUACAUGGUACCUAACGAUAAGGUUACCAUUCAAUUUUUUCCCUUACUCGUGUGGCCAAUAUGUUGAAAUGUCAUCACUUAUACAAUCAAUGGUUGUAACUUCACAGCAACCGAUCCUCUUCAUUUCACACCAUUGGAUGAGUACUACAAAAAUGACACCCUUAAAUAUAGCAAGUUUGAGUAGAAUCUAGCAGCUGAAGCAAAAGUAAUUUAGAGAAAAGAAGGAAAUGGCUUCCUCACCGAUCUCCUCCCCAGUAGUUACCAUCAUUAACCGUGUCGGUGUCAGCAUGGUUGCCCCUUUCACUGGCCUCAAAUCCAUGGCUGGCAUCCCUACCAGGAAGACCAACAGUGACAUUACCUCCAUUGCUACCAAUGGUGGAAGAGUAUAAUGCAUGCAGGUAAGACAAUUCCAAACAUACAAACACAAAAGGCACCAAAAUGAUUAUAAUUGAUGUUACAUAUUUAUGUAUGCUACAAAAUGUUACUUAAAUUAACAUGAUAGUUAUAGGAAAAUAUGCUCAUGUGCAAGUUUGUUAACUCAAUUUUCAUGUAAAUUAAUUACUAGGUGUGGCCUCCAGUUGGCAAGAAGAAGUUUGGGACUUUUUCCUACCUGCCAGACCUUGAUGAUGCCCAAUUGGCUAAGGAAGUAUAAUAC
rnacentral:lncRNA from 1 species